UUUUUUUUUUUUUUUUUUUUUUUGAAAUGAAGUCUCCUAGGAUCCUAGUGAGAGUUUUCUUUCCCCUAGAGAUUCAUAAUGAGAGUUUUCUCCUUUUUCUAAGAAUUUCUGGUGAGAGUUUUCUCUUCUUUUCGAAAUUCUAACGGAGAGUUUUGUUAAUUUUUACAUUUCUUUAUUAAUCUAAGUUUUCUCAGAUUUGGUUAUGAAAUUAGAAUUUUUUUAGAACUAUCUCGUUGGAUCUCACAUUAAUAUAUGAACUUGUUUUCACAGUGUAAUAGUCUGAUAACUAGUGAGAUUUAUGUUCUUCAGAUCUGUUUAUAUAUAAUUUUUGCUAUUAAUGUAGAUUUGAUGAAUGAUGAUGUUUUUUAUAUAUAUAUAAAAAAAUACUACAAGAAUGACAAAAGCCUUUUGGCUUAGCCCAUCAGCGUAAUUAGAAAAUUAGUUGCUGACAAGAUGCUGGAUAUGGACCUUUUUUGUUACUGCUUGUCACCGCGCGUCGCGCGAUCUCUUGACAGGUAGCAACCCAAGUAAUUAAGGAGAUUAUCCCGUCAUUGUCCAAAAAUCCAUCAUGUGUUCAACGCCGGCUAAACCACGCCAUAGAUCGAUUACCAGCUUUCCUUUAUCGGAGGCUACAAAAGUUGACGUCUUCUCCGUCUAGUUUUUUUACGUCUUUGAUCACAUGAAGUCUAGCUAGUCGUUCCAAAAACAAAGAACACCAGUCCCAGAUAUGCACCAGUCUUUAAUGUGCCAUCCUCAGAACAUGGCUACAAGGACUGUGACCUUCAUCACUUUUCAAGCCAUAUAUAAUACGCAAUUCUCAAGCCGAAAUGUAUCUAAUCUGGUCCGUCAUUUGAUUAUGCGGACUCUACUUACUCCCUAAUAAGUUCAAAAUGCAUGACACUUUAUGAUAAAAUACUGAUGAUUAUACAUUAAAAAAUUAAUAUAUAUUUUUGUCAACCUAGUACCGAUGAUUUAUUAGACUUUAUUAGAAAAUUAAUAUAUUAAAUCACUCGUAAAUUAUAUUUUUGUCAACCUAGUACCGAUGUUUAUAUAUUUAUAUAUAUAUAAUACUGAUGAUUAUACAUUAGAAAUGUGUUUUUUUCAUAGUUAUUAAACCCGGCCCGGCCCGGCAGUCGAACCGGUCAAAUCAGUGGACCGGUCAUUGGACCGGACCGGGUUUGGAAUCAGAUCGUUUGUGCAAAGAGACCGUUGACUUAGUCAACGACCCGGCGGUCGAACCGGGUUAAACCGGAAACCCGGCCGGUUUUGGCCAGUUUUGUCACUAACCGGAUUUUGUGGAAAAAUUAUACUGCUAUUGUUGGAAAUCGAAUUUCCGACCUCUGCCCCCGCACUACCACUUGCUUACCACCAAACUACUUCUAAAUAUGUUGAUAUAGUAGUUUUAGUAAGAUAUAUAAAUGUUUUUCAAUUCUAUCUUUUUUUCUCUAAAACAAAUUUAUUUGGAAUCUUUUAAUAAAAUAUUUAUUACCAAACUCUAUAAGUUAUAAAAUGGAUUCCAAAAAUAACAUAUUACAUAAUUCAUUUAAAGACAAAUAUUAUUUUUAUAAAUUUUUACACUUAAAUUCAUAAAUAAGCUAGAUAAUUACACUAAAUAUAGAUAAAAUUUUACACUUGAAGUUGGUGUAUUUAUAAAUAACUUUAUAUUUGAUUGAUUCUUAUAUGAAUUAAUUAUUUUAUAAAAAUUAAAUUAAAUGAGCUUUGUUAUGACAUUAUUUAUUACAUUUAUAUCAUAUAUCUAUAUAAAAAUUAUGAAAUAUUAUUUAAAUAUAUGUAGUGACCCACCGGUUCAACCACUCACCCACCGGUUCAACCAGUAACCCGUUGACCCACCUCCUUCGCCGGGUUCCUUCCCGGGUUGGGUUUAAUAACUAUGGUUUUUUUGUUGUUUUGGGGGGGGGGUAUAAUUAACAACAAUCCAAAUGACUGGUAAUCUUGAUGAUUAUCGCAAGUUGAAACCCGUAUUUAAUGAUUGAAAUAGUUUAUGAACUCAGGUAUUGAUUUUUUGAUACAUCGAUGAACCAAAAAGAGAUUAAAUAUAAAUUACAUUAACAAUUACGUGAUUAGCACGAGUAACUAAGCAUUAAUUCUUCUGUUCUUUCCUUGUUAUAGAUUUUGAAAGUGUAGGCACGUUAUGAGAAAUCAGCAAAGACAGAGAUCAGAAAUCGCUCGUAGAAAUGAAAUGUAACCUGUGAUUAGAUUGAAAUAUGCCGUAUUUCAAAGAGUUUCAGCCAAACAACAACGGAGAAAGCUCUAGCAAACGUUUAGAGAAUUGGGAACAAAUUUUCUAGCAAACAAAACAUGAGGAAGAGUUCUUACCAUUGUAAGUACAGUUCGUAGUACCAAACCUUACCUGAUUAUAAACUCUGCAUUGACAUUUCUCCAGUCAAAUCUUCCCGGAUGAGGACCUUCUCUGGACCAAUCUACCCAAGUCACGCUCCUGUUCGAGUUUCUUUCUGGCAAUAGAAUAUUCACAAGCGUGGGAAUGUAGUGCUAUCAUUAUAGCAUGGAGGGCUGCAAUGCUCAGCAAAAUGGGGUAAUAUUUUCUGUCUGAUAUAAUUCUUAUGGCAACCUUGCGGUUGACCUCAAACCACUGGACCCUUUUCGCCAUUGAGAUAUUGAUUGCAGGCGACAUUGCUUUAUUAUAUCUGCCACGACCACUUUUCUUGGAUCGUCAGCUGAGCCAAUGAAACUGUGAUUUGACCUUAUUAGGUAGUUGUAAAUUGUUGUGAAGUUGAACAAAGGAAUGACGUUUCUGAUAGCAGCACAAAUCUUUCAUUCGUGAAGUCAAGCAGUGCAUUGGCUAGAAGUCGUCGCUCAGCAUCUAUCAUUGAUGCUGUUCCCCAUUGCACCGGCUGCGGUCAAAUGCAAAAUGAGUACUCUGUCACUUGCACGGUUGAUUUUAGUUUCUUAAGGCAGAGUCAAAUGGAAUUACCUCAAUCUUGUUAUUCAUUCAAGAAAGGAAGAAAAUCAGUUAUUAAAUGUUCUUUUUUGCAGCCCCUUAAUAAUUAGAAGUUCUAGAUGUUAAUCUCACGUCUGUCUUAAUUUUUUAAAUUCUACCUAUCUCCCUCCCUGCAAUUAAAAAAAUAUUCUUUUUAUAACAAUAUGAUUUAUCAUACUACAUCUCAUUGAAAUUAAUUGCAAGUUGUUCAAAGCAUCAUUACAGCUCCCUCCCUAAUAAAAUUAAUUGCAAGUUGUUGUACAUUUGUGAGGAUAUUUUGCAUAACAUUUUUGGGUUCAUUGUAAUGUACAGGGCACGAAAUUGCAAAGGAGUGGUAGUUCAAUGGGGCAUUGUGCAAUUAACCUGUAUACCUUCUGCUCAUGCUUCCCCAGUUUUCUGCGGUAAAAAAAGUAGCAACUUCAUCAGAGCAGCACAGAACCCAGCUCCGUGUAACUGUGUUGUGUAAUAACUUGGAAUUUAUGAAGUUGACGAAUGGAACACAAACGAAAGUUGGAGGUAAAAGUCUUUGAGAAAAGAGCCAUUUGAUUUGAUCCUAAUGCUUGGGCAUUUUGAAAAAAAUUAGGAAAAUAUAUUGUAUUGAGAAAGAAUUCACUAUUCAAACCAACCUUUUAAUUCUCGAAGGCUAAAAUGCAGUCUAACGUUCAAAGCGUUACGAACCUUGCUAGGAACUUUUCGAUGGAAAACAGAAUCUUCAGGCUUUCUCCAAUGUAAGAGGGGUCUGAAUGAACAUAAAUAGAGUAUGAUCCAUUGUGUCCAUGAAAAAAUCUCCCACAAGGGAGCAAUGGUAUCGGCCCUUUGGCCAAGAACAUGAAAGCAACCUUCGGAGCAUACUCGUAAGCAAACUCCUCAACCAUAGGCACCAUAGAUGCACGCCAAAACAGUUCACUGUCGUCCAUUUUGUGCCUAAGAAAUUGCAACUGAUCCUCCGGCACGAAACUACUAAUAGCAGCGGGGGGAAUACCGCCUUCGUGCGGGAUGGUGGGGCAGUGGUGAUGUUCUUGGCUGUUUGAAUGGUAAUUCUAUCAGGGUUGAUGCCUGUUGGAACGAUGUAAGAUUGGGAAUUGAGUUAAUGUUCUCUAGUGAAAGAAAUCUCUCAAGAUACAUACACCGGUGACCCAAAGACAAGCCAAUGACAAAAUACAGAACACCAAAUGCAUGAUGCAACUGCACUAAUCGUGCAAUAUAAAGCUUAGCCAUGAAUUGACGUUGCUCUUCCAUUCAUCAGAGAGAUGAAGAAGAGAGCUUUAGCAUACAAUGAAUAUGAAGCAGUAGCUCUGCCCCAUUAUUAAGGGACGGACUCAUUGGCCAACUUGUAACAUCACUUCAACCGCAAGGUAAGAUGAAACGAUAUGUCCAAGAAUCCUCAGAUACCGGGCGAUAAGCACCUCCCGGUCACCCCUCAAGCAUCGGGUCAACUUUGGUUGGCUUGCUUAAGCACGUUAAUGGUCACUGGCAGAAUACAAGAUCGAAACCCUUUUACAUUGUGAGCCAAAUUCACAAUGGUAUGAUGCUUCGACAAGUUACCUCUUACCUAGUAUUAAUACCUAGUUUGAUUCUUUGAGUAGACCUCGAUAUAUAGAGUAGACCAAGAAAACUAAACGAGUACAUUCAAUGCCCCGGCAAGUUGCACCAUCUUUCCAAUUCCGAAAAGUUUCUGUAGACCUCGACAUUUGUUUCCUCUACCUAUUUCAUAUUCUACUGAUGAAGUCAUGUGUCCAAGAACAAGAGAAAACGUUAGAGAGGACUAUAUGGUGCUUUGUUUUAUGCCUAAGCCAGGGCUUGCAAACUGGACUAACUUAAAAAACAAAACAGUUCGCUGGAUCACGCACUAGCAGAUUAUACGAAGGUUCUGAAAAAAGUCUUCAAAAAUAGCUAUUAGCAACCAACACAAAUAUAGCAUGUGGUUGUAUUUUGAGUCUUUUUUAGGUGACGUAAUUGCUUGCCAGCUAAAAAUGGAUGAAGAAAGAAAUAAUCUGAGGUGAACCUCAUCCAGUAAAUCCCAUUUGGGAGACUAAUUGUGUAAAUUAACCAUAAUAGCUUGCUUAAAACGAAGUUCUUCUAUUAAUCAUAUUUGAAACUGUUCGGUUAUUUUUUUCCCCCAGACGAGGAGGGUAAGAGGGGAUUUAAGAAGAGGAGAGGGGUACAAAAAUUUUGAAUUUAUGACCUCUAAUUCUUAGAGUCUUAACCUUAGCCACUAGUUCCGGACCUCCUCGGUUACUGCCUACCAGGCUGGCCAUCCUCGCAUGAAGGAAAAUUGGUACUUAGUAUUAGAAUGGGGACAUUAUUUAAUUGUCUUGUGUAAUAGAAUAGAGUACUUCUGAUGUAACUGAGGUUUCUACCUCUUGUACAAUCUUCCGAUCUAGUCUUUAAUUAAAAGAGUUUGAUUGUUGCUCGAAAAGAAUAUACCAAUUGCCCCUUCUGUACCCUGACCAGCAAUUUUGGUAUCAGACAGCAAUUUUGAGUGGUUCCUAACCACUCAAAAGCAUUCACUCACCAACUGGUAAAAGACGCAAAGAUUAAAAGCUGUACCUUUUCCAGUUUGAGAGUGACAAAGUACUAGUUAUUCAAUAGGAUUCCUUUCCCAGUUUUAGGGUGACAAAAGUAUUAGUUAUUUCACUAGGAUUCCGCAAGCAAAUAAAUAUCAACUGAGGCUUUGAACAGGAGCAUAUACAAAUAAAAACAAGAAAACCAUCAAUCCUUGACACAUUUCAUCUGACAAGCAGCAAGAUCAAGAAAUGCUCAAACCAAAAUCAUUCUGUAUUGAAUGAAUUCUAUCGUACACAAAAAAUCAACAAAGGAAAUGAAAAUUUUGAAACAAACCACAAUUUCUUUUAGGGAAAAAAUUUCUAUACAAUUUACAAGAAAACUGACCUCAGACAAAAAGAAGUUUAAUACAAGGAUAGUCAAUCUCUGGGUGAGAGAAAAUACCCCAGUCCUCUAAUGCUAUAGAAGAAAAUCAGGAAUCACCGGAGACUCUGCUGCCACAUUCUCCAUUCCAUCUGCUCUUUGCCGUGACUUGUGCUUGCCAUGGGGAUGACUACUAUUAGGCCUAUCUGAUCGAUCAGAUUCACCAGUUGCCUUUUUUGAACUUCUAUGGCUUCUCUCUUUACCAUGAGUACGGUGUUUGAUCCUUCUAGAAUUCUUGUUUCCAAGCUCAGCAAUCUCCACAGUUGUUGAAUCAGCAUUUGAUUCCAAAGGCCUAAAGGUCUCCUUCCUACUUCGCCUAUUUGAUGAUUUGUCAGACUUGUCAGUCCGUGACGAUGAUGCCACAGCUUGACUGCCUAGAAGUACCUCUUGCACAGCAUCAGAGAUUAAAUCCUCUUUCAGCUCAGGUAGCGUCUCAUUGAUGUGUAUUCUAUCUCCAUCAUCCAAUUUUACAACCACAGGCCUAGGUUUUGCUAUUGGCUUUUUCUUAGGGACAAGUGAUUUCUCUGUAAGUUUAACCAGAUAAUCUACCUCAUCAUUUACUUUAUCUUGCAUACUGAGGUCAUUAGCAGGUGGAUAAUCAUUUGGAACUUUUUCCUUUUUCUCUGAAGGAAGAUAAUAUAUCCCAUGCCGUUUGCGAUGCUCCGUGAGUAGAGAUGUUGACUCACUUGACGGUUCGCACUCUUCCUCAUUUUGUUGGUCAGAAACCGUAACCACAUCCUUUUCCAGGGAUCGAGGUUUUUCAAGGGAAAAUGAACUCAAAACAGGUAUUCUAAAAUCACCACAUAUUGCUUCUAAGUCGCUGAGAUUCUCCUUAAGCUCCAAACCAUCAGGAAGAGGCACCCUGCCUUGAGCACUCAACGAAACUGGCCCAAGCUCUUCAGAGAAGGCAUCGUGCAUCACUCUGACAAUUUCACAGGCUUUCAGUUCUCCCCUAUCAUUUUCUUCUUCCUUUGGGACCAAGCAACCAUGUAUUUCUUGUCGAAUCAACUCAAUCAAACCAAGGACAUUCUUCACCCUAUCCUGUAUCUCCACUUCAUGACUACCUGCCAUUGGUCUCAGUGUUGAUUCAACAAGAUUUACCAUCCCAACCAAACAAUCUUUGGUGAAAUGACCCAUCUUCACAGAACAGGAAGACACCUGCUCAAGAUCGCUAAUCAUUUUCUUCCCAUCAUUUCCAGAAGCAUCUUUUUGCGGUUGAUGCAGCAUUCUUGGAUUAAACCCCUCAUCUGGUUCACUAAAAGUAACAGUUUGACCACUUACAGAAUCAGAACUUUGUUCACACCAACCAUUGUGUACAGACUCUCCCACUCCUGAGAUAGAUGCAGCAAGAGCUUCUUCUGGAUAGAAAUAAAAAUACGCAGCGAAUGUCAAUACCUUAAAUGCAGACUGGAUAUACACAGCCCUCACUGAAGGUGGCAAAAGAUUGGUUCUUGGUUGCAAUAAUGCUUCCAUGAGCUCAAAUGGAUUUUUGCAGAAUUCAACAUACUCCCCAGAAACCCAAGCAGCCGCAGAUAAAAUUCUGUGGAUGAAAGGAUUUCCAAGCAACGCAGGAUCAAUCAAUAAAUCACGCCCAACAUGAACAACCUCCGGUCUAACAUCCCUAACUCUCAUGCCAAUGUCUACAAGCUGGUUCUCAAUUUCCUCUCCCUUCUGGCAAUGUGGAACCCUCGCCAUUUCCCCAAGAAGUGAAACAUACCAGUCAAAAUCAACAAUUGUCUCAUAAUAAUUUCUCGAACAAGUUGACAAGAUAGACCCUAGGAUCUCAUUACAAAAUUCUGGGUCAGAUUUGAGUGCAUAAUUAAUCAAAACUCUACAAAUUUCUGCUACAUUGUCCUCUGAAACCAUAGCCAUUACAAGCCUUAGGGCCUCAAAUUUAAUAUUGACAUCCUCAUCACUCAAGGACUUAAUCACAACCUCCUUAUUCUCCACAACAGCAUUCAAGGACUUAGGUGCAAUAGCAGCAAGCGCUUGCAAUCCAAGAUACUUAAGAUUCGGAUCGUCUUCAGUCAAAAACUCCCUAAUCUUCUCAGCUGCAAGCUUCACGGCUAACUCAUGCUGAGUUAAACUACACACAAUCGUCCUAAUACACUCAAAAGCCAACGAUUUUGCCCCAGUACGCCUCAAAUGCUCACAAAUCGGCUCCACAACUCUUUUCCCCAACCUUGGCUCUAAAGGCACCAACUUGGCAAAGAUCUUCAAAACCUUAAUCAAAACCCAAUUGUUCCUAGAAUCCACCAAAAUCCUAUAAAACUCGGGGGCUAGAGGCAAAUACGAUCUAGGUUCUUUAUUAGCUAGCUCACAAAACACUCCAACGAUGGCGGAAACAAUACCCACAUCAGCAUUCUCUAAAUUCUCGACUAAUCGCUUAAAACACACCCUCACGGAAUCUGGGUACAAUUCAAAAACCCUCAAAACAGUAGCAAUAGCUUUCUUCUUAAUAAACCCCUUAUUGCUAUUCAAUAAAGUAAACAAUUCGGGCGUCAAAUCGCGUGCUAAAUCGGGAGUACAAAUCGAAGAAAGCGUCUGAAGAGCGAGGCUUACCUCAUGGGGGUUGCCCGAAUUGAGGUCUUUCCGGAGCUGAUGGGUGAGGAGGAGUAUGACAUCCGUGGAGGAGUUGAAGGAAAUCGAGGCGGCAAGAUAACCGGUCCGUUUUGAAUUGAAGAUGGUGGAGGAGGAGAGCUCGAUUGCAUGGAAAGCGGCCCAGGACAUGUCGAUGGCAUAGAGGGAGUGAAGAUAGGUAAGCUUUUGAAGCGCGGUGGUUUUGGUUUGUUGGUCUGUUGAUUUGAUCUCGCGGCGAACCUCAUCGAUGGAUUUCGAGAGAAAAGUGGAGGAUUCGGGUGUUCCGGCAGCGGUGCCGGCAGCGAGGUUGUGGAGACGGAGGCCUUUGAUUAAAUCCUCCAAGGAUCGUUGGAACAAGGAAUCCAUUAGUGAAGGACCUCCGGCCAUUAAAUUUGGGGAAGGCUAAUGAAUUGAAGACAACGUCCGAUUAUAUGGAGUUUGAUGAGGUUUAGUGUGUGAGUGUGUGUUUUUGGGAUGCCAUGAUGAUCAUGAGAGGGUUCUGAAGGCUGAAGGAAUGAGGGAGAAGGAAGAAAAAAACUGGUGCGUGAGCUUUUCAAAUAAAGUCGUUUGAAGCUGCACGAGUUUAUCAAAUACCACGACUUUUGGCUGAAAUGUGGAGUCAUUGGAGCUUGAACUCAUCGUUGAUGGAAUCAUUUUUGUUAAUGGAGCCAAUGAUUUGUCACAGUGCAAUAAGCAAACUGAAAUGAUUUGUUUGGAUUGCUUCAUAUUUCCUCAAUUUUAUUUGCUUACAUCAUCUUUAUAAUUUUCAAUACACCUUUUUAUCUUCCCAAUAUCUUUUUAUCUCACAUACAUCAUAUCACAAAAAGUGCUACAGUAAAAAUAUAUCAAAUAAUCCCAAAUAACUUACAAUCCAAACAGACCCGAUAAUUUGUAAGCAACUCAUAACUGUAAAAUGGGUAAAACGAAUUCGUACAACUUAUUCAAAUUAAACUCUUAUAUUUGAUGGAACAAAUAUGAACGUUAAAACUAGAACAAACUCACAAUUUGUCGAGGUUCAUAUUUCAGAGCUUUUAAUUGUGGUGCGAUCUCGUUAUAUUUUGAAUUGUAAUUUUUCAUAAAAAAAUUUGUAUGUUUAUCACGUGCAUAUUUUUAAAUUAUUUUUUUAUUUGAUAUAAAUCAAAUCGUUAUAAUAUACUUUUCUAUAAAUACUUAUAGUAAUAAUAAUAGUUUAGCUUCUUCCCAAAUAAUGUAGGGAAGGAAAUUUCUUCUUUUAUUCUUUUAUGACACAAAAAUUGAGUAUAUAAAAUUGAAAGUUGAAAAAGAAUUUUCGUGUAAUUAAUCUUUUAACUUAUUCAUUACUGUUUGUAGUACUUUACCACAUCACUAUCUUGUUCAUUAGAUACUAAAUAUAAAAAAAAAAAAAAGUGGAUUUUUUCUUGACACAAACACAAUUACUAUCACAUGCCAAAUAAUUUAACAUGAUUUUCAAAAAUAAAAAUAGAAAACAAAAUCAAUAUAAAAUACUAACAAUGUUGCACUUGUACUGUUAUUGUUAUUAUUAAUAUUAAUAUGGAUUUUAUUAGUUUGGUUAUUGCUUCGGUUAGAUUUAUGGAUGUUGCACAUACUAUAAUACAAAAUCGCAAAUCAAUCAAUAAGGAAAGAACAAGGGGAAGAGUAGAAAUAAAGGUGAAGAGAUCCAUAGAAGAGAAGAAUGAAGAUCACCGACUGCUAGAAGCUUAAGAUAGCCAUAAAUAAGCAAAGGAAACAUCAGCCAAAAAGCACCACUUGUCACCAGCUGGAAAGAGGGCUUUGGCCUUCCAGAAGAAAAUUGUGGAGUAAAUCUUUAGCCUUCCUUCUCUCCUCUUCCAGGUUUUCAUGUCUUUACUAAAACCCUAAUCUUUUUUAUUCUUUUAACUGUCCUCAAGUGCCCAUAGCUGCACGCCCAUCAAAAUCCUGCGGCAAUGUAUGAGCAUUUUGGAGCAACCCAAUAGCCAAAUGACUUCCGUGGCCUAAAUUAGAGCUGGGUUUUUUAUUCCUAAAAAGAAAAAAAAAAUGAUGACUUGGGUUGUGGGCGCAAUUUAAUUAUCUUAAUUCUGCUCAUUUUGAUUUCGUUUUAGUGGGCUUGUUGUAAAUUUACUGAAUUUGGUCUAGAAGUAGUGUUGAAUUAUGUUUCACUAGUAAUCAAGAAUUGUAGUAGUAUUAGUAUUCGGGAGAAUGAAGUAGAAAUUAUUGCUACUAAAUAGAGGCUUUACAAUUCUAUUUUCCUGCAGCUUACACAACUGUGGAGCGUUACAGGAAUUCUGUUUAAGAGCAGCGGAAAUUGUGAGAUUUGUUGAUCAAGUGAAUGGAAGGAUUGCGAGUUGAUUGAAUGUAGGUUGAAAAGUUAUUGUGGGUUGCAUUUUCAUCAGCUUUCCAGGAUGUCUAUGUUCUAACACAAUUUUAAGUAAAAAUCAACGUUAAGGUAUGUUGUUUCUGGAAAUUGGUUAGCCUUUCACAUGUAAAAUUUGCAUAUCAUUGGGAUUCUGGAAUUUUAACGUAAGCUUUCUUUUUGUCAUUUGACAGAAAUUAGCAAGAUGCCUCGUAAGGGAAAUUAUCGAGUUGAUUAUGAAGAUGACUAUGAUGCGUAUGAAGAUUAUGAGUACUAUGACAACGAGAAUGACUAUGAUGAUGGUUACAAUGCCAAGGAAAAUGGUAAAGAUUGUCUUUUCAACUUGGUUUUCUUGCUCACCCGCUAAAUGCGGGGCUUAUACUGUCUUUGGCAUGGAAAUUUUGGCAAACAGGUCAGAGUUUUACCUGUACUUGUGACUUGAAGUUUCAGGUCCUUUGGAGUAAAAGUUCUAAGAGUCCACAAUUUUCUUUUGCAUUAAGCUAUCGGGAAGAAAGUAGACGAAAAAGUUCUUUUGGUACUGUUUUCUAGAUUAAAAUGUGAUUUUGGAAAUUUACAUGGAUUUGUGAAUAACUAGGGAGGACAAUCUCAGAAGCAGGAGAAGUAGAAGUACAUCUGGAUAGGGUGCAACUUAUGUGGAAUUUGGGCAUUACAUCUUGAAUAAAGCAUGAUUAGUUGGGAGACUGGUAAAGUGAGCAGCAGGAUGCUAUAGGAUAAGGCAAAUUAUGUCUUGGUUGAGAAGAGUACGAAUUCAUUUUCUAAAAUUAAAUACUAACCAUAAUAAGCAACUUCCUGCAAGGGUUGUUAACUUUUUCUCAAAAGGUCUUUUUUCACUGUCGUAUCGCAUGUGUAACAAAUCUAAUAAUACAUCUUUCAUGUAAUAUGUCUGUAUAUGUAAGGAAAGAAUUUGUAAUUCUCAAAAUCAAUGGAGUUAAGAGCCAAGAUUCUGUUUGGAUGGAUAAGGAUUGCUAUUCCUAGAAGGUCUGUUGUGGAAUGCUCAUCCCUCAGUUAUCAUCUAUGUUUCUGACAUAACAAUGAGUAUGUGAUUGCUAAGCUUAUGGUUUCUUGUUGUGGAUAAAUUACUAGCAAUGGGGAACUUGUUUUAAAGAUCAAAUCUGGAAUAGGAUUUGCUUUAUCUCAUUUCUAUGGUGUUGUGUUUUGCAUAUUUGUAGGGUACACAUUUAUGGAUAUAUAUAUCAGAUAGUUAUUGCACUGCAAGGGCGAUUUCUUCAAUGGAAAUCUUUUAGGAAACAGCUUUCAAAUUUUUCCACCAAUCAAAUGCUAUGUAGACCUACUUGUAUUAUAUUCUAAUUUCGGACCUAACAACUAAAAAUCUUCUCCAAAUUGAAUUAAUUGCUUGGUGAUAACUACUGAAACAGGUGUAGUGCCUGAGACUAAGGAAAUACAAGAAGCAGCGAAGAUUGGGAUUUGGCGCUGUCCAAUAUGUACAUAUGAUAAUGAAGAUGAUAUGUCUGCAUGUGAAAUAUGUGGGGUCCUUCGUAAUCCACUGGUUAAGGGCCAUAAUAAGAGUAGUUCUGGCCCAGGUAAGCACCUCCUCAAAUACUCUGUAUCAUUUUCUAUAUACUUUUUGACAUGUAUGCAAUGCUAUUUGUAAGAGUACGCUGCUGUAAGAACUAUUAUUCAAGUGAAAAGAAACAGGAGUUUGAACCCUUCUUGUUCAGUUUUUUCAUUUCCUUGUUAUGAUCGAGUUUGAUCUUUAAACAAUGGGGAGUGGUUUACCGAUAGCUUGCUUCUAAUUUGCCCAACGAGACCUAUUUUUAUCUCUGUUUUUAUUCAUUUGUAUCUAAAUUUGCUAGCUCCUUCAUAGAGUAGAUCGUUUCUAUGCAGUUGGUGGCAUAUGCAAAGACUCUGCAGUAUCCAUAAUGGCCAAGUCUCUUUUUGCAUCAUUGCCGCAACACAAACCCAAAAAGGCCGUAGUCUUUGAAGCAAUGAAUGGUGCUCUUUUGAAAGGGGAACCUGGAAAUAUACUUGGGGACUUUCAUGAUUUCCAUAGGGCUUUUAGCUCUCAAAACAAAUACAAGUUUAAUAUAGGUUUGGACAUACUCUGAUACAGGAAAAUAAUUAAUGACAGGAAAAUUUUCAAACUCCAAAAGUGUAGUCUCUUUCUCUCAGUUUUUGCUCCUUUGCUUGGCCAUUAUUAGAGUCAUAUCAUCGGAUAGCAUCCAUAUAUGAAUGUUCUUACUUGUAUAUUUGUUAUGGCAGCCCCUUAUAAGUUUGAUGGUCCAUCUCCAGAUGACUUGGUGUCAGUGGAAUGCGUUCCUCCACACUGGGUUCUAAAGGUUUCAUUUUUUUCCUGCUCUUUCUUCUUUUCAUGUUGGCUCAUUUGUCUUUGGUCUAUGCGAUUGUUUUCAUCUGUGCUGAUACAUUUGCUCUCAGCUUUGCCAAAUUUUUCUGCAAAGACUAAGCGAUUUUAUGUUUCACAUUUUUACUCAUUAAGUGAAAUGAUGUGUUGUUUAACUUUGGAAGGAUGUAUCUUCCUGAUAUGCUGCCUAUUUUCUACUGCAGCCAAUUUUAAGACUUCUUCAUCGCCAGAUGUUUCUAGAAAAGAAAAAGAGCUUAAGAUUGAAGUAGAAAGAGAAAUAAGUAUUGAAGGGCAUGAUAGCUCUUCCAUCAACAUCAAAGAAGAAGGGUCCUCUUUUGAAGAUUGAGGGCAAACCUCAAAUCAUUUCUGGUGAUAUGAUGAAGAUGUCAAUCUUCGAAGUCUGGAAGUGCAAAAAAUGCCAAUCGUGCAAGAGCUUUGGCAAGUGCACCAUUUAAACCUGAGAAAUGGAUGCUUCCUGACCAGAUUGAAGAUAAAUUGAGUCAACUAAAUCUCGCAAUUGUAAGUUAUCCAUUUGUUUUCCUUUUGCGACUAAUAGAUAUCUCUCCAUGUGCAUUUCUGCUGUUUGCUGUAAUUUUAAUUCAUCUUCUUUUUACUAUAUUCAUAGGUCGGCCACGUUGAUUCUGGAAAGUCCACACUCUCAGGAAGACUGCUGCAUCUUUUAGGGCGUAUAUCCCAGAAGGAAUUUCACAAAUAUGAGAGAGAGGCCAAACAACUGGUAGUUAAGCUAGCAUUUGUUAUAUUCAUAAUGGUAGGUUGGCUUCUAAGAUUGGUGAACCCUAUGUUGUUCUAUCAGGGAAAAGGGUCCUUUGCUUAUGCAUGGGCAUUAGAUGAGAGUGCUGAAGAAAGAGAAAGGGGGAUAACUAUGACUGUAGCUGUUGCAUUCUUCGAUACCAAAAAAUAUCACAUUGUUCUACUUGACUCACCUGGCCACAAAGACUUUGUUCCAAACAUGAUAUCUGGGGCAACACAGGCUGAUGCUGCAAUCUUGUUAUUGAUGCUUCAGUGGGUGCAUUUGAAGCAGGAAUGGAUGCUUCUGGAGGGCAAACAAGGGAGCACACACAACUGAUUAGAAGCUUUGGCGCAGAUCAGAUUAUAGUUGCAGUUAACAAAAUGGAUGCUGUGGAAUACUCCAGGGAGAGAUUUGAUAUUAUUAAGCAGAAGCUGGGUGUAUUUCUUCGCUCCUGCAGUUUCAAGGAAUCUUCUAUAUUGUGGAUUCCCAUGAGUGCCAUGGAAAACCAAAAUUUGGUUGAUGUUCCUUCUGAUACACGAUUAUCCUGGUUAGUUUACUUGUGCUUGCCUUCUCUGAAGUCCUUCGUCUUCUAAAAUUCAUAAGGAUAGCUAAAUUUGAAGGGAGAGCAAUUUAUAGUGUAUCCUUCUUGGUCAGGAAUGAUAGUCUAAUUUUACUAGUUCUCUGUGAAUCUGAUAUGGAUGUCAUCCUAUCUGCUUUGUAACUCAAUUUAAGUAUUUCAAUGUGAGUUUAGAAUUUCAUCUAGCCCCACUAUACCGAAUUGAUGUCAUGAAUUUCUGAAACAUUUUUCUUCUUUUCUUGUUUGACACAAUGACCAUUUUAAACUAUAUUUUUAGUAGCCUUUUAAUUAUGGUGUGUUCCCAAAAACUGGUUAAUCAGAUGUAUAGAGAACAGAACUUUAAUCAUGUUUAUAGUUGCUGAAAAGUUAGGGUGAUUGGACUUUGCAGGUACCAGGGACUUUGUCUGUUGGAUGCAAUAGAUUCUCUCCAGCCUCCUGUUAGGGACUAUCAAAGCCUCUACUUCUGCCAAUUUGUGAUGUUAUAAAGUCACAAUCACAAGGACAACUGUCUGUAGUGGGCAAAGUGGAGAAUGGAGCUCUUCGUUCUGGAUACAAGGUAAAUAUUGAUGGCUAAUUUCAGUUGUCAUUUGCAAAAGAAAAUUUUGUUAGUUGAUAUCAUACCGUCUUCAUACUGUCCUUGAAAUUUCUAGGGUGAAAAAAAUUUUGGUUUUCUGGAUUCUUGACGUUGGCAGUGGUUUGCUUAUAUCCAACUUUAUGGGCUUAUUUUGGCAAGAAGAAUUUUCAGAUGCUCAUCUCUAUUGAUCUUUCACAUUCAUCUGAUUGAAAGCCUUCUUCUUUUCCAUUUUGUUAAGUACAGAGUUUCAAAGCUUUAUCCAACCAUACGCAUAUAAUCAGCCUCAGACAUAUCAACUAGCAACUAACACUAAAAGCCCUAGUGAUAGUGGCAAUAAUAUGUAAAACCAUCGUGCUGUAAGUUAAGUCGGUCGAAGCAAGGGACAAGACAUGGACUACCAUUUUCUCCAUUUCUCAAGCUUUCUUCUUUCUUUAUUGUGCAGUUGAUUUGGCCCUCUUAAUGUGGUUUCCUCUCCCUCUUUUGCCUGACCAUGGUUCUCUUUUCUGGGUUGCUAUAGUACUUCGCUCCAGUCUAUCUCAAUCAUUGUUGUGUAACUUCUAAGGUUUAGGUGGCUUGGAGACUGCAGAGUGAUUUGAGUUUCUAGAAACAGUUGCUGGUUUUAAUGUUUUCAGUCAUGUUUAUUGGCAUAGGUUUUAGUUAUGCCAUCUGGAGAAAUAGCAACAGUGCGUUCUUUGGAACGGGACAACCAUGUCUGCAACAUUGCGAGAGCUGGAGAUAAUGUGACAGUCAGUCUGCAAGGUGUUGAUCCGAAUCGAGUGACAGCUGGGGUGUGUUGUGUCACCCUGAUUUCCCUGUUGCAGUUUCUAAGCAUUUCGAAUUAAAGAUUGUUGUGCUGGAUGUUACAACUCCAAUUCUGAUUGGUUCUCAGGUGGAACUUAAUUUAAUUUAAGAUUCUCGUCCUGGAUAUUACUUGUCCAUUCAAUUUCUUCUAGAUAUUUAUGUGUAUAAUAUUUGUGGAAUGGAUAGUUGGAAUUUCACAUACAUCACACAAAGGAGGUAGCUAGAGUUGUCAAGAUUUUGUCCCUGCUUGACCCAAAGACUGGAAAGGUGUCAAAGAAGUCGCCAAGAUGUCUGUUAUCGAAGCAGAAUGCUGUAAUUGAGGUUUGUACAAUUUCCAGUAAUGCUUCUAUCUCUCUCUCUCUCUUCUUGCGGAAGGAGAGAGCCUGUGAUUAUCGUUGGUUCGCCAAUUUGCGAUAUACUCGCAAGCAUUUAAAGAAUUUGAUGGUUUGUUUUGCUUCUCAUGUUUAGGUGGCUCUGGAAGAGCAGGUCUGCGUUGAAGAAUACUCGAGAUGUAAAGCCUUAGGAAGGGUAUCCCUUAGAGCAUCAGGGAGAACGAUAGCGCUUGGUGUUGUCACUAAGAUUGUACAAAAUGAGCAGUAGUUUCAUUGCAAAUACAAAGGAAUUUUUGCAUGUCGGCCAGAGCCCACGCCCGAAUGAAUAGCUGCUGACUGCCAGCAUCUCUAGCCUGAAACCCAUGGUGUAGUGCAGAGUUAGCACCCUGUAUUGGGUAUUCUUCACUGUACAUUAUUAUUGCUGAUCCAAUUUUGGUAAAUUUGCUAGUCACACCCCCGUUGUCUACCCUCUUGUUUUUUUUUCCUCUCUCUUUCUUUUCCCUGAAUACAAGCAACAUACACACAAAAUUUUUUAGAAUCCACGAGUACAGGCUCUUUGGAGAAUAUUGACAUGACAGUGAUCUUAUGUACGGUUAAGUUGUGGAAGUAUGAGGAAAAGAUGGCGGGCUUCUCUGUUAGGGUGGGGUGGGGGAUUUCGCAAAAUCGUAGAGGCGAGGCUGAACCCAGAAUAUCAGUAGAAAUGAGAAAUGAAAGUAUGAAACAGCCUGAAUGUUAAUAGAAAAUGCCGGUCUUCCCUCUAUAGCCCUUUUUACAUUCCAUUCCAAUUAAGUUCCUCCUGUCCUUUCCUUGUGGAGUGAGAUGGUAUAAUAGACUUUGUAGAUUGGCCGAAAAAAAAAAAGCAAAAAUCAAUAGACUGACUGAGAACGUGUAAUGGAAAAGCCAAGAACCGUUUAGUCCUUCGAGGGCACGACUCAAAUAGGUCAACUAAUCCAUCCCACGCUCUGGACACAUGCCUCUUGUGUGCCAUCUUGUUGCCUCACCCUUUGAAAAACUAAUCAACGCCCAUUACAAAUAUUAAUUAGUUACACUAAAGCUCCACAUUUUUGGUUAUUGCUGAUCAUUCUACAUUGGAAAAGAAAGUUUGACACUUUGGCUUGUUUUUUGGUAGGUUAUUUCGAUUGAUUAUAGACUCUGAUUUUUAAAAAUUAGUUUUCUUUUUAAAAAAAUUAUGUUCUUGUUUGCUCUUUGUAUUUAGAUUAUACUUUUUUUAAUAUUUUAAAAAAAGCUAAAAUUUAUAAUACACCGAGGAAUAGCUUUUACUGAUUCAGAUUUUUCUUUAUAAUCACUUUCAUAAUCAACUUAAGCAAAAUUUAAAGUGAACAAGAAUUAGGCCUUUUUUUUUUCCCCCAAAAGAAUAAGGUCUUGUCAAUAUUUCAGGAGAUGAUGGUAUCAAAUUAACCUAGUACUAACUUUUUGGAUGACUGAUGUUCAUGAUGUUAAUCAUGCUGGUAUCCAGUAGCAAUCAGCAGACAACUUGAUAGGGAAUUUAUGAUCAACUGAGCAUGAUAUUCUGAUUCUUCUCCAAUGAUAAAGACCGACCGUUUGUGUUUGCUUUUAAGAAAUGGGAUAAAAACUCGCAUAUUUUAUCUUAAAGAUUGAAUGUCAAAACUGUCUGUCAUUAAAUUUCUAAGUUCCGUGAAUAUUAAUGAAAUGCUCAAUCUGUGCAAGAAGAAAAGAUACAUAGUUUUUGUAAACGUAACAAUUAAUGAUAAGCUUUUUUAUGUACAGAAUAUGUAAAAUUAUGUGAAUGUAAUUAGACUAUUUUUGUUGAGAUGCACGAAAAAAUGAGUUUCAUUUUGAACUUCAUUUUUUUUUUUGGCUCAACAAAAUGCACAUUAACUAGCAACAUGAUAGCUUGAGUGCCCCCCCCCCCCCCCACAACAACAAAACAAACAAACACAAAAAAAAAGAAAAAAAAAGAAGUUUAAAACUGAAAUAGGUUAUAAUGGCUUUAGAAUAAAAUUAAAGGGGCCUCCCUUGGAUUUUAAAAUUGGUACAGGACUAAAUUUGCAAAUUGCCUACAUGCUAAUCCUGUACACUACUACACUACUACUCUACUCUUUACAUCCACAUCUACGUAGCGAUCCCUCACAGCACGUGGAACCACGCCAAUCCAUCUCCCUCACGUGCCACAGGCACGUGUCAGCUUGGUCUCCCCUGGAAACCAUCCAUCCAACGUGGCUUAAUUUAAACUACGUGGAUCCAAGUCAACCCUCACACCAGAGAAUUCCCUCCCUCCAAUCCCGCAUCACAGAUUGUACCUCUCUUCCAAAUUACUACCCUUUGACACGCCGUACAACCCUCCCAACCUAGACGGAAAUUACUACAGUAGCUUUUGUCAACGGAAAAUAAUCCAAUGUCCGGUGCAGCUGAAGCCCACCGACUUCGAUGCUCCCUCAGUCUCCACCUCAUCCCGUCAUCAUCCUCUUCAACGUUGAACGAGUUUAAAAAAUUCAACAGCUCCACAGCAGGACAAACAUUCACAGACAAAUAUAAAACAGGACAGAAGUCUCAAAAAGAAAAGAAUUUUCUAGAGGGAGAGAGAGAGAGUGUGUGUGUGAAGUCAGCUCCAGAGAAAACUGUGAUUGAUGCCUACAGUUUUCUGCAUAUAUUUAAAGCUUCCGAAAAAACAUUUUGCUAUGCUGCAUAAAAUUUUCGAUAUUUUUCUUUCGGUCGUAAGGAAGUGAAGACUUGAGGGUUGUGAGAGUUUUUUCGAGGCGGAAUGGCCGCGCAGGGAGGAGAGGGAGGUGGAGGUGGAGUGGCGGUGGUGUUGUGUGGCGGAGCGGUUAGCAAUGCGUUGGACUCGCUGUCUCCAGCUCCGGCGCCCGAUGAUGGAGGAACUGUGGAGGAAAUCUCUGAGCAGAAUUCGAAUUCACCGAUCCUGUUUUUUCUAUUUUUUCAUAAGGCAAUUAGGUUGGAGCUGGACUGUCUGCACCGCUCGGCGUUGGCGUUUGCGACUGGGAAAUUGGUUGAUAUACAGUCGCUGGUGGAGCGGUACCAUUUUCUUAGGUCAAUUUAUAAGCAUCACUCGAAUGCUGAAGAUGAGGUAUGUAGCUUAAUUUCAUUUGCCUCUUUUUUGGCUCUCUUUUAGCUGCUAAAUUCAUAAAGACUACUGCUUUGAAUUCAUUUCUUACUUCUGAAUUGGUUGUCUAGCGACGGAGUUUUGUUUAUACGUGGAAGUACAAGAGCAACGAUUAUAUGCAUGGGUGGAAGUAUCCAAGUUUUUUUCAUCGGAUUUUGUGUGUGGUUUUCGAAAUUUGUAUAUAAAUGUUAGUUCUGUAAGAUACUGAUACCCGUGCAUGUGUUUAUGGCUGGGUCACCUGAUUAGAAGAUUUGUCAGUAUACGGAAUUUGUUGAAUAUAUAUUUCAGAGUGGUAUUUCCCAUUUCAGUCGGGUGCGUGUUCAAUAUGUAUGUGAUCACCUGGAUUUGCAGCUAAAGUUUGUCUCUUUAUAUGAGAUUUUGUGAAGUUUUCUGAAUGUGGUUAUUGAAAAUUGUGUUUGAACGUCGAUAAUGUAGAUACCUAAAUGCGUGCUGUAUGCAUCUACGGAUCAUGUGAUCAGAAUAUUUUGCCAUUGUACAUUUUAGUCAUGGACAUGUAGAUUUACAUUUGGUAUUGGAGUUUCCUCUUUGGUUUUGUUUAGUUUGUUUGCGAAACUCGUAUUCGCACUUGCAAUUUUCAUGCAAUGUCAUUUUAUUUGAAGCUAAAUGCAUUUAAUGGAGUGGACAUUGUUGUUUGCAGAUAAAUGAUGUUGUUUGACAUUUUUGGGUUUCAGUUUUAAAUUGUGUUUUGCUAGUUCAGCGUAAAUUAUUGAUUGUUUUAAUUUUAUGUGGUUUUGGGAAAUAAAGGCAUUAUGGAUCGGGCAGCAAAAUAUCGAUUGCGAAAGGAACAUUUUGUGUGUUGUAAAUUAUUCAAGUUUUAUGAUUGCCUGUGUUUUAGCUGUUAAAAUGUUUUCCUGGAGCCGCAUUUACUAUGUCGUCUAGUGAUAUGUCGGACACUUGCAAUAAAUGAGAAAAAAGUAUAGCCACAAGAGACACCAACAUCAGUAUCUGUUUUAUCUUCUUAUUCUUCUUCUUUUUUUUUCUGUGUUUAUUGUGAUUCUAGUAUUUGGAAGCCAAUGUAAAAUGGUUAAAUCUAAUAUCUUUUUCAGCAAUAUUAAUGGAAAUACUAAUGUUGAAAGUUUGUUGAUUUCUCUCCAAAGCAUCUCAAUUAAUGGAGAUAGCGAUUAACAUUUAAAGGAAAGCUAUCGAUAUCUUGAAGGCUGUAAAAUUGCAGUUGCUAGGGAUUCACUUUGAAGGAGAGGAAAAACAUCAUUUUCCUUGCUCUCCCCUAUCCUUAAUCUCUCUUCCUUGUACGGUAGAUACCAAGAUGGUCUCACAAUUAUGGUCCCACGUGUUGAGACUUGAGAGGCUGUGGAGCUUCUCCAUUUAUUUGUUAGCAUUUAGACCCAGAUGUACAUUUACUUUGGAGCAUGAGUACUACCUCUCCUUUUGUUUGAGAUAAACCAUUCAAUGAUGAUGAAUGGAGAUUCUUCUUGGAGUUUAGUGUGAAGUAGGACAUAAAGGUAUAUUGUAGCAGCUACACAUUGCAUGACUUUACUCGAGUGACUAGAAGAAAGUGCAGGUGCCAAAAAGUGUUUUUGUGUUGCUGAGUCUUCGGCAUCUGAUUCUGCAAAAGGUGUUUGUUUCCCUUUAGCCUUUGGAAUUUAUUUUGAAGGAGCUAGUAGCGUGUUAGGGAUAUGAUUAUACCAUAGUUUUCCUCUUCUGAUGGGCUCUAAUCUAGUAAUGAGGAUCCACAUUGAAGUAGUUUCGAUCUCUUUUUGACUGACAAGAGAUAAGUAACGUCCAGCAUAUUGACACAGUCAAUAUCUCUCUUGAAGGAUAAGGCACAUGCCCUAUUACCUGAUCUGGUCACUUGAUUGUUCCUGAUUACUGUAAUGAUUGCGUAGCAAAACAAGUGUCAUUGAGAUUUAUUUUUUCUUGUUUUGAAGAAGGCAAAAGGAGUUCAGCUAAUACCCGGAAUGGUAAUAUCAAUGAACUUUGUGUUGAAAUAGAGGUGCGUAAUGUGGAACUUUUAAAAUGUCUGUAGUUAAUGGAGGAUGUAGGUCUUGAAGGAAGAGAUUGAUUCUGUUGGGUGGGCAGCAAACAUUUCUGGAACCACUGAAUGUUGUAAGCUAUAAAAUAACAUGAGCUUCUGAAUUUUCAGAUUCUGUGUGGUAAUAGGUCUUUCAGUAGGAGAUACAUGGAAGAUUGUUGCUCUCAUAACAUUCGGUUUGGAUAGAAGUCUCUCCUUAUCAUAAAUCUGAUUAUUCACUUAUCUGCAUCUUUAUUUUAUCUUGUAUUGCUUAUCUAAUGUACUUAGUUUCAAAUUAUUUAGGACCCUCCAUAAUUUGAAGCUGAGGUUCUACCUUGUUUAGUUUCUUGACCUUGCCUUGCCCCUUCACUUAGUUUUAUGUUAUAUAUCCAGGAUACUGAUUAUGCACUUGGAAAGGGCGAAAAUGCAAGAUUUUUUUCUUUGAAAAUGCAAGAUUGUAUCUCAAAAGGGUGAAACACAUUUACACAUGGUGGCCAACUUAGGCUACUUAUUCCUACUAUUUUAUUUGUUUUGUGGUUAUAAUUGAAAGAAUCACCUACAUUCAUUUAAUUGGCAAGAAGACUAUAGUACCCUCUGUAGAUGCCCUAUGUACACAAGCACAAAGUGAGAGCUUCCUUUUGUAUUAUUCUGCCUGCAUUAAGGAAUCAAGCAUUCCAGUAUAUAAUGUACACAAGCCUGUUCCUGUAAGAAUCUGACCUUUUAACAUCCAACUUUUGUGUUGACCACUUUCAGUGCAAGUAAAUUUGCUUGCUGUUACAUUUGAGGUUGCCUUUGUUACUGAUAACUAGUUUGAAGCAACAUAAGAAAGGAGCUUGUUCUUGAGCAAUCUCAGUUUUUGUGUUUUCGGAAACUAAUUGCUCAAAAUUUUGCAUACCAGGUCAUUUUUCCAGCUCUUGACAUACGUGUGAAGAAUGUAGCCCCAACAUACUCCCUGGAGCACAAAGGUGAAAGUGACCUUUUUGAUCACUUGUUUGAGCUGCUAAAUCCUAACAAACAGAAAAAUGAGAAUUUUGCAAGGGAGUUAGCAUCUUGCAGUGGAGCACUCCAAACAUCAAUUGGCCAGCAUAUGUCCAAGGAAGAGGAACAGGUAUUCAACAGCUAUUUCGAUGCUUUUCUUGAUCAGAAUGUUCUGGAGAUCUUUUGCAAAAAAAAAAAAAAAAACUUCUCAGAUUUUGUUGCUUGUUUGAAUUUCUCAGGAGUGUAUAACAUUUUCUUAAAUUGUCAGUUUAGAUAUCCUAAUGUUUUCAUUGGGUUUUUCAAAUCAGAAGGACAUGUAAUAGCUAUAUACCAGCUCCUUCUGGUUUUGUCAUUUAUCUAACUUGCAUAUUCUUUACCGCCAGCUUAACAUAAUUGGUAGCUUCUGGAUAAUUUGUUAUUCCUUUUGAUUAUUACUUUCCUUAUAUGCUUAAAGUCUGUGAUGCUCAUAUUUUCUUGCUUUUUCCUUUCUUCAACUGGAAUCUUGUUUUUGGUGCUUUGAACUCUAUAAGCAAACUCUAGUAACUAAUACGUAUAGUUGUCAAUAAUUUUCUUUGGAUAACUUAAUUCUUCUGCCUGUUGAGGAACUUUUUUUUGUCCAGAGAGCAGAAUACUUACUUUGUGAGUUUUUCUGGCAUCCAUAUAGCUAUGGAGAAUCUUUAAUGAUCCGAAGCCUUAUAUCCUUUUGAGAAUUUUCACCAGUAAAGCCUCCAAAUUGAAUUCCUUAAGAACAAGCUGCGUGGUUCAGCAAUUUCUGAAACUUUUUCCCGCGAGAUGGGAAAGUGCAAGAGUUAAUUUAUUCAUGUCCACCAUAAAUGUGCUUCAUAUGCCGUGGGAUGGCUGCCUAAUCACUUGUAUGUAAAACAUCAUGUGCUUUACAGAGGACCAUGACAUCUGUCAUUACCCAAGAAGUUGCAAUGCUGUAUUUUAACUCUUUUUACUCAACAUCAAUCUGAUUACGUCUUUGGAUGGAAUGGGGUCAAAUCUUAUUUCAUUUUGUGUCAAUCUGUAAAUUGCCAUUGGUCAGAAAAUUAGUGGAAUUUUGGGUUUAAAAGCUUAGACUGUCAUGCUUCCAUAAUCGCAGAUGCAAAUGGACCAUCUCUGGGUGAUGGAAAAUUGUCAAUUUUAUUCAAUGUGUUCCUUUUGCUUAUGUGGAGUACUGUUCCGACUUGAGCUUGUCAUUUGGUGAUUUAUAACUGGAGAUUUGUUUUCUGUUAUUUGAAUUAUUCAUCACCUUGCAUCUGGCAUUUUGAUUGGUUGUUGAAUUUUGAAUUUCAAGAACACCAGCUUUUGGGCUUGAUAUGUUGGGGCUUGACUUAGAGUAUAUUCCAUACAGGUCUUUCCUCUGCUCAUAGAAAAGUUCUCAGUUGAAGAGCAGGCAUCCCUGGUUUGGCAGUUUUUGUGUAGCAUUCCAGUAGAUAAGCUGAAAGAAUUCCUUCCCUGGCUUUCCUUUUCUAUUUCACCUGAUGAGAAUGAGGAGAUGCAGAAGUGCUUGUGUAGGAUUAUUCCAAGGGAAAUACUCCUUCAACAGGUAGUCUCGUGUUCGAUAAGAGACAUAUGGUUAUAUUUGUUAAUUAAAUUCUGUGAACUCUCUCUUUCUCUUUCUCUCUCUUUCUCAAGUUUCCGUUGCCUUUAUGCUAGCAACUCUCUGGCUGAUGACUAAUCUUUGGUUGAAGGUAAUUUUCUCAUGGAUAAAACAUAGAGAACCCACCACUACUGUUACAAGCAAUAGUGUCAGCCCUCAGAUCCAACGCUCCUUAUAUUCUUGUGCUAGCAAAGCGAGUCACGAACAUUCGGGGAAAAAAGUGUGUAUGUAUACCUUCAAGGACUGGCAAAAGAAAACAUACAGUUGCUGUGAAUGAUGCAUCUGAUUUGGAUGGUGAUCAUCCGAUAAAUGAAAUAUUGCAUUGGCAUAAUGCUAUUAAACAAGAGCUAGAAGACAUUGCAGAUGAGGCUAGGAAAAUUGAGCUCUGUGGAGAUUUUUCUGAUCUGACAUCAUUCUAUGAAAGACUACAGUUUAUUGCUGAGGUUUGCAUCUUUCACAGGUAUUAAAGUUGUGCAUGAUUGCUUUUUCUUCUCAAUUUUACUGCAAAUAAGAUGCUGUCAGAUUAUGUUUGCACUCAUGAUGUCGAGUUCCAUAUGGAACAUAUCUUUUGUCGAUAACUCUUUAAGUUCCCAAAGAAAUUUCUGUCAUUAAAAUCAGAUUGCAUUUCUGUUUCUGUCUUAGUAGUAAGGUUUUGUGUUAUAAAUUGCAGUGUUGCUGAGGACAAAGUAAUAUUCCCUGCUGUAGAUGGAGGAGUCUCCUUUUUCGAGGAGCAUGCUGAGGAAGAAAGCCAAUUUAAUGAGCUACGGUGCUUGAUUGAAAAUAUUCAGAAUUCAGGUGCCAAUUCAGCUUCAGCUGCUGACUUUUUCACCAAGCUAUGUUCCCAAGCUGAUUUAAUAAUUGAAACAUCAAGAGACACUUCCAAAAUGAGGAAACAGAGGUACGCUCAUUCUUAGCAGUAGUCGGAUUUGCAAUGUAUGCUUUGAUAACAAGGUCAUGGAGCAGCAAAAUAACUUGCAUAUGUGGAUGAAAAUCACCAGAGUUCGACUUGCAAAAAUACGUUAGAUGUACUUUAUAUGUGAGGACUCAUGAUCUGAUCUAUUUGUGAAUUACAACUAACAUUCAAUACUUCAAGACUAAUUAGUAGGACAAAUUCAGAUUAUGUAGUUGUAAUGGCUUUUAACUUCUGUCACUGAAUAUUUCCUUCAAGACUUGAAUGCUCAUUGAUUAUGCUUUUGGAAAAUAUUUAGGUUCUUCCUCUUGCUCGAAUGCAUUUUUCCUUCAAAAGACAGAGGGAUCUUUUGUACCAGAGCCUGAGUUUGAUGCCAUUAAAGUUGAUUGAGCGUGUCUUGCCAUGGUUGGUAGGAUAUUUGACUGAGGAUGAAGCAAGGAAUUUCCUGAAGAAUAUGCAAUUGGCAGGUAAUGCAUUUAUGUAUGAUUAAUUGUCUGGGUUUUAAUCCAAAAAGUUAUAGUCAUUUCUCUUCUAACUUGCAUGUAUUUGAUUGCACAGCACCACCACCUGAUGCUGCUUUGGUUACUCUAUACUCUGGUUGGGCAUGUAAAGGUCACAUAAAGGCAUAUGCUUGUCCUCUAAUGUCACUGGCUGCUUGGUGAGACGAUAUACUAACCUGAUAUAGAAGAGAACUACAUCCGAGGAUCCUGUCCAUGCGCAAAUGUUUUUCAGAGUGAACGACCAGUAAAAAGAAAUCUCCCAAUUCCUAGUACAGAGGAGACUUUGUGUGGAAAUUCAGUAGAUGAAAACUCUCUUCAUUCAGCUGGUAAUGAACAGUCCUGUUGUGUUCCAGGGUUGGGAGUUAAUGGUAAUAAUUUGCGACUGAACACUAUUUCUACCCCAAAGUCUUUUCGUCCGCUGUCCUUCAGUUCUUCUGCACCCUCUUAACUCCAGCCUUUUUAUCUGGGAGACUGAUAAUAGCUCUCCUGGUGUUGACCGCAUCGUGCAUCCAAUUGAUACUAUAUUUAAGUUUCAUAAAGCAAUACUGAAAGAUUUGGAGUAUUUAGAUGUUGAAUCUGGUAAGCUUAGUUACUGUGACGUGACUACCCUUCAGCAGUUCGUUGGAAGGUUCCAACUACUUUGGGGUUAUAUAGAGCACAUAGUAAUGCCGAGGAUGAAAUAGUGUUCCCAGCACUUGAAUCUAAAGAGGCCCUCCAUAAUGUAAGUCACUCCUAUACAUUAGACCAUAAGCAGGAGGAAGAAUUAUUUGAAGACAUAUCUUGCGUGCUGUGUGACCUAUCAGAACUUCAUGAAGGCAUGAAUAGAAAUAGUAAGAUUGAGGAUCUUAACCUGACUUCCUUAGAUAAUGCUGUCUACGGUGAGGAUUGCUGGAGAAAAUACACUGAGCUGGCAACAAAACUUCAAGGCAUGUGCAAAUCAAUCAGAGUCAGCCUGCAUCAGCAUAUAUAUCGGGAAGAACUUGAGCUCUGGCCUCUGUUUGGCAAACAUUUUUCUGUGGAGGAGCAGGACAAAAUUGUUGGCGGAUAAUUGGAACCACUGGUGCUGAAGUACUUCAGUCAAUGCUGCCUUGGGUGACUUCUGCUCUAACACAGGAUGAACAAAAUAAUCUGAUGGACACACUGAAGCAGGCUACAAGAAACACAAUGUUCAGUGAAUGGCUUAAUGAUUGCUAUAAAAGAACUCCUGAAUUAUCUGGGCAACCUGACAAAUCAGAUAGCAGCAGUUCUAGUACAGGUUUCAUAUAAUUCUUGCCCUGCGUUCCUGUCCUGUUGAAAACUAUGAUUUUCCAUUAGUUAUUUAUUCUAAGGAUAUAUUCUGUCAGAAUUACAAGUCUAGUUUCAAACAUUCUAUAGGUACUCAAUCUCAGGAAACCUUGGAUCAGGGUGAUCAGAUGUUUAAACCAGGUUGGAAAGAUAUUUUCCGCAUGAAUCAAACUGAACUUGAAUCAGAGAUUAGAAAGGUGCACAGAGACUCCACUCUUGAUCCCAGGAGAAAAGCAUACCUGAUUCAGAAUCUUAUGACUAGGUAUGCUUCAAAACUGUACUCUCAAAUUUUUGGCAAAAUGUGGGUUCUUCUAUUUACUGGUAUCACUGAUUUUUAUCUAUUUGUUUUUAAAUACUUAGAUGUUGAUAAAUUGCUUUAUGGUCUCUGAAAGUAGCAUUUUUCAUUGGUUUUUGUUUGUAGUCGUUGGAUAGCUUCUCAGCAGAAAUCACAAGUAUCAAUGGAUGAAAAUUCAGUCAGUGACGAAACUCUUGGACUUUCACCUUCAUUUCGGGAUACACAUAAACAAGUUUUUGGGUGUGAACACUAUAAGAGAAACUGUAAACUCCGUGCUGCUUGCUGUGGGAAGUUGUUCACAUGUAGAUACUGUCAUGAUGAAGUGAGCGACCACUCCAUGGAAAGGUAAAGAAAAGUUGCAUAAUUAAGGAUCUCUAUACUGCCCUUUAUUUCCAUUAUUCAUUCUCAUUCCACCUUUGCAGGAAAGCAACAGUAGAGAUGAUGUGUAUGGUUUGCCAGAAGAUUCAACCAAUUGGCCAGUUUGCUCAACACCUUCAUGCAAUGGAUUUUCCAUGGCAAAAUACUAUUGCAGCAUAUGCAAAUUUUUUGAUGAUGAGAGGUAGAUGAAUUUGCCACUUCUUAAAGCAAAAGUUGUUCUUUGCUCUUUUUCUUCCAUAAAAACCAAUAACCGAGAUAAUGGAUAUCCAUGAAUGAAAAUAAUGAUAACAAUAUUUACAAAUCAAUAAGAGAAACACCUCAUUGUAAUCUCGUAGUCACUUUGUUGUAUUUCUUUGUACCACCAUAAAACUUGUUUAGUGGUGGAAUUAUUCCUGUUCACCCACAAUUAAAGUUAAACUUACAUGACAGAUAAGUGAUGCAUCAUUGUUCCAUUGAACAAGUGUGCGAUGAUGCAAAUCAGGAUUGUCAUUUUAGUUUCUACUCGUGCUUUUCAUAAUCCAUAAACAGAGUAAGGCACCAUAAGAUAUGUUUUACAACAGGUUUAUCUCAGCAUUGUCUUUGGUUGUGAACAUUAGAAAUUCAGUAUAUGGUCCGCUGGAAGGAGAAAAAGGAUGGGAUAUGCAAUAUUAACAUUUAAUGAAGCUUAGAACAAUUUAAUCAGAAGUUCUUUGGGUUUCUUGUUUCUCUAUCUCUUCUCCGUCCUGUGUGCUGUGCCACCCGCUUCACUUGCAUGAAUCUUUGUGAGUAUUUUUAUAAAAAGGAGUCUUUAUCUUCGAUGGUUUGUUCUUUUAAAAUAUUGAUAGCUAGGAGAAGCUAAGAAAGGCCAGGAUAUACUUUUGAAUUCGUCUUUGUUCUAUUGACUUUUAUGCUUCCUAGCUUUGUUCCCCUAAUUUCGACCAUCUAACAAAACUUUUAUGAUAGAUUGUACUUACAGACUUUAAGCACUGUCAAAUUUGUCACAAUAAGCACUGAAACAAUGAAUCCUGUGAUGCUUCUUAUAGUGGAAUUUUUUGCAGAUAUGAUGGUUUUUGUAUUGAAUGUGGAUUAUAAUGCUUUAUGGUAUUGAUUUUGUAUGUUUAUUGGUCUAUGUCUAGGUUCAAAAUAUGUUUUCUGUUCUCUUUUUUUUUUUUUUUGGUUGGGAUUGAAUUGGCUGUUUAACAUUUAAAUAAUGACUAUAAUUGUGCACCUGUAGGGAGAGAUAAAGGAAUUAGUAUACUGUAAAACAAAACACAGAUACACACACACACUCUCUCUCUGUUGUUUUACACUAGACUGUUCUCAGUAGUUUUAGUACUCGUGCCAAUUUGGAAUUUUUCAUGCCUGUUCAGCAUUUUGAUUAAUUUAGAAAUCUUUUGGACUUUGUUACUUAGUGAUUUUUAUGUUGUUUCAUAACAAAUGCACUCAGUAGUUCUUCUUCUUUUCUUCCCUGUUGCAGGGAUGUUUAUCAUUGUCCAUCUUGCAAUUUAUGCCGUCUUGGGAAGGGUCUUGGAGUUGACGUUUUUCACUGCAUGAAAUGCAAUUGUUGUCUGGCUAUGAAGUUGGAAGAUCACAAGUGCUUGGAGAAGGCUCUGGAGACAAAUUGCCCCAUUUGCUGUGAAUUUUUGUUCACUUCCAGCGCAACAGUUAGAUGUCUACCUUGUGGUCAUUACAUGCAUUCAGCUUGCUUUCAGGUUUUAAGUUUUCUGAAUAUUUAGCAUUCUCUAUUUUUUGUUGUGCUCGGUCUGUUGCUUCUAUUUUACAUAGAUUAAAAUGCCCUCAUACACCACUGAUUGUCUCUUGACUCUCAUUAUGUUUACUUUUUGUCAUAUUCUAGCAUAUGCUCGCAGUAACUAUAUAUGUCCAAUAUGCAGUAAAUCCAUGGGUGACAUGGCGGUAAGAAAUACUUUUUCCUUCCCUCUUAUGUAUAUUUGUUUCUUCUUGUAUAAAUAACCUUAUAGGUGCCAUACUUGCAAGAAAGCAAAGGCUCGUACGUGUUUUUGCAUUGAUGAUGGAACUAUUUCAUUAUAUAAUGAUCAUUUCCCCUGUUCUUCUGUGCUGUUGGUACCUGAUAAUCUGUCCAAGUUUUUCUUUUUUCAACAUCUUUUACCAUUUAAAUAGGCUACAAGAUUUUCAGACUUUGUAUUCUUUAAUGAUGUAUAGCAUUCUGCUUGAAUGGUUGGGAGUGGCUGCUUUGUCAUUUUAGACUUUCACGUGACUAACUCAUUUUUUCAAAGAACUCUAUAGGUGAAUAUGUUGAUGUCUUAUGGUUUAUCUAUAACUGCCUUUUCGUCCAGGUAUACUUUGGCAUGCUCGAUGCUUUACUGGCCAAUGAGGUGCUUCCAGACGAAUAUAGGAGCCAUCAGCAGGUCUGAGCACAUUCUUUUUCAUGCCUUGAGACCUAUGCUUCUUCAGUGAGAAGCUAUGGGCAGUUUUAGUUAGAUACACAUAGGGAUACAUGCAAACACACACAAACAUGCACAGACACUCGCAAGCAUGCAAGUGGAGGAAAACAGGCAGGACUUUUUAUCCAAGUCAUUAAUUGGUAGUUGUUAACGAUCCUUCUGUAAUUCAAUUAUAUAGAAACACCUUUUGUUCUAGAUUUAACUUAAUAUCCAUUAAAGGUAGCUUGCAUCUUGCCGCAGAUGUUUGUUCUUUGCUAGGUUAUGCCUUUUAAAUUAGUUUUAUUUUUCCUAAAUUGCUCUGUUGUAAUUGUCGUUUAGGAUAUCCUCUGUAACGAUUGUCAGCGGAAAGGUACAGCUCAAUUCCAUUGGUUAUAUCACAAGUGUGGAUUCUGUGGAUCAUAUAAUACAAGGGUCAUCAAGGCUGCAUCUGCAAAUUUUGAAUGCUCUACAUCCAAUCAUGAGGUUGAACCCUCUUGAAACGGGUCAGAGAAUCUGAACUUGUAAAUAGCACUGUACAGGAAUUGCAAAAUUUUUGUAACCAUUCCCCCUCUUCUUUUUUUGAAGUUUGUAGAGAGAGUAGUUGUCAUAUUAGCUGACAAAUUAUUGGGAAAAUUACCCCAUCUCGGUUAAUAACAUACUUUAGAUGGUAAAUGUCUCAGCUUUGGACAUGACUUAUUGACGUUUAUAGUUUGCACAGUUUCUGCUUCUUGUGAAUAGGGCUGGUGAUCAUAGUCCAAACCGUGGGAUGUAGGUUGCUGUAAAUUUCCUUCUACGGCUUCUAGUGCAAAGCGCAAAGCAAGGUGAGGAACCGAACAGAACCUUUGGAUUGCUGUUUUUUAUCGAAAAAUUACGUUUUUUCGUGAUUUCAUUUUCUUAUUACCUUUUUUCCUCACAUAUAUCAAAUCGCUACAGUAAUUUUUCUAUGAAAAAUUAUGAAAAAUGCAAUCCAAAUACAAUCAAGUGUUGGAGUUACAAAUUAAAAAUUCAAUUAGCAUAGAGCCUGUAACGCUUGAUCAACCCAUUCCACCCCAACCUCGAAUAAGAUAGUUCUGUGAACCAUAGAUCUAAUUUAAUGAAUGGAUUGGCAAGCGCGGUUGUUGGGGCUGAGGGGACAGGAGAAAGGUUAUUAGUGCAACCGUUUUUUUAAUGAUAUGACCCCUUUUGAGUAUGACCGUGGGUCAAUGAAGUAAUGUCUCUUGAAUAUAACGGAAUUCAUGAAAAAUUGUUGUAAGUAUUAUUUUAUAGAAAAAAAAAUAUUAUAGUAUUGAGCUAGUGUUGAUAUGGGUCCUGUGUACUUCAGUUACAUUAGUAUUAUACGGCAUACUCUAAAACUUAUUUUAAUAAGAAGAGAUGGACGCAAGUUUGUCCCUCCCACGCAGUCACAUAAAGAGGCCAGCGGGGGGAGCAAGGCUGCAAAAGCCUAAAUUUCCUCCAACGCUUUUGAAAGAAAGAUUUCAUGGUUGGGGCAGAGCCACCUCGUAGGCCUGAGAAAGGGUAACUUACCUUUUACCCUUUUGUGAUUUUGAUGCUUGACACAUAAUCCAUAUAUGAUUUAAAAACCUAUAUAUAGCUUUCAUGAUUUGAGUUAAAAUGUCAUCAUUAAUUUUUCGUUAAAACUAAUGGUCAACGGUAAAAAUUAAACUGAUAAAUUGACAAAUUCAUCCUUUCACUGUCUCUUUUUCUUUCUUCUUUUUCCUUUUCCUUUUUGCCCUCUAUCUCUCCCUCUCUUGAAAGAGAAGAGCCGAUUUUGAAAACAUAUACUUUGGUGCACAAAAUUUUAAUUUUCUCCAAAUAUAAAAGACAAAUAAAUAAGAAACAAAAAAUACCAAAUCUUUUUUUAUUACAAAUAUCAUUAUAGGUUUUAAAUCAAAUGUUUAAUGGUAUUUUCUAGUUCUUAUUUAUCUAUUUUUUAUUUCAAUUUCUUCUUUUUAUGUUUGGUGGGAAAAAGAAAUAAUGAAAGGGUAAAUGUGGGCCAUGUUUUAAUGAUGCAUAUGUUAUGUUAUGUACGUGUUCAACUAUGUAAGGAAAAAAGUCCUCCAUUAACUUUAUUUUUGUGUAAAUAGUGUAAUUAAAUUGUUAGGAAAUGACUCAUAAGAGACCAAAUUAUCUACGACACCAAAGAAAUAUGCCAAAAUAGUUUUUAAUGAUGCGCAUCUCAAGCAUGCAACAAAUAUUGUUAGAAUUUUCCAACCUUUUGUUACAAGUCCUAUAUUGACUUUAUUUUUUGGAGAUGAGAGACUAAAUUGGAAAGAGAUCCAUGAUGAAUUUUCACAAGGAAAGCUAUCACUUUAUUCAUGACAAAAUUAGAUUUUUUUUUUUUUUUUUGCACUCACAUAUUCAUAACUUGAGGAAGAAUAUCAAUACGACACGUCAAAAAAGUGAUCCCUGUAUCCACAAAAAGAACUCAUUGGUAUCUAUUAACAAAGUAAUUUAUAGGCUUUUAGGUUAGUGACAUGAGAAAUCCAUCUUCUGUUGGUAAAACUCCAAUUCCUUCCUCCCUAUUUUGAGAGAAAAAAAUUACAAUAAAAAUGGGGCCAUUAUCAAAUAUUAGAUACCGAAUAUCUAUCAUAGAUUCAUAGUCAUGUUGUUAUUCAAAACCAUUUUACAGGGAAAUUGCAAUUUAGGUCUAAGAUAUUCAAGGCAAUUACUGCAAUAUGGUCCCAAAUGUUUCAUAAAUAUCAAAUUUUGGUAAAAUUUGAGGGCAAAUUGUUCAACACCCCAAAUAGUAGAAAUCAAAACAAUCAUACUACUAGGAAUUUGCCUCCAAAAAGAACACACAUUUGAUCGUCUAUAUCAGCAAUUGUAUAAUUUGUUAAUUGUCCUCCAUUAGUCACAACAAAAAAGUUGACAAACUAUGUUCUAGUGAAACAUUAGAGGUCAGAACGGCUUACAAUUCAAAAAAUAGGGACUAAAAUUGCAAUUGAAUCUUAUCCAGUAACUUAUCAUAGAAUUUGAUUUCAAGAAUUAACAUAUAAAGUUACCUCAUGUUUAGGGGGGGGGGGGGGGGGAAACUAAGAAGUUACUUUAUGGUUGUCAAAAGCUUGAAAAAGCAUUUUCAUGGUUUAACAUUAAUUAUAAUUUUAUUAACUUCCAUGAUAGACACAAAAUAACGAAUUAAGACCAAAGUGAAAAAAAAAAAAAAAACAAAUGUUUACGACAUUACUGUGUUUGUCUCAAGAUGCUUUGAUAACACUCAUUAAUUAAUUGGUGCCUCGAGUAUUAAUAUUAUAAACAUGUACAGGUCCGAUAAACCAAUAUUAAUAUGUAUCAAUUCUCAUAAUCUCCCUAUAGGUGAGCCUCAUCCGCUUCGCAAAAAUAGUUUAAAAAAAUUUUUUGCUUAUUAACUUUUUUAAUUUAAAAAGUCCAAAAUUAGAUUUUGAAUCACUUAACUAGAUUUUACAUUAUUGUCAGAAAAGCUCCAUUAAGGAAUUUUUUUUUUUUGAUAGAUGUGAUAAUCAAUAGUAUGAAUAUUAAUGAUCGAAAUAUUUAAUGUCAGUACUGUUUGCUCCUUGUAAAGCUAAAAAAGGAAAGUGAAACCCCUAACAAUAAUCUAUCAACAGCUAGUUCUGUAGUUUGGAAAUAAGAAUUUAUCUAGUAUUUGAAAUUAAAUUAAAUUUAAUAAAGCCCAUAUACAAAGAAAAACAAAAAGAAAUGAUUAUUUAUCCUAAUAUUUGUGCUCACACCUAUAAUAGGUAGAUAAAUUAUCAUUGCAAUUCUAGAUGACGAAAAUACACCAUAUGUGUGAAAGAGCAGUCCACAUCAACCAAAAAUAUUUGUUUUUUUCCCUAAUUUAGCCUGUUAAAUUGCCAUCAAUAACUUCCAUAUGUAUUAUUGUGGCUGGCCAAGCAAAGGCGGAAGGAAAAUUAAACUCCAAGAGCAAAGAUGUGUCAAAAUUAUUACAAUAUCUGGCCAAAUUAGGAUGAUUGCAGUUGAAUCAUCUGCCCUCUUUUCCCUUCCCCAUAAAACCACUUGCUCACAAUUGGAUCCCCUAACUCAAAUCCAUCGUUUCCUCAACUGUAUUUAAUCUUUCUCAUAAAGGCAUUGAGAGAAAACAAAGUUUGUAACCGCCCUCAUCAAAAUCUAGUGCAAAAGCUCUAAAAAUCAUCGCAAACAUCCAAAAACCAUUAUUCAAAAUUUUUGGUUUUUUUGAACCAUUUCUACUCUUCAUCCUUUCUUUCUAUAUAAACGCUCCUCCCUCUCCCGUUUACACACUCCAAACAAAAUCUACACAGUUAAAUCAACGGAGGCAAGCUUUUUAAGCAUAUAUUUUUCCUUUAUUUCGACAUGGAUGGUGCUGCGGAAAGAAGCCUUCAUAACUUCAUGUUACACUCUCAGCUCAAAUGGGGUCGCCAAAAGCAUCUCCGAUGUGUCAAAUCAUCCCAUACCUCCUCCUCUACCUCAGCCAGUCCCUCUCCAAAAAAAACCCCUAAAGGAAAACUUCUGCCAACCAUUUCCACCAUGCACUCAGCAACAAUAAUAGCAAGUGGAAGAGGGACACAACCACCGACAUUGAAGCCGUACGUGAGAAGCUGGUGACCGACCUCAAAGUCACGAUAGAUAAUCACCUGAAACUGAGGAUGUUCGAUGAUCAAGAGAAAGAUAAAAAAUCCCAUCAUAAGUAUCGUCGGGAGGGUAACAAAAAACCCUUUGAGGAGGGAUUGCCCUGGAACUUGCGAAGUCGUCUGGCUAUCGUAAGGCUGGGCAUGGUGUGUCAAACGUAGGUUUGUCCCCGCCAUGCGGCAGUCACAGAAAUGGAAUGAUGGGGAGGCUAGCAAGAGUUUAGGGGGGCUGCAAAGGCCAAAGUUCUCAGCCACUCUUUCAAAGGAAGAGAUUGAGACCGACUUCUUGCUCAUGACUGGGGCAAAUCCACCUCGUAGGCCUAAGAAAAGGUCUAGGUCGCUUCAGAAGUCGCUUCAGAAACAGCUUGAUGUAAGUUACCUCAUUUUUUUCUUGUGAUUUUUACCUAAAGCAUGCAUAUAUGUGGUCUGCUAGAAUAAUCAUUCAUUGAUUCUAGAUUUAACAGUAUUUCUUUUUUUUUUUCUCUCCUUCAAAUGAUUAUAGAGAUUGUUUCCUGGUUCUUGGCUGAAUGUGAUAACACCAGAGAAUUAUAAAGUUCUGGAGCAUCUUGAACCAAAGGUUGAAAUUAUGUAGUUUUCUGUGUUUAUUGGUUUAGAUUAAUUCACUUGGAUUUAAAUAAAACCACCUAAUUUUUUUCCUUCUUUUACUUUGUAUUUCGUGCUUGUACGAUUGUGUUCUAGCAGCAGGCCGACAAAUGAGAAGAAGAUGAAAGCAAUGGAUGUUGAAGAUCCUAUGUUCUUAUUAAGCAAAUAUGAGACAAACAUUUUUUAGCUUUUCUUCUGUUCUAGCCUUCUGCUAGGGUUUGUUAGGGAGUGGUGACAUAGAGUACCAUGGCAGUACUGAUGUAGAAUUUGCUAUUCCGAUUGUGAUAAAAAUGAAUUUGGAAUCUCAAUCCUAGUUUUAUUUUGCGUUGUAGUUAUAGCAUCAAGUUAGAUCGUUUAAACCUUUUUAUUUGGACAAAUAAACGUGAAAGUUUAUAAACUUUGUUUCCCUUCAUGAUCAUUUCAUUUGAUCUCAUAAAAUGAGAAAAAAAAUGCGGUAUCAAUUUUAAAUAAGUAAUUUGGAUUUCAUUUUUGAAAACCAAGUAGAUGCAGUUUGAUUUUCUGAACAGAAAUUGAUUAGCUUUUGGGCACUUGAAUUGUAUGCAAAAUGACACAAAAAGUUCAUCCGUUUUUUUUCCGUAUUUUGAGCUUCAGCAUCUUGUGUUUCUUUGGUCGUCAUUAUUUAACCUGUAUCACAAAAUCAUUUAGUACAAUGUAGAGGAUUAAUUGGGCUCAAUGGGGGUAAAUUCUUUUAUGUAUUUCUGACAAAAAUUACAGACUAUUUUAAUUUUUAAGUUACUACUUAAACAUCAUCAUUAUAUUCAUUUUGCAAAGUUAUAAAAUAGUCACGUCAAACCAAAUUUAAUGACAUUUUAAUUUUUGUUCUUGACAUAAUUUUUGUAUGGAAUGAAAGUGUAAGUAAGGUGUUUCGGGUCCGAAUCUUUUCACUUACGCCGAAAUUUUUUUUUUUUAAGCUUACGACUGGAUUACAAAGUCUCGGCCAGGACUACUGACCAAAUCCUAGGACUAUGGACUCGUCAAUCGACACUUAUUUUAUUUGGGCCAACCGAGGGAAAAUUGCAAGUUCAACCUUGGGCUAGACUUCGACCAGCGAGUUGGAAAUCGUGAAGCUCCAACAACUUAUAAACGUGAAUGUAACCUGACAGUUCUGUGCAACAAUUAGUAGACAAGUAAUGUACAAAUCCAAAUUUCAUUAUUGGGUAGAUUUUUCUGACAUCUCAAUUUUAUGUAGCAAUUAUGGGGAAAAUGAAUAACGUACGAAAUAGGAAAUGAAUAGCUCUGUUCCUCAGCUGUUACUACCGUAUUUUAUUAGAAAAUAAAAAAUAGUGAAUCACGGACGAAUCCACGAGUUUGUUUGAAUUGCACAUAAUUUACAUCUUAUAUUACACACACUGAUCUGCUUGCAUUAUCAACACAUUUUCUAACCACCUUUUUAUCUCACAUAUAUCACAUCAAAAAAAUGUGUAUUUUUUAAAAAAAUUAUCCCAAAUAAUCUCCAAUCCAAAUACUCUAUUUUUCUUGAAAGGUUAGCCAUUGACAUUACAAUGGCACUAUCUUCUUCUCUUGAUUUUUUGGUUGAAUUAAUCUUCUAUACACUGCCAGUGUAUACACUCUUACCAUUGGAUCCAUGACACAUAAUCUGAAUUUGAAUUUGAAACUCAAAUUUUGCAUGUGUAUCGUGUAUCUAAUCGUGAUAAUAUAUACACUGUCAGUGUAUAUAAGAUUUGCUCCUUUUGAUUUUAGCGUAGUAUAAAAAUAUAAUGAAGAAUUUGCAACAAAUUGCUUUGUCCUAAAAUAGAUUAACAAAAGGAUGGAAAUCUAGGAUGCAAAGUAGAGAUCAUCGCUUAGAUAAUACAAGGUCAAACUUACAUGAAUAACUAGUGCAGUAGAAUGAAAAUAGAUUGAGAAUGUGUUUACGUUUUUAUAAAACAAAUACGGCUUAAUUGUGACUUGUUUAUGAGGUGUAAUCAUUUUUAUUAAAAUUUUAAAAAAAAAAAAAAGGAAACAAUAGCUAUUGAAUUUUCUGUAGCCCUCAAAAAACAUUAAAACCCCAAAAACCAAGAAGGAAGAUUGCCCAGAAAAUAUUAACCAGACUAAGUAAGUAAAUCUAGACACCUGCAACUUACUAUUUUAGAGCAUAUGAUUGUCAUUAAUGAACAUUGAAUUAUCCGAGAAACAUUUCACCCAAUCUUGUACAUUUUUCCAGUGAAGGUGGUCCAGGUAAUUAUGCAAUACCACUGAUGAUGUUGCUACGGCAUUUUGUCCUUGCAGACGUGUAUCAGCGUAUGUCUAUGAGUUUAAUUAAAAAGAAAAAAAACAGAGCCCCAACCAAAAAUAAUUGCUAAAAAUUCUCAAGUAUAUGGUGCAUUGAUGAUGUUUGGCUAAUUAUUCUGCUUUGCCACCCUUGAAAAGGAGACAAAAUUCAAAAAGCCAUGUUCAUCGAAGCUACAGAGUUGGAUUGAUUUUUACUCAAUCCAUCUCUUGAAGCAAGUGGAGUUAGUCACAGAAAGCAAUGCCUAUCUUUCUUAUUAAGUAUAGUGAAGCAUAUGCCGUGACCAAGGUAUAUACCCUGUUACACUACAAGAAAUAGUACCAUAAUGUAGCUGUAAUUCAUCUUUAUAUAUUUUUUUACUGUAACGAUAACAUUUUUAUAAUUUAAUAUAUUCUAAUCUAGAGAAGGAGAGCCUAAAUAGAUAGACUGUAUAUAGGGGCUAGCAGGUAUAAGAAUCUGACUAGAUAAAGGAGUGCUCUUUUAAAUUUUUUUUCACUGUGCAACUGGAGCCCAAAUCUUUGACAUUCAGCCCAAACCAAAAGAAGAACUUAGUCCCUUUUACAUGCCUUGUGCUUUAUAAUAGUGACCUGCAGUAGGUAAUUGAUCUUUCAUAGGACCUUGUCCUUUUUGUGCCUCCCCUUUCUGAUGCAUCGAGGAUUGUCUUGUUUCGAGCAGAAAAUACGGUUUUACUUUUUACCUUCAAGAGUCAUGCAUUACCUUACGAAGCUAUGCCUAUGAUCUUCUAUUCAUUUGCACGCAUCAGAUAAAGUUUUGGUCAAAAUGAUCCCCAAGUUUAUAGGACUAUUCGUUUGAAUAUCCCCUCAGACAGAGGUAGAUAGGACACUUCACUGGAUUGAACUGGGAUGCGUUCACGUGGACGAGUCUCUCUUUACUUCUUCCUUGUCCUAUGCACAUUCUUGAUUCCAACAAAAAUUUUGUGCAUGCAAGGUAAAAGGCACUCCACUGAUCCUGUCCUGGAAAUUUUUGAAUUCAUAUCUAAAUCCAUGGUUGAAAUUUGGUCCAUUUGGAAGAGGGAGGGUCCUACAUCUGUGUAGACCAGGUGCUAUGCAGGUGCUGGAUUUGGGAAUCUUGCAAACCACCAGCAUAGGCACAUGUACGAGAGGAAAUGAGAAGCUAAUAUGUAUGUAAUGUGGAAGUGGGGUGGCAAAUGGCAAUUUCAGUUUCUGUUUCUCUUUUUUCUUCUUUCCUUUUUCCUUAUUGACUCUCUGUUGCAUAAUUAUUCAAUCCGGUCCAACAUCAAUCGGCAAGGACACCGAUUCAAAGGGUUAGCAGUCUGAGAUUCAAAUGUCAUGCACAAUUAAUGAAUUGAUGUUGAACAUAUGGUGGAACCUCUGGCGUUCUGAAAUUUUAUUCAUUGAACCUAUGGUGAACCAUUGACUAGUGAACAAGUUCCUUCCUUAUAGAAGUUUCACAAUUCAUGUCCAAAUUCACCGGCUCAGUAGCCAUUUUUAGAGCCAACAUCCUUUUGGCUAUUGAUACCACCAAGACAUUUAAAUCUUAGCAAGGGUGAAAGGUCAAAGAUUCAAUCUUUGACCCCCACCUUGCCAUUAUAUUGUGAUUUUUCUGACGAAAAAAUUUCGUCAAUUUUCUCUUCCUUUAGAUUUAGAAGAUUAGAAUAGAAUAGGUUAUACAAAUAUUUAUUAUCAUUGCAAUAAAAAAAUAGCCGUUUUUAGAGACUACAGGCAGGGUGGUGGCAACCAUUUUUGUCCAACCACUUGCGAUACAAUGUGUACAGACAAGGGAAUCGCGACGCAGAUGUCUCGACAAUUGACCGUAAGAUUGAUGCUAGUGGUCUUUGACUGCCAAAAGUAAGAAUUUUCUACAGUUUUUUCUGUCCACUGAGAAUGGUAUGAAACUAGUGCUUUCGCCCAAAAGUUUACUAUUCUUGCAUCAUUAAUGAAAAAGCUCCACCGCUGAGUCUACAAACCUAAUUAGAACCAAGGUAGUCAAACGAACACCAGAAAAAUGUCUACUGAAUUCUGGUUGCCCUCCAUCAACGGAUUCUAUAGCCCCCUGAUUUUGCAGUGGGAGGCAAAAUGCGGAUGCACCAUGUUCCACUUUUUCAAAUUUUAUUUUUGGGUCCUGGGACCAAAGCAGGAUUUGCAACUCAGUAGCAAAUCUACGGGUUUUUCAUAGCCAGGUUGUUUUACCCCCUUCAACAAAUUUUGACACUUCAUUUUCAGAAGUGGUUCAACGGGAACUAUUGAAAUAGUAUGGUAUGGUAGGGCUUGAAGUUGGUGUAGUAUUUACAUCAACAAUAUAUUACGGACGCUGACUUACAUUACAUAUGCAAGGAUACAACAUCAAUGUCAAGUCAAGUGGAAACUCGUCAUAUUCUUGAUACCUGGAACAUUUGUAGAACAAAGGGAAAGAGAUUUCUGCAUUCAAUAGCCGAAAACAGGGUCCAAUACAGAUUAGAGAAAUAACUCACUGUCGGAAAAUUAUCUGAUCAAGGACUCUUCUAGUUUUCUUCAGCUUCAGCAUUGGUUACAUGGCACUAAACAAAGCAGUAACUACUCAAGAUGCUGAAGCAUUAAUAGCUUGACUUGACAUGCAUUAUUGUCAUGUUAUAUGGACUGAAAAUAAUGAUACAGUAUAAAUUAUGAACCUGUUGGCAUGAUCAAUAGCUUCGAGCAAAUUCCUUCAAAGGCUUCAAUGAUUCACGGGGAGCCAAAAAUAUUUGGAAUGAUCACAGUCGGCAAAAGCGUUCAAGGUUGCUAGUUAUUAGAUUAUAGAAAAGUUAGGCCUAUUAAGGAUUUCUUUGUCCCUCACUUGGUACAAGAUUUCUUUAUUCUUCUGGAUCCGGUGGUCAAAAAAGCUGGAGUUGCAAACUGGGAAGACUUGAUGUAAAGCUUCACUUAUCGAUCCCAGAGGCAUAAAUUAUUCGAGUUUCAACAAAGAGGAAAGUAUGGAGUUAGGUAUCCAAAACAUGGCCCGCAACAGUUUAAAAUAUAAAAGCAGGUUAAAGCCUAAAAGAGCCUAGAAGGGCCUUUCCUGUUUGAUUUGGUCCUCCAAAUCCGCUAGUCAUUAGCGCAUAAAUCACAUUCCUCAGAAACAAACAAAAAGCAAAGACAAAGCAAAUCUAAGCAAAGAAGGACCUAAUUCCCAUAAUACAUGAUUUACAAACAUCUAAUCAGAGUAAGCCCCGGAAAGCUGCAGACUCGAAAAUCUAGAGGAGAGCAUGUCAUAGAGAACCAAAAGAGGGAAGAAAAGGCCUGCCCUGAAUAAAGGUUACCUGCUUCUAUGUCCCCCAAGCUGGUGACAUGCGGAUAUGCACUACCAUGACCUUUCCAAAUCUUCCAUUCUCUAUAUCCCUCUACUUAUCUUCAUCAAAUAUCUUUGUACAAUAAUAUUUCAAAAUUUUGACAAUAUAAUUCAUCAAAAGAUGGUUACUUUCCUAAUAAGCAUCACAAGGUGGAAUCUCUGAUCAUGUCAUAUGGCAAAAAAUUUGGAUGUUUAGCGUACCAUUAGCAUAUGCAAUCCAUCAUCAACAACCUAAAAUGAGCAAAUUCUUCAGGCUACUAGCAUAGAUUGAAUUAAGACCUACCGUGUAAAAAGGUCUUGCAAGAUGGUUCAUUUGCUCGAAGAUAACGAUGAAUUAUGAUGUUACAGCCAACACUGCAAAAGCAUCAUCAUUUUUUCAUCUUCUUAUCUUUUCCGUUUCGGAAAAAAGACCCCAGACCAAGGAGAUUGGCAGUUCCCUUGGAAAUAUGAGAUGAUGGAACUGGCACAUUGAGCACUGGGCUAAUCCGGAUCCCAUUUCCAUUAGACCCCAUAUAAUUCUUCCUGAGAGGAGGUUUUUGUGACAAUGGAUAGACAUAAAAGCUAGGGGCUGAUGUUGCAUUUGAACUUGCAGAGGCGGAAGCGGAAAUCCCAUAAGAUUCUUCUGCUGUUUGGAAGAUGCAUUCUGUUUCUGACUUUCCCUCAAGCCCUGUUUUGAAUUUGGUACAGAACCAGUUGAAUUGCUCCUAGACAACAGUGGUAAUGACCAAAAUGAGCUCUUUUGUGACAUUGUCACAAUGAAGGCUACUACUUCUCUUGAUACCCCAAAAAGAUUUUGACUGAUUCUUCUGCUCUGGUUCAAUAUUUGUCAAGGUGGAUUCUUUUUCUUGCAAAAUCUCUUGCUUUGAGCCUCCAUUUGCCUGAGGAACAAACGGAAGAGGUGGAAGAGAAGGCACCUGGUGAGCCUGAGCUUUAGAUUUCGAAGCAUUUUUUGGAGUAUGAACAAACCUUUCUUGGAGCUGAACAGGGCGAAUUAAGCCACCUGAGAAAAGCUCCUCAGCUGAAGAAGUUUCAUGAGCCCCAGUGCUAUUGCUGGUGAUGCAGAAAGCAAAAUCAUCCGAGUCUGAGUCAAGCUGUAGCAUAGAAUCUAGGCGAUAAGGUUUAUCUUCGACAGCCGCGGCCUCAUCUGUUUGGCAAAGAUCAUGAGAAAAUGAAAUUCUUGGACUUGUAUUCAAGCUUGAAUUCUCUGUGCUCGUAUCAAUUGCCAUGGUUAACUAACUUUUGCCUCAAGAAUUUGGGAGACCUGAUGAUAAAAAGCGCAUCCAGGAUAAAUCUAAAUGGGAUUCUUGUACUUAGAAAACAAAAAUUUUUUUAAGGAUUCAAAAAAGUUGUGGGACGACAGCCGCUUGAAGAAACAGAAAAUUGACAAGAUUGUUUAACAAGCCAAAGAAGAAACGUCAGCUGAGCUUUGACAGUGUCCAAAAUUUCGGGCUUCUGGUGGACUGCUAGGAUUACUUUCAUGGAUAAAUAUUACAAGUGCUCAGUGACUACAGAUCAGAGAAUUUUCCAACUAUGACUGUUUUGGGAAAGGAAUAGUUUGAGAAAGAGUAGAGGAGAAGGCAAAAAGACAGAAAAAGAGGAAGAGAGAGAUGCAAGGUGGUAGAAAAGUUUCAUCGCACUCAGAGAGUUUCCUUCUUACAACGGCAAAGAAAAACUGAUUUGAGGAGUUUAAGUAGUAGACCAGUCAGUCAGUACAAGCACCUCAUCAUCUACUCUUAAGCCUCCUUUUUUGUUGGCUAAAUUCUGGUGCUUAUUGACUCAGUAGGCUUUUGACUUCCGAACCAAAUGUCAAAAAAAAAAAUUUGAAAAAAUUGUUGCCACUUAUUUAGGAAGACAAAUCUUUUGUAAGUAUUUGUGAUCCUGAGAUAAUUGUCAGAAUGUGUUAUUUCUUCUGAAUCUUCACAAUGUCCUGUUUCUUGAUUGAAGAUCUAAUACUGCUUAAUAGUAUUCCAUACUAAAUGACAAGAUUGAUCCGAGCAACAUGUAUUUAAGCAUUGGCAGCACUAGAUUAGCAUUUAAAGCAAAAGACUCGGUGGCUUUCGAGCUGAUUCUAGCAAAAUACCGUGGCACUUUAGUACUUUAUUUGGAAUAAAUUUUUUUUAAAAAAAAAGAACAGUGUAGCACUUUUUUUAUGUGAUAGUGUGUGAGAUAAAAAGGUAGUUAAAAAAUGUAUUACUGAUGUAAACAAAUAAUUUUAGCAAAUAAAACACCAUCCAAACAAACCGAUCGAGGGGUCAAUUAAAAACAAAUGGAUCAAAAAUAUAUUUUAGUGAAAAUUGUUCUGUAAUACAUUUAUUAUUGAAACUUUCAUGAUUUUUAUGAUCAUAUCUAAGAGAAUAAAAAAAGCCACCUUAUUGUAUAUUACUAAGAUAUUCGUCGCUACUUUAGUUCUAUAUUAUUUGCCAAAUUUGACACUAUAUAAUUUAGAAGUAAUAUUCUAUACACUGACAGUGUAUACACUUUCACCGUUCGAUGCAUGAUACAUAAUCCGAAUUUAAAUUUGAAACCCAAAUUUUGUACAUGUGUCAUGCAUCCAACCAUAAUAAUGUAUACAUUGUCAAUGUAUAUAGAUUUACUCUAUUAAUUUAAUGAAUCUUUUGAAAUGUCGCCGAACGAGCAGUAUUAGAUAACAUGCUAAAAAAUAAAAAGCCAAUGUAAUAAAUCAUUUUAGGAGGAAAAUUCCAUAAUUCCUUUAGAAAACCAUUUCCUCGAUUUAGGUCCGAUGGUUAGUUGCCAUAUCACUUAACAAUCGUAGUGAUUCACAUAUUAAAACAUUUGAAAUUUUUGCAAUUCAAAAGUUUUUUUUUUUGUAAAAAAAAACUCUUAUUUCAUCAUCCGACCGACACAGAGUAUGACAAUCCAGAGGAAUUGUUGCAUCUUAAUGACAUAAUUUCUUUUUAUGGCUGAUGAAAUUGAAAAAAGUAUUGAGUAACAGCACCUAUCCUUCAUUUGCAAGGGGUACUGCAUAACUGAACUUCGGAUUCAGUGUUUGAACAUUACAUUUGUAUCUGCAAUAGAAUGACGUGUAUAUGCAUGUAUGUACAUUUGAAACAGGAUGAGCAUCGAAAUACACAAUUUUGAGAGAAAAAAGGUUGGGGUGUGGUUAAACCCCUUUUUCUUGCAUGAUUGAAGUUUUGGUGGCCUGCCAUCUCAACAACCGACUGGAGUUGUUUUCUUUUCCAACAAAACAAAAUCAAGGUUUCUUGUAAUUUGGGUUUUUAUUAUCUUUGAGUGUUGAGUAUUUGUUUUUUCCAGCAAAUUCAUUAAUGGGAAUGGGCUAAAAACCGUCGAUUUGACAGUCACAUAUUUUCAAGUUCAACACUCCAGUAAAAUUUUAUUAGGAGAAACAAAUUUUAAAUUACCACGCAAAGGGAGAAAUUAACAACAACGGGGUUACAUGGGGAGGAUUGCAUUGGAUUGUAAUGAAAGAGAGAUUGUAAAUAAGAGAUUUUGAAUUCAAGAACACUCACUUAAAAAAGAAAAAGACCAAAUUAAAAGCAGAUAAACUUCAAGAUAAUAGGAAUAAGAUAUGAUAUUUUAUUCAAGAUGAAGUUUCAUUUGAUUGAAACUAGUUGAAAAGUUUGACAGGGGCCUUUGGAGCAAUUAGAAUGCUAAAUUAGAUGAUACAUGGACAUUUGAAUUUGAAUUUAACACAAAAUUUUGGAGCAAUGAUUAGCUAGUGAGCUGUUAAUAUCAUAAUUCAUAAACCAGUUACCGUGGCAUGUGCAAAUGUAGAAAUUGUAGGCUUUGGGGUGCCUUCACCUGUUUAUGAUUCAAAUUAUUAUCGUUAUUAGGCUUAAAAAGACUUAGAAUGGGUUUGAUUUGAUUAACCACACAGUUCAACAGGGCUUCAAAUCCUCUGUCCCCAAAGUAGUCUCUGUUCUCUCUGUCCCUUAUUUAUACAGUUGUCACGUGUUUCUAAUCUUUUGUUAACCUAAACUCAAAUAAAUUUUAGAUAAAAUAACUAUUUCUUGCAAACAAGUGAAUUUUGGAAUAACUAAAAUUUAAUUAUAAACAAGAAAAUAUUACUUGUGACUAGGACUGUCAAUGGGGCUGGGCCAACCCGAGCUCGGCUCGUUCGGCCCGACAGAAAGCCCGAUGAGCCCCGAUCAUUUAGUGAGCCGGUCUGAGCUUGAGCCUAAAAAAUAGGCCCGAAUAAAAUGUGAGCCGAGCUUGGGCCUUAUUAGGCUCAAACCCGAUAUAGGCCCGGCCCUUUAAUUACCUAUAUAUAUAAUAUUUAUAUUUUGAUAUUAUGUAUAUUUAUAUAUCCAAAUAUAUUUUUACUAAAUACUAAAUAUAUAUAUAAAUUAUAAAAUACAAAAAUACAUCUAAAGAUUCUUUCAUGAGAUUUCUUGAGAGCCAAUAUUAGUAAUGCAUAACUAAAUCUCUAAUUUUUCUUAUUGGUUGAGUAAAUUUUUGUAUUGGCAUAUUAUUGGUUGAUUUUUUUGGUCUACAAAUACAAAAAUCAUCAAGCAUAUUUGGAUUUAAAUCACAAGAUUAUAAAAAAAGUUUCAACUUUUAAAGAUGUAUUGGCUUAUGAUCGCAUGUUUUAUUACUAUUUUUCAUGCAUUUUAAAUGGAUUAAAUAUAAAUAUUGUUGAAAAAAAUUUUGGUUUAUAUACUUUUUAAGAACUAUUAUUUGUUCAUGUUUAGUUUUAAUAUUAUAGUCUUGUAAAUGUUAACUUAGUUUUACAACUUAAUAGUUAUAGUAAUUAUAUUAAGAAAAUUAAGGAAUAAUAAGUGAGCUUGGGCUAAGCCCGAUUAAGGCUCACAACCCGAAUAUUAUGUGAGUUGAGUAUGAGCUUCACAUUUACGAAUCCGAAACUCAUAGCCCGAAGCUCGAAAAUGUUUCAAAUUAAAUGAGUUGAGCUUGAACUCAUCAAAGCCCGGCUCAUUAGGCCCGAUUGACAGGCCUACCUGUGACAAUUGCGUUGAGCACAACAUACGUUGGCUAUUUGGUUCCCAUAUGUUUAAACUAUCUCUACUACCAGUAGGACCUUCAUGCACAUGCUUAAAAAUAAAAAAUAUAAAUGAAUAAUUAUAUCAUCAAGACUCAAAAAAAAUUAUAUCAGCAUAAUAUCUAAUUAAAAGCUUGCUUUUCAUGUAAACAAACCCAUGAUUUAUUUGAGUUUAGGUUAAUAAAAGAUUAGAGACACGUGACAGCUGUAUAAACAAGGGACAGAGACUACUUUGAAAACAAAACAGAGGAUUUGAAGCCGUUCAACAGCAUACUUGCCUCCGAGUGGCAAACGUGUCGAGCCAAGAAGACAAUAUUAUUAACUUUUUAACAUAGGAUCAUCCCCCGACAAUUGAUUAAUGAAGUUCUGGCAUGCUUUGCUAAUUACGUGUUUAAGUUUUGAAGUGUACUUACUAUUAUUCAGUACAUGAUACGUGUCAAAAUGAGCAAUUAAUAUUGUUCCAAAUUCCAACAAUACGAGAUAUCAUGAAAUAUAAUAUAUAUAUAUAUAUAUAUAUAUAUAUAUAUAUAUAUUUGGUCAGAAAAGAAUACGUGGAACAAAGACAACACGUUACCGAAACAAUUAUUGCACAACAAACAGCAUUAUUUCAUGCUCUCGACCUCAGAUAUUAGUAUUUGUAGAUCAUCAAUUCCAUAUAUAUAUUGAAAUCAUCGAACGAGUUUGAGGAUUAACUACAACUGAAUCUGGUCAUUUGCCUAAUAAUUGGCAAGUUCAUCAUCACUAUUUUAAACCCCAAGAAUACGGUUGAACUACAAAUAUUGUAGAAAAACAUUAAUAAAUAAUCACGACUGACUGAUCUACAAAUUUUUAUCAGAACUCGGAUUGCUGUUUUUUAACAAAAUAUGUUUACAUUUUUCGUGAUCAUAUUUUUCAAUCGCUUUUUUUACAUCACAUGCGUCAAAUUGUUACAGUAUAUUUUUCUAUAAACAGGUCAGAAGAUAACAAUCCAAACGGGUUAAGAAGAGCAGCCCUGUUGAGGCUGCUGUGAACUCGAGGUCACUGAUCUGAUGAUGCACCUAUGGCAUGGGGGAGAACGAUGGGAGGCAUAUCACCACUAUUUUAUGCCAUUGUUUUAGUUUUGACAGGUGAGCCACAAUUGUUACUUGUCAUGUGUGGGAGCUGUCUGCCUAGACAAUGAAGAGACAUGGCUCCUUUGCUGCAAGUGUUUUCCCCCUGCCUAGCCACAACCUUGGACUGCCCCACCCCUACCAGAUAAGGGGUCCUAUAAGCAUCUUCUAGCAGAGCAUAAGACUACAACUUUAUCUGCGAAUGGCCAAGCACUAGAAGCAAAUCAAAAAUUUGCAACUAAACCAACAUGUCCAACCAAUCUUGCCUAUGACCGCAAAUUGUAAUUGUAAAAAGGUGCACAUGGAAUGCGGAUUAUUGUUGUUGUGAUGUCCAGAAAACAGAACCACUUAAAAACGAAUGUGAUUUUUGUCUCUCUGGUUAUGCUUUUGCUCCCUCCCCAAAUGCUUCGAUUCAAGUCUGGAAAGCGAAAGAUCGUUAAUUUAGAGACAUAUCAGAGGAAUAAUGGACCUCUCUUUAGUCCUUAUCAAUACCCAACAGCAACACAAGCUGUUGAUCUAAAUGAUUAAAACAGCAACUGUUGCACAUUAUCCAAGCACUGAUACUUCUUUUUUGCAACUACUUUGUCUCGAGAAGGAACAGAGGAAUGCUUGAACCGAAUCCAGUGCUGUAUGCAUUUCUCCAACUAGUGUGUUGCAGUCGUGAAUCUGGCAAGGUACCUGUUAGAUCCAUUGCACCUUGUAAUUCUGUGCAAGAAGGUUACUUGUGUGCUUUUCCAUGAUAAGUCAAUUAAAUUCUACUGUAAACAAUUUGAAGGUUUCUAUUAUAAAACCAAAAAAAAAAAAAUUAAAUGAACGCAAGGGUACCAGAAUAUGAAAUUCCAUAUUUUUUACUGCACAAUUGCAAAGAAGGUAGCAUAUUUUACUGUUACACGAGAGUGUACUUUUACAUCUCAUGGAUGGACCAAACACCACGGCCAAAACCAAAUUCACUUAUGGAGUAAAUAAAUUUGCAAAUCAAAUGAAACAAUGUGUAACCGUUGUCAUCGCAGAUCGAUUACGUCGAACUUCUGCUUAGGAUUCAUAUAAACGUCUGUACAUUGCUUGUAAAUUGGGCUACCAUCAGACGGAGGGUCAUGAGCAUGAAAACCACGUCUAGGGCAUUGCCUUAUGACAUUCAUGCCACCUGGAGUUGUUAACCGGAAUAUGCCAUGGGUUCUGCAUGAUGGAAAAUCUAGAGUUACUCGUAAUCAAAUUGAAUUUCUUUAACUAUCAAAGUAUGUAUAGCUACUACAUUCACCUCAAGCCAUCUUUCGGCGCCAUCACAAUUGCAAUAGCUUCGGGCAACAUGAUCUGUUUAGGAAAUCAAUAGAGUGUAAGAACAGAUUUCCAGCAUCUAUAGGAAGUGAAAUCUUUCCAAGACAAAGGCAUUAAACUGAUCAAAAACAACUCAAAAACUCGUUAUAUUGGUGCAAGCGUCAGAGAAGAUUUUUAGGUGGAAGCAUGAACAGGCAUAGCAUGCUAAAUCCCAACUUCUCUAUGCAAAAUAAAUAAAUUUCCACAGACCAAAACAAGAUGAGGAAGUAAAAAUAAGAAUACGGAACCGUGUAAGGAUAAUGAUGAGGUCUUAAGAGAGUACAAAACCUGAUAAGAGUAUUGAGUGUGAACAUCUAUCGAUGACAUAAAACACGAUUGUGUGGGAUGCGUCUGCAAUAGAAUAAACAUCAUGCAAUCAAUAACUCCAAAAAUUAUAAUUGCACAAAAACUGACAAGUUGUACAUGUUUAGGACAUUAAAGAAGAUUAACAAAAGAAACUGCCAGAUCCUUGCAGCUACAAACCAAACUCUCCUUCCCCUUUUUCUGGACUCAUCUUAUGGAAGUGAAAUGCAGCUUUAAUUUUCAAUUGAUCUUCUUAGUAAUUGAGAACAUAUUAAGAAGAGCAAUGAAUUUUUAAAAAUAGCUCUUCGAAAAAAUCAACAAGUGAAUACCAAAAGCAAAAAGUUCCAGGAACGUUUAUCAAAUUUAUUAGCUACUUGAAUACUUAAAAAUGAAUAAUGACCUCUAAAAGUUUAGGUUGAAUUAAUAAAAUAGAACUCUUGAAGGAAAAUUAUCAGCUAGCAACUCCAAAGAAAAAGUUGACAGCAGAGAUUUUUGUCCUUGUUCUUGAAGGUAAAUACAAGUGUUCCCAAGUAUCUUUCUUAUAUAUUCUCAGACAGGUAAUUCCACUACACAAAAUUAUAUCUAGAGGAGACCUCUCAGUUAAUAUCUAGAUGGUAAUAUUAAUAUUUGCAAAUAAACGCAUGCCAGGUUUUAAAUUGUUGUAUCAACCUAAAGCAGUCAUCUGUCAUUGUAAUAUUAUGCAAAAGUUGAACAAAGUGCAACCAGACUUCAAUUACCAAUAAUUGCGCUUACAUGAAUCCACCCUAAAGGGAAAAGAGAUUGCUUAUCCUGCACUUCAAAUAUUUCUUCCUCAUUUGUUGUUUGACACUGCUCAGAGAAACAAGUAAAUGAGAAUAACAUUUUAAACAGGGUUGGCAGGGGCAAAUGACAUUAAAACUUACCGAAUCUGAUGUUGAUUCUUGCUUCGGGAUGAUAAGAGCAGUAACACUAAAUCUUCGGUUUUUCUGUACACAACAAAUUAAACAAUGACAAUAGAUAAUCUGUUAAGAUAACAAGUAAUACAUGGAACAUCAGGUCAACUGUGCCAUUAAGUUGAUGUCACAUACAAGUGAACCAGCAAGAACACCACAAGUCUCCAAAUUCUUGUCCGUAUUUGACUUAGCCAGCCUCAUAAAACUGUCCAUCAAUGCAGUUGACUGUCAAAACAAACAUAGAUAGAAUAAUCUACUAUCAAUUUCCUUAUUUAAUCUAACCUCCAGAGAGUUCCAACCAGGUGCCUGAGAGCACAGGUGACAACCAAACAUCCAGAAGAAAUCCAAGUUUGAUACAAAGGGGGGGGGGACACCAAAAAAUUAGGGAAAAACACAAAAAGUUGAUAAAGAUCCUCACAAUGUGCAGUUCCAGAGGAGCUUCAGCACAGAUGACACCAUCAGCAUUAGAAGUCAGUCCGCAAUCCCUGUCCACAACUGCAGGUGAAGUAGAUGGGAUCAAAUCUUGUAUCUCAGCAAGAACAGGAGGAGGAGAAGGCUGUCUGAUGAUUUUCGUUUGCACAGGACUUUCCAUUGUUUCAAAGGAAAUCAAGGAAUCAGGUUCUUCAACCUGAUCUUUUUUGUCAUCUUUGCUUUCCAGGUCCAAUGGUUUCAAUUUUGAUACUUCAGAUUCUAAGUUGUUAUCAUGCUUUUUUAUUGAGGUACCAUCAUGCACAGGCUUCUGGCCAUUGCUUUCUCGUGAAAUAUCAGCAAAUGUCCUAGAUUAAUUAGCAUAAGCAGAAAGGACAAAAGAGACACUAAUUAGAAAUAUGUAAGGUCCCACAAGAAAGUUUUAAUCAAUUUCCAUUGUAAAGUUGUCAUAACAUAAGGAUUAAUUUCUUCAACCGAAAUCUUACACUAAUGGAGAUAUAAUUUGAAUAAUAGUCGACAAUAAAUCCAUUUGGAGCCUAACCUUGGGAUCUCAACAGGUGAAAAGUCUAUAUUACUUGGAUAGCGCACCUGCAUUAAGUAUGAGAGUUAAACCUUUAUCGGCUUCUGAGAAAUUGAAGACAAAGAAGAAAAUCAUCAUACCCCUGUAUCACUAGGUGGAGGUUGCCAUUGCCCAUUAAGCCCAUUCGGGCCGAAAACGGAAUGUCUGGAAAGAGUUUCCUCCUUUGGACGGGGAAUACUUAAUCUUCUACAGUAGUGAUAAAUGUAAGUAAUGCAUAAUGGAGAAAAAUAAUUUAUGGAGGCUAAUACAAACAUCAGACGAGCCUAAAAAAAGAUGCUUAUUAACAUCAAAGUACACCCAAAUUAGGAAAACACGGUCUCAUGAACUUUUAAAAUGUCUUUAAAGCAUAAAAGGGUACACUAGCACAAAUAAAGUUGAUUCAGGAACUGUAAUGUUAUUCAGAUGAAAUUCAUUUAGUACAGCAAUGUGAUGCAGAAAUUAUCAACAUUUAUAUAAAGCAUCAGAGCCGUACAUAUCACUUAAACCUAAAAGAGUAACACAGAAUUGCAACUUCUCUGGUCCUAUUUUCAUGAAUAUCAACAAAUUAUAGAAAACAUUUGGAAAGAAGGAAUAUCUGCUUAGAGAAGUACAGAAACAGCAAGAACAAGUAUAUAACAAACGACAAAAUACCUAGUUUUACAUAAAAUUUUACUACAUUUUGAGGCAGCGGAACCAACAAAGCUUGUGAGUUCCUAGUAGAAGACUUACAUUUGGCGAAACUGUUCAUCUACUGGCUUAGUAAGAGACCAUUGCUGAGUACUUGGAGCUUGAUGAUUGCAUUGUCGAGCAACGUAUGGUGAAGUCUAUCAAAAGAAGACGAGAAUUUCUAAUAAUAGUUUCUUAAAUCUGAGAUUUGUGAUGUCCACAUUAUAGAGGAAGUGUUACCUUAGUCAUGGCAUAACUAUUCAAAUUUUGCUGUUUGCCAGGAUGGUUAACAAGUGACAAAUUCAAUUGAGGCUGAUAACCCCUCUGUUGUUGGUUAAUGUCUUCAAGCUUCCUUUGAACAACUGGCUUAAGUUUCUCAAGCUCAGCCAAGGCAUUCAUUAGUUUCUGCAUAUAAAAAAAGACCAUUGUGAGGUAUAAACCCAUAAAACAAUUACAGGAGCAGAUAAACAAGUGUACCUUCUUCAAAUAAAUCUUGUCACUUUGCAGAGCUGCUCUAUAAUCACGAUGACAUGGUAUUGUCUCAGAGACCAAACUAGAACGCAAGAACAAUGAAGGUCAAUUACAUGUGCCACUUCAAAAUGAAUUUCAGACAUCCACAAACUUGAAAGCACCAUUUUCCUACCAUACUAGAUAGCAAUACAUGCCAAUCAGGGAACACAAUACACAAAGCGACCAAAUACUGACCUUAAGUCACUAAAACUCAAUCUCACCUUGAAUACCUUAGGAGCAUAAUGUACAAAUCAAUUAUAUUAUCCUCUUCCCGAAAGAUGUUAGCCUAAAACAACAAAAAGUGUCAGCUUUUGUUGGGUCCAUUUAUAGCCAAAAAAAAAAGGAUGCGCAUGCACAUAAACUUCUGCUAGUUUAUACAAUUCGAAUGCAUUUGAUUAACAAAGAUUAUGUCUUUGAUAGUUCCUUUAAGAAAGAACUGAAAUUCGCAAAGGAUGAGACUGAAAGAACAUAAGCUAAUGGAUAAUGGAUAUCCAAUCAUAUAUCUAGUAAAAAUUGAUAAUGGAUUAAUUUUACUAAAAAACCAGGACAGCAUUAUACAAGAAUAAUAGAGGAAAUGGGAAAUGGGAAAUGGGAAAUGGCAAGACUAGUAUGACAACAGCUAGAACUGCAGUGUCGUAUAAGCUCUCUUCUGUUGAUUUAGUGCUUGUAUACAUAAAUCAUCAGACACUGCAAGCUCUCUCAUAUCUCAGGUUCUUUUAUAAUUGUUUCAUGCCCAGUGUAGAGCUGGUUUCAAGACCAUUACACAUCUGACAGUGCAAACUUGAAAACAAACAAAUUGACAACAUGGUUGUGAUUAUCACAGUAUAUAUAAGCCUUGGUCAUGCUGCUUCAACCAAGUUUGAGGUUCAAUUUGAACCCAUGUGCAACUAUCAAAGAACACGAGCAAAGGAAAAAAAAUCUUUGAACUGAUUUCUUAAGAAACCAAUAAUAUUCCAAUAUCUUGCAAAAAAGAAACACAAAACUGAGGGUAGCCUUGAAAUCCUAAUAUAUCCUCAUUUUUGCCUUCUAUUUUCAAAUCCGAGCUCCACUACAUCCAAAUUUCUUACAUAAUCUGUUAGCAUUGCAGCCACAUCAACCACUUCACUGGUAUAACAAAGCAUGCCUAUAUCAAAGUCCAACUCAAAGCACAUUUCCAAAGCGACCCAGAACUAGUUUCUAACCGAUAAACUAUACUUAGCACCCAUUUGAUAUGAAAUAUAACACGAGCAUAAAUACCAACAAACUCCUUCACACAACUUCCCAGAGUUGAAAAGUUCCCUACUUUAUUCUAGUUAUUUAUCCUCUGCCUAUACUACAAUAUCAAGUGUUUGUGCAUCAAAGCUAAGACCUUGGACGAAUAAAUCAAGCAACCUAACCAUUUCAAUUUUUCAAACUCAGAACACCUUAAGCAAUUCAAUUUUAGAAGUAUUUCAACAUUCAACCUACAAGUCAAAAUUGCUGAAACAUCUACUCUUCUUUGACUAGUCCUAAAAACUCUAGCUAAUCAUAAUUUUGCUCCUAAAUAUGCAAGUCUCCAGCUGAAAUGCAAGCAAGUUCUCCGCAGAAUUCCGCUAAUGUGUAAAUUAAUGCAUAAUUCACCAAAAAUAAAUAAAUAGGAUUAUAAGUUGUUGUUGUUUCUAAUUGUCCCGUUACUGGCAUAAUCAUACUCAUGGGUGCAUAGUUCACCUGCUUGAGGACAUUAUCGGCGAUGCGAUAAUAGAAUCCCAGAGCGAUUCGAUUGUUGACGUCGAGUUUCCGAGCACUGGAGGCGAUGUUGAUCCUCACCGCCGCCGUCGACGACGAUGACGACGACCGAGUCAACAUGCUUCUGCGACUUCACUAUUUACCUUUCUUUUCUAUUAUUGGGUUAUGGGGAAUCGUUGGUGGGCAAGGGUGAAAAGCAUGUUCAGGGUCGGAUCGGAGAGUUCUGGUGGGCUAUGUACCCGAUUUCUCAGCGGCGGAGCUCCAGAUCGCUCUAAACGGCAGAGCUGGGGAGUAUUUGGGCUGCGACAGGUCAGCAAAGACGUAGAAGGGUAAAAAUGGGUCACAAAAGAUUACGUACAACAGACAAUAAGCAAGAAUCAAACCAAGAAAUUCUUAAAAUCAUAAAUCACUCAAAAAAAAAACCCAAGAAACCUCGUCAGCAUAAAUCACUCUCACAACGACGGCCCAAAAAAAAAUCACUCAAACAAUAACCCAAAAAAAAAGAAAAAAAAAACCCCAGGAAAGCCUCGCCAUCAUAAAUCACUCAAACAAUAACAAUAAAAAAUGGGUUAAUUUCACAUACCUCCCCUGAGGUUUUUAACAAUUGCAGAAAACUUCCCUCAAUUUCUAAAAAUUAUACCUACCUCCCCUAUUUUCACUAUUUAAGUAACAUUCUAGACCCAAAAGGUUAUACUUUUUUCCAAAAUUCUUAUAAUGCCCUUGAAUUAUAAUUCACAACAAAAAUGUAAAGAAAAAAAAUAGUUUACAGUUUCUAUUUCAUUUAUCUUUAUUUCUUACAACUAUUACCUACUUAUCGACAUCUAAAUCACCACUAAAUAAACACUUAUUUUGUUCUAAUGUUCCGCUUUUACCUAAAAAUUUCUGAUGCAGACCAUUGUAUCAACUAUAAAUGCUACAUCAUAUACCCAAAAACUUAUCUACAAUUUUAUAACAAUAUCAGAUUUUACUUAAUAUACUACAAUAUUCAUCAAUAUUCCUAAAUUUCAAUUCCAUGGGUGCCACCUUUUUAAUACAAAAUAAUCUAAACCAUCACUACUAAUAUCAGUAUCCAAUAUAUUCCAUUGGCACAAAGUUCAAAAUCUAUCAAAUUCUCUCUAUAGGAAUAAUAUCAAUAAUUGUAAAUAAAAAAAUUGAACCACAAUGCAGUUAUAAAUAUAUAUCAAAAACACUUUUUUCCAUGAUAACCAUAACAGUAUAACCUAUAUUUAGUUCCUAUUCCACUUCUUAUCCUUAAUUUUAAUUUUUUAUCACUGUCACUAUCUUUAUCUCCAUCUAAUUUGAUAAAGAAAUUAACACUCAACUUGUUAUUUGACAAUUUCAAUUUGCUAAUACCUAUCAAAAUUUGGAAACAAAAAUGGGCGCAAGGAAAUUAUUUACUAAUAAUAGAAAAUCAAGAAUUGGGAAUAGAUACCAAGAUAUAUAAAUAUCGGUGGAUUAAUGUGUAUGGCGAUUUUAUUAUUAGCGAUAGUACACAUUUGGUUGAUAAUAAUAAAUAAAUGAGUUUAAAAGAAAAAUAGAUAUAUGAGGAAGAGAAUAAAUAGUUAAUAGAAAAAAUUGUGGUUUGAAUUAUUGGUUAAUAAUAGAUGAGAGAGUUUUAAUAUUUGAUAGAGUUUUUGACAAUUAAUAAAGAGCAUUAUUGUUUUUUUAUCACAAUAAGAGGGUCUUUGUAAUUAUGUAAACUUCAAGGGAGUCGAGUGAAAUUGUCGAAAACCUCAGAGAAAGUUUCUUAAAUUAUCCCAUAAAAAUAUUUAAAUUAAGCUACCCGUUGGUGGUGUGCAACUUGGAAAAAAGAAAAAAAGGUCCAGGCAGUCACAUACGUGCAUAAGAAAAAACCCAGAGUCCCAGACAACUUACUUGCCCUUUCCCUCGUUGCAGCCAUGGACUCUGGCAUAAGUACAUUCUUCUUCUCCUCUCCUUUUUUCUGUUUGUCUUUGGUUAAUUUUUAUUUCUUAUUUUAUUUUGUUUGGAGUUUUUAGAUGAUGAAGGCGGAAAUGGCGAUGAUCUUGAGAAUCUUGUUGGUCACCAGGUUAGUUCAUCCGAAAAGAGUUUAAUUUUUAAAUUUAGUUGUAUAUGAAUUUUGAUCAGGUCUAGUCUUGUCAAUCACAGCUUCAUCACGGGAAAUCAGAUGGCGAAGAAUGAAUUUCAAUUUGAUAUCUUGGACCCCGCACAUAUACAACUCAACUUCUGUACAAUGCACAGAAACCUUCGAACCCUACUACAAGAUUAUAGUUCUGUCCAUGAGGCCACUCAACAAGUCUAUGAGGACAUUGAAAAUAUGAAGAAAGUAGCAAGAAUCCUCCCACCUGGACUAUAUUUUCAAAAACAUUGGGUUUAUGUUUUCAAAUUUUGACAUUGAGGUUUGAUUAUUUGCUUAAGAAAAAAUUAAUGGAAGAAAUCAAACAUGCAAUCCCAUGUGGCAAUUAACAAAUCAAUGGGUGUGAUAGUUUCAAAGGUAGAUGACGUAAGGUUGGUGCAUUUACUCUUAAGGGAAUAGAGAAUAGACAAAAGGGAUACUUUCAUUAUAAUUGCUAGCACAUAUACUUUCACGCAGCAAAAGGAGAUACGUUUAGAGAAAAUGACUUGUUUCAUCCCUCACAUUUCGUAAAAAUAUUUUUUUCGUCCAUCACUUUUAAAAUGGAGCAAAUUUGUCCUUAACAUUUAAAAAUUAAAAACUAUUAUAUCCCUGAAUCUAAUUUUCAAUCUGAAUCAAAUCAUCCAAUAACCCAGUAAAAAUUUCAAAAAUAAAAUUGACAGAUCACUCGGUCAAUUUCAUCAUAUUUACAUGACAUUUAUUAAACCAAAAAAAUUUAUAACAUAAAAGACCAUUUUUUGUCUUGGAAUAGUAGAGUUUUUUUUUUUUGUAAAUCUUUUCAUGCACUAUUAGUAUUUUCGAUUGCGAAUCUAGAUGUGUAUCAUAAAUAUAAAUUUUAACAUUUAAAUUUAAAUUAAAAUGAUAUGACGGUACAUAAAAUCGUCAGUGUAUACAAUGAUAAUGUAGGAAAGAUUAAUUUUCUUUUUAUGUUAUAAUUUUUUAUUUUUUAUUUUUAGGUUCAUUAAAUUUCACAUGAAUAUCAAGUUGAGUUAAUCAAAUGAUCUACCAAUUACACUCCCAAAAUUUGUAAUCAGGUUGAUUGGUGAUUUGAUUCAGAUUGAAAUUUGGGUUCAGAGAUAUAAUAACUUCAGUUUUUAAAUGUCAAGAACGAAAUUGUUUUGUUUUAAAAGUGAGAGACAAAAGAAUAUUUUUAUAAAAUGUGAAGGAUGAAACCGAUCAUUUUUCCAUACUUUUAUUAGUAUAAUUUACAUUGAUGAUAUAUAUAUAUAUAUAUAUAUAUAUAUAUAUAUAUAUAUAUAUAUAUAUAUAAGAUUUAUUAUAUAUUUGGAAGACUAAAUCAAAAAAUCUUCUCACUUCAUAUGACUAAACUGAAGUCUUUAAUUCAAAUUGAGAUUUUGUGUUAGGGACCAAAUUGAUACUUUCAGAGUAUGUCAAAGGACCAAAUAAAACGUUUCCAAUUUAACUCAAUUAAAUUGAGAUUUUGGAGUUCAAAGGGCUAAACGAAAUUUACCAAUGGCCAAACUAGUUAGUUGACUUUCUUUAAUAGUCAUAUUAUGUAGGUCCCAAACUUUUAUUACUGCCAUUGAAUAGAGCACUUGGUUUCUAGUUUAUGGGUUACGUUUACGGUGGAAACUUCACUUUUCUACCCAUAAUAGGCAGAAGCAAUGCAAGGAGGCCAACUGUGCUCUGUGGGGACUAGGCCAGUCAAAACUUGGCUCGAACUCGAUCAACACAAGUUCGAGCAGAGCUCGAGCCGUUCGUUAAUACAAACGAGGUGAGCUCGAGUCUUCGUUUCUUAGGCUCGAUAGCUCGACGAGCCGCUCGUUAGGCUCGAGUAAAUGUGAAAUUAUAAAAAUACCCCUGAAUCAAUUAAAAUUUACAACUUAUUUUGUUUCUCACUUCCUCUAUUAGGUUACCUAAUUUUCCUUCCUCACUUUCUCCAAUCGAACUUCUUCCUCCACCGACUGUCCUAGCUGCCAAACUCCUAAUUCGUACUUCCGCAACCAUCAUCUCUGCUAGCUCCACCUCCACCACUUCCGCCAGCUCCUCAGCAACCUCCAAGCUUUCUCUGCUGACUGUCCAAGUCCCAAGUCCCAAGUCCCAAACUCCUAAUUCCCAUUUCCGCCAUGCUAUCUCUGCUAGCUCCAUCUCCACCACUUCCGCCAGCUCCACUUCAGCAACCUCCAAGCCACGCAAGAAGUUGAGUUUCUUUGUUUUCUUUCAUCACAAAAAAAUGAACAAGUCAAAGCAGCAAACCUGUGCAAGGCUUCUUCCUUCAAUAGCGAAGAACAGGGCCAAAGCUUUGCUUUGUCUCACCACCUGGAGAGGCUUCUUCACCCGGUCUUAGAUAUCUAGCCGAUGUCUUCUCACUCUGUCUUGCUUUUUUUAUUUUCCUUCUCUUUAACAACGAAGUUGCUAGGAAAAGUUCUAGGUCCGGGGAGGGCUGAUGGCUCUCGUGAAUAUGAGUGGAAGAAAUUUAGAGUCAUCUUCAAAGAAGUUAGGCAAACCAAGUAGUGGCAGACAAACAUUUGAAGUAGUGGCAGACAAACCAAGCAAUGGACUAUUUUUUUGCUGGUUUCUUUUGCUGGACUAUCUUUUGUUUCUUUUGUAGACAAACUCAAGCUGAUUUCAAGCUCCUAACGAGCCAGAAAUCUAGCUAAAUUCGAGCAAAACACGAGCUAGAAAAUUGAGCGAAACUCAAGUUGCUCGCAAGCCAGAAUUCGAGUUAGGCUCGCGAGCCGUAAGCGAGUUGAUCUCGAACUUGUCUUUUCCUAAAUUGAGCCGACCUUGAGCUUCAUUAUACGAACUUGACGAGCUCGAGUUUGAACUCGAGCUGGCACAUAAAUAAACCUAACUCGACUUUAUAAUUUUAAAACUCGACUCGACUCGACUCAUUUGCACCCCUAGUGGGGACGCACAAAGAAGGAUAUCUGGGCACUACUAGAGAAUGACAGUCGUGCGUGGAUGAAAAAUGUAAUAUAUUUUAAAAUCACAACAAAAGUACUCUUAAAAAUUUGUUUAUCAUCUAAUGCCCAAUACUUAUAUUUGAUAAAUUAAAACAGUUAAUUAAAUAUUCUAUUAUAAUAUAAACAACUAUAUGUCAUUGAGUUGAUUGAAUAAUAUUUUCUUUUUCUUUUUUUGGCAUUUCAACUAGUUGUCAAUUAAGUUUUAAUUGAAAUAAAGAUUUUAUAAUUAUUUAAAUUAUUCAAUAAAAUUAUCAAUUUAAGAUGAACAUAAAUAUAAAUACAUUAAAUUGUAUUAUUGAAAUAUUUGAUUUAAUAUGAAGGAAAGAUAAGAAGAAAUAGCAAGAAAUUUUUUAAGAAUUCAUGUGAGUACUUUAUAUUGGUAAUCACGUUUACUUGUUAUUGUAAUCACCAUACCUAAUCAUAACCGAUUGAAACUCAUAUCCACAGGUCGUGCAACGAUUUUGUGUUAUACUGUUUACAAUUAAACUUACUAUAUACUCAAAUUAAAAUUCUCUUUUUUCUACUAAUUUUUUUUAAUAUGAUUUAUGUGUUAUCAUUUGUUUGUAAUUAAUUUAAUGAAAGAGCGAAUUGCGCGAAAUAUCACUAAACUAUUUCAAAGUGUCGGUUCUGAUCACUAAACUUUUUUAUUAGUGCGAAAUGUCACUGAACGAGUAAAUCUGCACCGUUUUGGUCACUCCGUGUAUUUGUGCCGUUAGGAGAGACGGAAAUCAACUUUUUGAGGGGCAAAUUCGUCUGCACAAUUGUUAAAAAAAUUAUGCCCUCAUUCUUCUUCACCCACAACCACCCAUUACCUACAUUGCCACCAUCGCCAUCACCUCCACCUCUACUCUCCUUCCUCUGCCUUUUUCUUUUCUUCUUCCUCCUCCUUCCUCUUCCACCAUUUGCAACAAAGAACACCCUUUAUCGUUACUUACCUUUCCCAACUGUAAAUAAAACAUGAGAUGGAAAGCCAAUCUUCAUGGUAGGGACCUUGGCAUAAUCUGAAAAAUGACUGCCUGGGCAUUUCCAUACGAGUAAACUGUGCUUCCACUAACAAAGGUUUCCUUCUCGUCUUUCCCGUGUUGACCAAUGCAAUAAAUAAGUCCAGUUAGCAUUUCACUAACAGAUUCAGGAUUGACACAACUGCUGUAGAAGGUACUCCAUAUUCUAACAGAUGCAUAUUUCAUGUUCAAAGUUGAACUUUCCAUCAGACUCUUGUGAUUUUGUGCCCAAAUCUGAGAUGGGUUUACCAACUAUUUUGGAAUCUCUGAUUUGUUGGAUAGGUUAAAACUUCUCUGAGAUGGGAGAUUUUCUCAUUGCCUAAUCUUUGAAAUCUUGAGGAAAAAAACCAACUCUUGAACCCUCAUUCUUCAAAAUCAGUAAGAUGUUUACACCAGCUUCCUUGAAAAGAGACCUUGCACCCUCAUUCUUUAAGAUCUGAGCAAAUGCAUCUAGGGAGCUUUUGUACUUCUGCAUAAAAGCAGAUUCCAAAGUUAAACUUCAAACCCACCAUGUUAAACCCUUAAAUAAGAAAAAGGGUUUUCUUCUUUUCUGCAUAAUGGGACAAAAAUUAUUUCCUAAGAAGCAAUUAGGUUGAAUAAGUUCUGGUGUAUGAAAAAAGGGAAAAUAAAGACAAGAGGAAGGCAAUCCCCUUCCCAAAUGUUAAAAAGGAGAAAAAAGGAAAAGGAAUCAAGAGUAUCUAAAAUCUAAAAGAAGCCAGUCCCCACAUCCCAAAUCCCAAUUUCCAAUUUUUACCGUUUGGAGCUGGUGCUCUGUGGUUUUGUUACAAAUGGUGAAAGAAUACAAAAAUCAAGACUGGGCAGUGGGUAACUGAAAGAGGCAGAGAGUCAGAGACCAAUUUCCAAUUGAAAAAUAGUGCCUGCAUUUUUUGGUUGAAGUUUGACGGUGCCGCCAUUCAAAUCGGCCAUCUCCUUUAUGUCUUUGCCGAAUACGAACCAUUGAUUAUGUAAAAGCUUCAAGGAAAAGGCUGUGCAGACGAAUUUGCCCCUUAAAAAGUUGAUUUCCGUCUCUCCUAACGGUACAAAUACAUAGAGUGACCAAAAUGGUACAAAUUUACUAGUUCGGUGACAUUUUGCGCUAAUAAAAGAGUGUAGUGACCAGAACCGGCACUUUGAAAUAGUUUCGUGACAUUUCGCGCAAUUCGCUCUUAAUGAAAAGAUGCUCUUUAGGGUAAAUGAUAUGUUUUGACAAUGUGGAUUACUUUUAAGGAUUUUAAUGAGAUUUAUAACACAUUUUUAUGCAUUUAAUCUAAUUCACAUUUUUAUUUCAUUUGAAAUAUAAAGGGACCAUAUUGAUUAAAUUUUCAAAUAUAAGGGACCAAAAAAUAUAAAGUCAAACUUUUGACUAAUUUUAACUUGAUUUUGACAGUUAGAUAUUGUAGUUUUCUAUUAAUUGUCCUCAGUUUGCCUAAAAUAAAAAAUUUGGGACCAUAUUUUAUUUGGUCAAAAUAUCAGGAACUAGUUUAACUCAUAAACCAAAUGUUGGGGGACCAAAAUUGCACAUCUUCCUUUAUUUUAAUUAUGUUUGAUAUCCUAACUCUUCAUUUCAUAUUUAUGCUUCAAUUAUUUCAAAUAUCAAACUCAAUUAAAAAAAUAAAAACUACUACAAUAUUUGUUUUGGCAUGUACAAAAUUCACUAAAUAAUGUUAAAAAUUUCACCUAUUUUCUAUUACAAUAAUUUCGUCUAUCAUUUCAUACAUUUGUUUUCCACAUUUCUUUGACAUUCACUUUUUCGCUCUUUACUAUUCAUUGGGAACUGUAUCUCGGUUGAAGUGUUCACAAAAUAUUUUCUAAGUAAUAGACAUUAGAUGAUGAACAAAUUUUUAAGAGGGCUUUUAUUGCAAUUUUAAAAUUUAUUGCAUUGUUUCAUUCAAGCACAACCGACUUUCUCUUGUGCUCGGUACAUUAUUUCUCUGCCUGUCUUUGUGUGUCCCCAUAGAACACAGUUGGUCUCCUUGCAUUGCUUCUGCCUACUAUGGGCAGAAAAGUGAAUUUUUCACCAUAAACAUAACCCUAGUUUGUGAAUGUCCUAUUUAACACCACAUAUGAAUCUGUGUUUGUUGUGUUGUUUAGUUUCUAGUGGUUCAAAAUAUCUUUACCAUAAAAAUGUCAGAAACUACUACACCAUUUUAUAUAAUUUACUUGAGACUACAAGAAGAGAAGAAUAAGGGGAGAGAAUAGACAAAAGACUACAAAAGUUCAUUUGUCUAUGCUCUAUAAUUCUUUUGCUUUAUUGUCUAGAAAUCUCUAGCUUUCACAUGCGUCCACUAUCUGAUAAAAAAUGACAAAACAUUCCUUUUUCAAUUCUUUCUUUCUUUUUCUGUUUUUCCUGAAUAUUUCUUGCUGCUAACCAUUACGGAUCCCUGGAUUAUUUCUAGAGUAUCACUACUCUAUCUUGAGCUGUUUAUCUGUCAUUUCAUAAACUCAUUAAAUUGGCUAGCAUUUCUGGGCAUAUGGUAUUAGUGUUUUCAUUUAGACAUGCAAUCCUAAUCGAACGACAAUGCUUAUGGCCCUCCCAUCUACUAUUUUCAUUAACGAAACAAGAAACUGGUGGUCUGUCACGUAUCUAAGUACGGCAGAAAAAGCUUAUUAUAAUUGCUAGCAUAUGUACUUUCACGCACAAAAGGAAAAAGAAAAAAAAUUAAGCCAACAAAAAUGUAAGCGCACUCCAGCAUUGCAAGCCAAAAAAGCCACUCCAGCAUUACAACAAUAACAGUCUCCAAGACCAGAGUACUUGUUCAUCUAUUGUAAUAUCCCAAUUAGAAGCCAUUACAAGUCUGUUGUGUCGGUUGUUAGUCAUGGAAUCCACGUAAGCAAUUGUAUAGAUAGUGACCGACAUAUAGUAGUGACCGACAAUUGCUUUGUAUAAAUAAGGGAAUUAGAGAAAGGCUUGAUAGUUGAUUCUUGAUGUAACUACUUCUUAUCCUCUCAAUAAAAAUUCUCUCUCUUCUUACCCAAUUUCUUCUUCUUUCCCUUUUCUCUUUCUUCAACCCUCCAUCGAGUCAUUACAAGAUGGUAUCAGAGCUACCUUUUCUCGGCCUGAUCUGAGGUAGGUAGUUCCACUAUGGCGGAAGGAACUAGAUUGAAAGGUCUAGAGGAACAACUCAAAAGGCAGGAAAUCAGAACCUAAGGAAUAAUAGAUAGCUGGAUUGCGGCAGAGAAGCAAUUGAGGGAUGUGAUGGCGGCUGAUCGGCAACAUUUGGAAGAGAAAAUCGAAUCUUCCAACAAUGAAUUGAAGAACUUAAUUGCAGCUCUAUCCAAUCAAUUCGGAGCUACGAUGAGGACGGUUCAUGGUGAUAGAGGAAUUUUGCAGACAUCUAUAGGGUAUUCAGACAAGCAAAAUCACUUGGGGCAUACCGAAGAAAAUUUCGGAGGAAAUAGGCAGUUUUUGCAAUUGGCCAUUCCAAGAAUGGAAUUCAUAGUCAUUGAUGGAGGAAACCUGAGGGAAUGGAUCCGAAAAAGUCAAAAAUAUUUCCAUACAUUCCAUAUUCCCGAUUCUCAGAAGAUGGAUAUGGUAGAGAUAUUCUUGGAAGGAAAGGCAGACAUUUGGUAUUAGGGGUUCAAAAUCAGCAGGGGAGUGACCAAUUGGGAAAAUUUUACUGUGGAACUCAUUAAAAGGUUCGAAAACGUGAAGCAAAUGGAUCUUGUGGAAGAAUUUAACAAGCUGCAACAAACUUCCACCGUCCAAGCAUAUCAGGAGAAGUUUGAGGAAUUGAUGGCCGAAGUGGUGAUUGUGGCACCAUCCCUUCCAGAGUCUUUUUACAUUUCCUGUUUUCUUAGCGAAUUGAACGAUGAGAUCAGGUCGACGGUAAAGAUACAUGACAUAGGUUCUUUGAGUGAAGUCUUUAAAAAAGCUAAACUCCAAGAAUCUGCAAAUAAGGCUUAUGCCAAGAAGUAUAGGCCCAGUAGCAAAAUUGCUACUUUCCCAUCAACGAGCAGUAGGGGAAGGAAUUUCAAAGGCGGGGGAGCCUCAACUCUAUCGGGUGACCCAAACAGGAAAUCGGAACCAUUUUCUUUUAAGAAAAUCACCCUAGCAGAGAUUCAACAUAGGAGGGCAAAGGGGUUAUGUUUCAGAUGUGGCGAGAAGUACGCUCCUAAUCAUAAAUGUGGGAAUAAGGAGGUGCACUUGCUGGUGGUGGAUGAGGUUGUUGAGACAGUAGGAGGAAAUGAUUGAGGAAGAGAUUAAAUACCAAGGAAGGAAAACUGAAAAUCAUGUUGAACUCACCCUACACUCUAUUCCAGGAAUUAUGGUGCAAAACACCAUCAAGGUGCGAGGAGAUUGGUUGGGCAAUAAGGUUUCAAUCCUGGUAGAUAGGGGCAGUUCCCAUAGUUUUAUUAAGGCUUCAGUAGCCUUUCAACAUCCUGAGUUGAUCAGGAAAAUUAAGCCCUUUAGGGUGAAGGUUGUAACAUCCCGAAUAUUAGGAGGUUGGUUAUGAAGAAAAUAUUAAAGUGCAUUUCUUUGGGUUGAUUUAAAACCUAAUUUUGUUUUAAAAAGACUAGAAACCCUAAUAUUGUAGCCCAAAACCCUAGUUUACUUGUGACUAACCGGUUUUCCUAAAUCUCUCAUAUUUUAAUUGAAACCCUAAUUUUAAAUUACUGGAAUUGGAAAAUUCCUCACGUUUUCUUAAAAAUUUCUUUUUAUUUGAAAAUUAUCAUUUAUUAAAACCCUACUAUCCAAUUAUUCCAUGAUAAGUGUAAAUAAACCUAGAAAAUAAGGUUUUAUUCUUCGGUUUCAAGUUUGGAGCAAAAUUAGGGUUUUCGCGAUUUUCUGCCGGAUGAAUUUUCGGUACGAAGCAAGGACCAAAUUGGGUGAUUAAAAGUGACUUUUAAGUGAGAAAUAAUAUGUGAGUAGUAGCAAUGAUAUAAGGUUAGUGAAUGAGAAGUAAAAACCCUAGUACGUGAGUUUUAAGAAAAACGGCGCGAACCGGCGGGUCCCGCGCAUUACCGAUUGAACGCACUGCUUGACCACCAUUUUUCUUACCCAACAAGUUUGUUGACUUUGUACAUAAUAUCUUCUUAUAUUGUAGCAGCCUUGACCGAAAUUAGUGGCCAAGAAAGGCAAGAAAGAAAGAGAAAAAGAAAGGGUGGUGGUGGUGACACUUGUCACCACCUCAUGGCUUCUUAACCAAGACCAUUAGUAACCAUUUAAAUCCAACACUUAGCAAUUUCUUCUUCAUUUCUGCUGGGCUGGCUGAGAACAACAAGGAGAGAAACUCCAAAGGAAAAUCUUUCAUUUCAUCUCCAAAUCCAACAAAUAAGUGAGGAAUCGAGCAAAGUAAACCGAUUAAACUUGUUUUCUAGUGACUAGCUAGUGAGUUGUGGAGUGAUUCUUGAGGGGGAGAGCUUGUGCUACUCUUGGUGACUUUUAUUCAAGGUAAGAGAGUUUAUCUCUCCAAGUUUUACUUCUAAUCUUGUUAUAUUAAGCCUAGUAACUUGAUUUUAUGGUGAGAUUAUGGAUGAUGAGCAUGUUUUAGUAGUUUUCCCCAAUUUAUUUGAUGCACUAGGGCUUAUGGAAAUUCUGCCCAAAUGAUUGUAUGAUGUUUAUAUGUUGCAAUUGAGGUGUUAUAUGGUGUUUUGGUAGUGAUUGGACCAAGAAAUUGAGGAAAGAUUCACUAGAAACUUAAAAUUUCCAAAAUCUGGAAAAUGGUCUUAACAUUCUGUCCGAAUUUUUAUCUAUAUGUUAGAGGCUGUUUUGGCCUUAGGUCAAAGAAUAAAAGUUGUAGAAUGACAUUUUAUAGGUGCCUACAAAAUUUCAGCUCAAACGGAGCAACGCAGAACGUGAAAAGUCCAAAAUACCCCUACUGUUUUAAGAAUUUCCCAGCAGUCCGUUUCUUCAGUUCAGUCCAGUUUAUCACGAUUUUUGACCAGGAUCCAUUCUGAUUUAGCUCUGGGCCAAAACAUAAAAGUUGUAGUGUUCUGAAGUAGCUUUAAAAUGCCUCAAAGAAAACCUGAUUCGGACUUGUGUGCACUGAGUUAUGUCCAUUACAGUGUUCUGCGUUUAAACAGCCGGUGAAUUGGUUUCUGGUUUAGUAAUCUGAGAUUUUGACUAAGUUACAUUAGGAAAUGGACUAAGUGACCUUCAUGAAUGUUGUAGCUUUGUGUCUUAGCUUCGAAACGGCAUAGGUUUCGCCUUAAUCCGAUAAGCGUAGCCUCGGACAAGUUAUUUCCGCUUUUAUACGUCAAAUCUGUCUUGUGCCACAUUGAAUUUCUGCACUUGUACUUGAUGCAAUUCUUGUUGUUAUGAUAUUGUGAGCCUAGGGAACGGCUCUUGGCUUGAAUUGUUUUAUGUGUGAUGUUGGGUUGUUGUUGAGAAAACAAUGAAGCCUAAAAGGCUGGAAAAUUAGGUAAACACAAAGGGCAUGCUGCCCAAAUUUACGCUCGAAGACUAGAGAACUACUUGCAACUUGAGUAAGGGUUAAGAGUGAUUAUUGCUUGAACCGUCUAGGGUACUUAAGUCUUCUUGUCCCAAGAUAUAUAAAUAAGGACUUGGCCGAACUUGUACCCUUGAGAAAUGAAAUAAUGAUUGCUCAAAGUACGUUUUCCUUGUACUUUCGACUCGCAUGACCAUUUCAAGUAUAAAUGUUACAAAGUUUUAUCAUUUAAAAAGUGAGCGAGUAUUUCACGAGUAUUCUCCAAGUGAAUUUCCAUUUCUUGAUUCUUAUUGAACGAAACGUAUAAGUUUCGAAUUCUAGUCAUGUUUCAAAGUUCUCAAACUAAGUUUUAUCGCAGAUUUUGAACUCCGAACCCGGAGUAUAACCUGAAAGUGACCAGUGAAGGCACUAUAUCUUUUGGUGAGUGCUUUCAAAUACCGAAUUGAACUUGAUACUUGAACUUGAUAUGUGACCAAUAUGAUUACCUGUUAUAUACGUGAAUUGUUAGGGCAAGAGUGUACUUUAUCGCACUUGCCCUUACAUGAUAUACACUUGUUUAUGGUUGCAAUUGACUUGACAUACUUGUUAUGAUGCCGCGCACUCCCUGGAAUUCCAGAAACCCUGUGGCGAGUUACUCUAGUCGAGCCGGCAAGGGCUUGGUCGAUUGGGUAACGAACCCUGGGUCUCUUGUAUUGUCGAGUGGAGUGAUAUCUUCUCGACUAAUCGGUAUACUCGAGUAUUACCACCCGUCUUUCUUGAGGAUUUUGGGCCCAGCUGGGGGUUUGAACGGUGGACGGAGAGUCGUGUAAGUGGUGUUCUACUGGAUUGGUUACUUACUUGAAAGUUGACGGAGUGUCAACUACUACGUGAUCAAGCUUCUGGUAAUGCAAUGGGAAUUUGGCUCCUGAGAGCCAUCCGUAUCCUUAUACUUUGGAGUGAUUAUUGUUUAUUGGAUUAUUGUUUCUUUUGAAAAACUUCUACACUCGCUCAUUUUAAGAUUGCUACUUGACGUGUUAUUGCUCACAUUUAUGAACUCUUCGUGCUCGUUACUUUGCUAUAUCGAAAACUUGUACUUAUAAAUAAUGGUCAAUUUGCUAUUUGGAACGUCACUGGCCUUUUAGCUCAUACCACCUAUUUGUUUUCCUUACAGGGGGUACGAGUGACGCGUGAGACUUGUAAAAGACUAGCGUAGCCUUUUGUUUUGACUUUUGACUUUUGGUCUUGUACUCGCGCUAUUCCUCGAAUGGAACAUGUUGUACUUGGAUUGUAUAGGUUUUGAACUAGUUUGGUGUAAUGAGGCUUUGUACCUCGAUUUCUAUCAAUGUAAAUUAUAAGCUUGAAUUGCGGAUAUUAUUUAUGGUUCAUGGAUGUGUGUACAUGACUCGAUUGAGAUAGUGAGUGAGUCCUGGCGAGAGCUGGGCAGGCGCUCCGCCGAACCCUUUGGUACGCCUUAGGGGGAGGUGGGAUCGUCACAAAGGUAGCUAAUAGAGAUAAUUUAUUGUGUAAUAAACGGAUACCACAGUUGCAAUGGGAAAUGCAGGGCCAUAAAUUCUCACAUGAUUUCUACAUACUGGAUAUAGAACCUUAUGAUAUGAUCAUUGGUGUUGAUUGGAUGAAAGCACGCAGCCCUCUUACUUUUGAUUUCAAGAAAUUACAAUUAGUCUUUGAUAAGGAACAGGAAUUGGUUACCUUGCAAGGAGAUUUAGAGACUGCUGGUGUGACAUUGCAUAAGGGGGACAGAGCAUCCAGGAUCCAUAACAGGCAUAGGCGGCAACUUUAUGAUCCAUGCACCUUUCUACUGAGUACUGGCAGUGAGACAGCUAACAAUCAUCAGGUAAUUCUUGAGGCCAUUACUACUCUCUUGACUCAAUUUGAUGAUGUGUUUGAAAAACCUCGCUCCUUACCUCCCUCCAGAGAAUUUGAUCAUCAUAUUACACUAAUCUCUGAUUCUAAACCCUUUAAACUAGCCCCCUAUAGAUAUCCCCACAUGCAAAAAUCUGAGAUAGAAAAACGAACAGCCUCCAUGUUAGAAUCUGCGAUUAUUAGAGCCAGCCACAACCCUUACGCUUCCCCAGUGCUAAUAGUUCGGAAAAAAAGAUGGCACUUGGAGAUUAUGCAUUGACAAUAGAUAGCUCAACAACAUCAUAGUGAAAGACAAGUUUCCUAUACCUAUUAUAGAUGACCUCUUGAAUGAAUUGUUUGGAGCCAAAUUUUUUACAAAAAUUGAUCUUCGUACCGAUUAUCACCAAAUACGAAUGAAACUAGAAGAUAUUCCUAAAACAACUUUUCGUACUCACCAAGGGCAUUAUGAAUUCUUGGUAAUGCCUUUGGGCUUACCAAUGUUCCAGCCACCUUUCAAGCUCUCAUGAACUCCAUUUUUGCUCCUAUCUCAGAAAAUUCAUAUUAGUCUUUUUGACAACAUACUCGUAUAUAGUCCAGUCCCACCUUAAACACCUCAAAACAGCCUUAAAAAAUCUUAAGAACCCACCAACUUUAUGCUAAACUCUCCAAAUGCUUAUUCGAUUGUACUCAAGUAGAGUAUCUUGGCCACAUAGUUAUUGUGAUGGUGUCAUACUGCUGACCCUGCCAAAACUCAAUGUAUGAGAGAUUGGCCCAUACCACAGGACAUCAAAGCAUUGAGGGGAUUUCUCGGCUUGAUAGGGUAUUAUCGGAGGUUCGUUAGAGAGUAUGGUGAAAUUGCAAAACCUCUAACGGAUCUCCUAAAGAAGGACGGCUUUUGCUGGAAUGAUGAGGCAGCACUAGCAUUUGAAAAGCUGAAAUUGGCCAUAUGCUCUGUUCCAGUACUGGCUCUACCUGAUUUCUCCAAACCUUUUGUGUUAGAGACAGAUGCUAGCACUAAAGCCAUAGGGGCAAUCUUCAUGCAACAGAGAAGGCCCAUUUCAUUCCUGAGCCAGGUGUUGGGACCGAAGAAUCAGGGGCUUUCUAUAUAUGAGAAGAGCUAUUGUCUUUAAUCACUGCAAUGACAAAAUGGAGACAUUAUCUGCUGGGGUCUCAUUUUGUUAUCAAAAUUGACCAUGAGAGCCUCAAAUACCUAUUGGAACAGAAGAUUUCCACUCCUUUGCAGCAAAAAUGGCUUACCAAGCUAUUAGGAAUGGAUUAUGAGAUACAGUUCAAGAGGGGCAAAGAGAAUGUGGUAGCUGAUACCCUCUCUAGGAGAAUUUCUGAGGGAGAUCCUCUGGUUAAGAGGAAGGAAAAUGUUGCUGCUAUAUCGGCCUUGUCAGCGGUCAAACUAGCGUGGCUAUCUGAAGUCUCUGGUUCAUAUACGGGGGAUAACAAGACUACUUCCUUGUUGAUGGAUCUGGCUACAAAAGCAGUGGAUAUACCUGAGUAUUCUUAUAAGGAUGGCAUUAUCAAAUAUAAAGGGAGGAUAUAUGUUGGAGAAAGCAAUGGAUUAAGAGCAAAGCUACUGGAAUACAUGCAUGCGUCCAUGGUGGGUGGUCAUUCUGGUAUGUUGGGGACUUAUCAAAGAAUGAAGGAUUUCUUUUAUUGGCUUGGUCUAAAAAAGUCAGUAGAAGCAUUUGUACAAAAAUGUGAUACUUGCAAGAGGAACAAAAAUGAGCAUUGCAAGCCUCCUGGAUUGCUACAGCCCCUACCAAUUCCAGAGCAAGCUUGGCAAGAUGUGUCAAUGGAUUUUGUAGAAGGAUUGCCAAAAUCCUUAGGGUCGGAUGUGAUCUUGGUAGUAGUGAAUAGGUUCACUAAGUACAGCCAUUUUCUGCCCUUAACUGCUCACUAUACUGCCAAAAGUGUGGCCCAACUAUAUUUUGAUCAAAUCCACAGAUUACAUGGACUCCCUAGGAGCUUGGUGACUGACAGAGAUAAGGUUUUUACCAGUAUUUUUUGGUAGGAGUUGUUUACGAAAUUGGGGACUAGGUUAAAUCUCUCUACGGCCAAUCAUCCAGAAUCUGACAGACAGACAGAAAGAGUGAACCGUUGCCUUGAGACCUACUUAAGAUGCAUGUGUUUCUAUCAACCUCACAAGUGGAAGCAGUUCUUAGCAGCUGCUGAGUGGUGGUUUAAUACCAACUAUCACACCUCACUGAAGAUGACUCCCUUCCAAGCCCUAUACGGGUACCCUCCACUUCAAUUGGCCAUUUCACCUAGUACGUCAGUAGUGGCUGUUGUUGAUGAUUGUGUAAAGAAAGACAACAGUUAAAUAUUGUGCUUUGAGAGAAUUUACUUAAAGCACAUAAUCGGAUCAAACAAUUGGCUGAUAUAAACAGGACUGACAGGAGUUUUGAGAUUGGGGACUAAGUUUACCUUAAACUACAACCUUAUAGGCAGAGCUCGGCUGCUAUAAGGAAGAAUUUAAACUUUCCGCUAAGUACUAUGGACCCUAUGAGAUCCUACAAAAAGUGGGGACUGUAGCUUACAAACUAAAAUUGCUAGAGAACUCUUUGAUUCAUCCAGUAUUUCAUGUUUUCAUGUUAAAGAAGUCCACUAAAAGAGCUGCAGUAAAGGGCCUGCUACCUCAAGUGAUAGAUAAAAAUGCUGGGAAGGUAUUACCCUUAGCUAUUCUCGAUCAGAGGAUGGUUAACAAGAGGGAACGUUCUGCAAAACAAGUACUAGUGCAUUGGAAUGGGAUGACAGCAGAGGAUUCUACCUGGGAAGAUUGGGUCACUUUCGAUGUUCAAUUUCCAGAAUUUGCUAAAGUUAAUCCUAGAGACUAGGAUUGUUUUAGGAGAAGGCAGUUGUAACAUCCCAAUUAGAUGCUAUUACAAGUCUGUUGUGUCGGUGGUUAGUCAUGGAAUCCACGUAAACAAUUGUAUAGAUAGUGACCGACAUAUAGUAGUGACCGAUAAUUACUUUGUAUGAAUAAGGGAAUUAGAGAAAGGCCUGAUAGUUGAUUCUUGAUGUAACUACUACUUAUCCUCUCAAUAAAAAUUCUCUCUCUUCUCACCCAAUUUCUUCUUCUUUCCCUUUUCUCUUUCUUCAACCCCCACCGAGUCAUUACAUCUAUCCAGCCGAUAUUAACAACUUAAAUUAUCAAAAGCAACAACGGCCUAUCAAAAUGAUUAAUACAUAUUUGUUAAUAACGGUAGGACAUCAAUCCAAGCCCCAUUUUGGCAAUGCACAUUUCCUUCUUGGUCAGCUCCAGCUCUUUCUCCUGCUGCUCCUUCAGUAUCUCAAGAACAUGCUUCGCCUCACACCUUCUGCACUCCCUUCUUCUUUUCUCCUGCUGCUACUUGUAUAGUCUCUCAAGAAAACACUUAGCCAAACUAUUCUGCAACUUUGUGAGAUCAAAUUAAUGUAAGGUUAAGUCGGCCAACCAUAUCCCACGAACAUCCGUUACCAUACGGAUAAACUUCUUUCUUCCAGUAGUUGAUAAAUAAUCAAAAUAAACAACCCACUCGGCUUUGUGGCCAAGGCAAUUUGAAGGGUGCAAUUUAACUAUUUGAUUGACAGUCAGUCAAGUAGUAGCCAGUUGGGUGCUCUAAGCGAGCCAUCUGCGUGACAUAGCCAGCUAACAUGGCUUUUCUAAUGUUGAUAUAAUAGUCAGGGUUGUUCACGUCUGUGCUACAUAACUUAAGUCCAGACCUGACCAUGAUGCGAGAUAGGUGCUCUCUUGCACUUUCAGCAUCUACAAGUACUCUGCGAUUUAUAAAAUUUCUUUCACACCAAAACAGGUCCUCCUUGUUCUGCCUGUAUCCAUUAUAAACAUUUAACAGCAUGAGAUGAUCCUCAUCACCAUGAGGGAAGCAAGCUCUUGCAUCAUCAGCAGCAAUUUAAGCCUCCUGAGGCCGGAUAAAGCAAUUUGGAACCAGAAGCAUGGCAGAAACAGAGAGAGGUUCAUUGGAGCAGUAAAAACCUAAGCUGAUAACAAGCAUUUUAGCCAUAUAUGGAUCCACGAGAAAUUCACUCAAAAUCUCACCCAGUCUGGUCAUGUUCCUAUCAUUAUCCAAGGCAUUCAAGUACUUCAAUACCUCCAUUACGCUCAGUAAUGACUCCCGGGUUGAAGGGUCCAUGAAAUUAAAAUGGACUAUGUCAUCUAUCCCAAGUUUCUUCAAAGUAAGAACAAUGCUUACCAGAUUAGAUCGAGUUAUUUCUGGUGUUGUAUGUGGCUCGAGGUCAUUGUGAAAGUUUUUCUCUAUGUAGAGCCUAAAACAUUUCCUGGUUGUGUUCUUCCAGCACAACUGGAUCUUUGGUGAGCACUUGUCUUUGAUAUCCAAGAAACAAGGUACUCUGUGCCUAUUCGAGGGCGUACUUUUUGCUUGGAGAAAUCCAAAUCUACAACAUAAACUAUCCCAUCUAUGGCCAAAGAAAUUUCAGCAAUAUUUGCAGAGAUAACAAUCUUCCUUCCAGCAGCACCACCUUUCAGCAGUGAAGCAGGAGCAGGUUCAAAGACAUCCUGUUGCAUGGCCAGAGGAAGUGUAGAGCAAACAGGAACAACUUUUACAGGUCCAACCUGACUUCCUAAAUUUACCAUUUCCAAGGCAAUCCUACGACAAACAUCUUAAAUCUCCUCUUCUUCCUCAUUGAGAAAAACAAGUAUGUCUCCAGGGGGUUCAAAACUAUGAAUCUGCGAAAGAGUCUGAAUAACUGCCUCCAGGUGAUUAGUUUCAGGUUGUUGCUCCUGAAGUGAGUAGACGAUAUCUGCAGGGUGAAGCCUUUGAGGGACUUCCACGACAGAUGCACCACAAAAAUACCCUCUAAACUUUUCAGCUUCGUGAUUAGUGGCACUCAUAACCACUAGCUUGAGAUCAUCGGUCUUUUUUUCAGCAGUUUCUUAAGUAGCGCAAGGAGAACAUCUAUUUCCAGCGUUCGUUGGUGGGCCUCAUCAAAAAUGAUCACUUUGUACCUUUCCAGCAUUGGAUCUGUCAUAGCCUCUCUCAGAAGCAUAACAUCUGUUAAGUAGUUCAAAACAGUAGUUGCACUAGUGUAGUCUUCAAACGAACAGAGUAAUCAACUUCCUCUCCAAGGGUCAUAUCCAUCUCUUUAGCAACUCGUUGAGAAGCAAACAUCGCAGCAACCCUUUGAGGCUGGGUGCAGCCAAUCAUGUACUUGCUCCCCUGACUCUCUGAGGUGGUGGUCUGGGUAUCAUUAGUAACAGCCUCCAGCACAAAUUGAGAAACCUGUACGAGAGAAGUGGAUAAGAAACAAAUAUACUAGUAGGUCCUAAAGCACAAAAAGCUCAACUAACGUAGACAUGCAUAUUAGGGAGCUGAACAAAGAAAAAAAAAUGCCAGUACUUUGCAGAUUAGGAAAAAUAGCCGACACCAACAAAACAAAGGAAAACAACAAAACCUAAUGAGGGGUCCAAUUCUAGCUCGUUACCAAUCACAAACUCUAUAGAUGGCUCCCAACAACACAACAAGCCAACCAUACAAGAGUCAGUAAAUCAUGUAAUGCUAUUGACCCAACCAAUCGAACUUACGGGACCGUAUAUACACAGUCCUAUAGGCCAGUAGGUAGAGGAUUAAAGAACCAGAAGGCUGAGGUAGAGUCAAAAAAUUAACUCGAUCGCAGAAUCCUUGAAAGAAAGACAUAACACUAAGGUCUGCAAUAUAAAGUAGUAAAAAUCUAGAUAACCGAGAGCUAGACAGAGACAUACUUGGGUGGAUUUGCCGCUACUAGGUUCAGUGACCAAGAUUAGGGCUUGAUGUCGUGUAAAGACCUUCAGGAACUCAUCCUUGUGCUGCCAAAUUGGGAGAUUACCCCUCUUCCCCAGAACCUCAUUGUGCAGGCCCCACCUACUGCAUCUCCGGCCAAAGUUUCUAGUCGCCUCCGCCACGUGUCCACCCUCGCCGACCAACUUCGCAAGUUCAAUUUCCGUCCCAAUUUCCAUCUGAUACAAACACGCCCCUAAAAUCCUUAAUAGGUAGAGAGAAUAAAUUGAUGACUCUUGAUCAGCAAUAGAUGACUGACCAUAUUCAAUUACUAAUUUUGGAGACAAAACCUAAUUUCUACUACAAUGAUAAGAAGGUUACAGAAAAAGAUAUAUGUAUAUAUACAGGGUAGUGAAGUUCUUGAGUCCUAGAAGGGAUAAGGUUCAUCCACCGAUUUAAUUUUCAACCUGGAAGAGAACGUGAAAAUUUCGGAGAAGUACAGAAACUCGACAAACAUGCCAUUUUCUGAAAGACAACGAGGAAAAAAAUGGAAAAUUGCAGCGCUUAAUCUGGGCUUCGACAGCCAAGUCACACUGGUUCCAAAUAGAACACGCCUACCGAUUCAUUCAAUCAGCUACCCAUGUGUUGUUAAUUGGACCGACCUAAAAGUUAUGGACUUUGUUGUUGUGCCCAAUUACUCCUGUUGCUGUUCCAUUUUCUCAGCCCCUUUUUGGUGGAAAAGAAAAUUUGGUCGAAAUAAGUCCAAGGCAAUAGCAUUUAGUCUGUGAACCAAACAAACCCAUAAAAUUUGAUGUUAAUGGUGGGCAAUUUUAGAACUCCUAUCUAUAUCUUCAGUCGUAAGGGUAAAGUGGUCCAAUUAUUUUGAAAAAUGAAUCGCUUUCUAAAUUAGAAUAUUUUUUAUUUGCAUUCAAAUUACCCUACUAUUCAUAACUAUUUCACUUUUCCGUUUCUCAAUUCCAUGCUAUAAUUCCUAUACAAUUUUAAUUCCGAACUCUUCACAAUUUUUUUUUUUACUUUCUACAAUCUUGAAUCUCCUUCCAUUUUGUUAUCACGUACAAAAUGUUUUAAGGGUAAUAAUUGUUAUCGUAUGCAUUCAAAUUCACAUAGUGGGUUGAGUGCGAUUUAGACAUAUUAAUGAUUAACUAUUACACACCUAUUAAAAAAAUAUCCAUUAUGAUACAUUUCCACAAGUAAUAAAUUCAUUCUAAAUAAAUAUCUAUCGUAGUAAGGAGGUUAUAAAACAAUUGUUCUAAUUAAUUAGUAAAAGAUUUGUCUCAGUUCAUUUAUAGUUUCUUAACUGCAUUUUGGCCCCAAUAGUAUGUUAGUCUAAAAAAUUCUCUAUCCAAACAAAAUCAAAAGGGACGUCCCUAACUUUUUUAAAAAGUUGGAGUUAAUCGAGUGUGUUUGGAUAGAGUACUAUUUAAAAUAAUUAUUGUAAUAUUUUUUAUGAUAUGAUAUAUGUAAAAUGAAAAGAUAGUUAAAAAAUAUAAAAAAAGAUAAGUUAAAAAAUAUAUUUAUAAUUUAAGCGAAAUAUUAUUUAAAAAAAAUUUAGCUUUCUGAAUUAUUAUUAGCUACCCGUCUACUUUUCUUUUCUUCUUCUUUUCUUUUUGAUUUGUCAAAAUCUAGACUUUUUUUUUUUUUUUUUUUUGUUGUUUUGAAGGAAUCAAACGCUAGACUUGAACAGAGAAUGGAUCAAGUAGUCCAAUUCCAACUUGCAAUUAAAGUGUAUGAUGGGACAACAAAACGUCACCUGCUUUGACAACCCCACUUGUAUUGGUCGAUGAAACAUAAAACUUACUGCCAAGUGCCACUGCCAACCAACCCAAUCCGGCAAACCUAUGUUUUCAGAACCGGACCGGAUAGCGACUCGGCCGAGGUCAGGGGUCAGGGGUCAAUGGGUUCGACCGGGGGUCGAUAGGGGUCGAACCGGAUGACGUCAUAAAUAAAAAUUAUUUUAAAAUUAAAAUGUUAUAUAUAUAAUAUCUAAUAAUAUAUUGAUAUUAAUAAAGGCAUAUUCAUAUAUAUUUGAUGUUUCAAAUAUAUUUAACAAGAAAAUACAAAGAAAUUAGAACAAUCAAGUAGCAAUUUAUAUUAUUUAAUAAAUAUUAACAAGUUUAGAAUUAAAAUUAUGAAUUUAAUUGAAAAAUAACAUCAAAUUUUAGGACAAUAUUUAUAAAGUAUCAAAUAUUUGAGGUAUAUCAAUAAGUUUUAACAAUUUAGGGGGUCAAAACAUAAUAUUAAAAAGUUUGAAUUUUUUUUUUAAAAAAAUACUGUUGAACCGGAAAAACCGGUUUUUUCCCGGUCAAACCCGGUCAAACCCGGUUUUUGACCGGGUUUUAAAUUUCCGGUUUUCUAAUGUGACUCGGACCGGCUACCUGGCCGGUUCCCGGUUCAACCGGUUCGACCGGCCGGUCCGGUCCGAGUUUGAAAACAGAGCGGCAAACUAGUACAGAGUAUAGACAGCAGAAGGAGAAGGUCUGUAAUUAUUGCCCGUCUGAAAAGUCAACGGGGAAACUAAAUUGUGUAAACGUGUCCAGAACUUCAAAUUAUACAUUCAUCCCCGUCCCGGGAAACUUCUGAGUACAAUUCAAAACCAAAUUUAGUUGUCUAUCUUCGUUGUCUCCAUUCAUCUUCUCUUCUCAUUCUUAGCCGUUACUGUUGUUGGGUUCCGCUCAAAAUUUUCUAAAGAAGUACAGUAGUAUGGAGAGUAGAUUCUUGUCCUAAUUUGGAGUUGCAGGGAUUCUUGAUUCAAGUCUACAUGGGUUUGAUCUCGAAUUGCUGUUCUUGCUUGGCUAAAUUCCUGAGGCGGGGUGCCUCCUCCAAGGCCGACGAGGAUGACGCUGAUGAAGAAGCUGCAUCGGGUUUGUUUUUCCAGCACGGCUCUGCAGAUUGCUACCAAUUUCUUUUCUGAUUUAAACCGGCUCGGUCAUGGUGGCUUUGGCCCUGUUUACAAGGUAAGGUAAUCAUUAAUCAAGAAAUUCAGAUUUCCUCUUCAUUUAUCUUUGUGAAAUAGGAGAUUUCCUGCUUUUAAACAUACAUGUCAUUUUCUGUUCAGAGAUUUGUUAAUUUUCAUUCUUUUCGUGUUGUCCUAGCAGUGAAUUCCCAUAAUUAGUUCUUGUUAGACCUCUUUCAUGAUUAUUGUAGCACAUAUUUUUCUGCAUGCUUGGCAAAUUGGUUAUUUAGCUUCAUAAUUAUGACAUUGAUUCUGUCAUACUAUUUCCUGUGAUUCAUUAACUUCCUACGUUAAAUGUAACAAUCUUGGACAUGGAAUUGAGAUACAGUCAAGUGAAUACGUUGUUUGUCUAGUUAGGUUUUAGUACAGUACUAUAACCUCUAUUCAUUGUGAGUUGUUACACAUUUAAUGGUAGUCAAUUUCUCUUCCACUGAAUGUAUAAAUUUGUCUGCAGAUUUAUGCUAGUACCAUACAUAAUAGUGGACAAAGUCGAAAAAAAUUUACAGAAUAUGGAAUUCCCCACCAUUUUUAACCAGGGCAUGUUGGAUAUGUAUGUUUUCUGUUUGUGGUUGUUGUGACUUUCCCUGCCAUAUAUUCUUACUGGGUCAGAGUUUUAGGUACGUGGGUUAUGUACUUUGACCGUUGAAAAUAACAUGGAUUUGGUUGCACCUAAUGACAAAUUGAUAGAGUUUGGAUCAUUAUAGAGAUUUCAACUAGGUUGUAUUUGACCAGCCAGUAAAAAAUGUAACAAGUUAAUUUCUUUGGAACUUCUUCCACGACCUGCUUUGAAUUUGAACGAGGGUUUGACUAUAUAGAUCUAGCUUAUGACUAGUUCUUGUGCAGUUACAUUUUUUACGAUUAAAUUUUUUGCGCUCACAGCGAUAGUAGAAGAAAGCCAUGUCCUUGCUGUGGACCUGCCUCAGAUAUAGUUUCAGUUUAUGAAGCAUUUGUGAGGAGGCGAGAGAGUUCAAGCGUUUAUAAGGAGAUAGAAAACAAAAGAUCUUAAAUGGUAGCAAGCAUUUUCGUGCACUCUUUUUGUUGCCUUUCUACUUUAGUAGUUGCAAGGAACAGAAACGGGGAAACCUAAUUGAUAAACUUCCUGUCAAGAAUUUCUACAAGGGAGAAUCUAUUAUAUUGCCUUAAGAAAUAUUGCAGGACGAUCACAUUUGCCUGCAUAAGUAUAUGAAAAAAUUGACAUUUCUGAUGCGUUUCAACUCGAUUUGGGUUGAUUUGAACCAUGAGAUGAUAUUUGUAUAAGAGACAAGUAUGAAACAAUAUGAUACCAGAAUGUAGUUAAAGAGUCCUUUUCAGUUUUGAGUACCCGUUCUUUUUGCUGAUGGGACUAAUGGUUGGGUUUAUUUUUACAAUUAGGUUGAUUGAAGUGAACAACUUUGACUAAUCUAUUCUCAUUUUGUUGAUUAAGCCAUUGAACUAAACCACUCGUAUUGGUUUCUUCUUUUCCUUAAACAAGAGUCUCUUAGUCCUAAGUACAUCCUUUAAUUGAAUCUUCAUAAUUUCCCUCCACCUUCAGGGAUUGAUGCCAAAUGGUGAAGAAGUAGCUGUGAAGAAAUUAUCAUUGGACUCUAGACAAGGAGUAAGGGAAUUCGCUAAUGAAGUGAAACUUUUACUGAAAAUUCAGCAUAAAAACCUAGUCACAUUGCUGGGGUGUUGUAUAGAAGGACCUGAGAAGAUGCUUGUAUAUGAAUAUCUUCCAAAUAAGAGCCUUGACUUUUUCCUUUUUGGUAAAUAUCUUGUCCAUUUUAAGAAAUUUUAAUCAAACACUCCAUCCUCUCAAAGCAUUACAAAAGUUUGUAAGCUGGUGCUUUGCAGAUAAAGAGAAGUCUCCAUCCUUGGAUUGGACAAAAAGGCUGCAAAUAAUUACAGGUGUUGCAAGGGGGCUUCUCUAUCUACAUGAGGAAGCCCCUGAAAGGAUUAUCCACAGGGAUAUCAAAGCUAGUAAUAUAUUGUUGGAUGAUCAACUGAAUCCAAAGAUCUCAGAUUUUGGUCUGGCAAGACUUUUUCCGGGGGAUGACACCCAUUUGAAUACGUUUAGGAUAUCUGGUACUCAGUAAGUUUCCAAUUAUCUUUUCUGUUUAUUCUCCACUCAGUACCACUCACUGUCACUGAUAAAGUGUUGUCGGCAUAAUGUUCUGAGAACCUAGCAUCUCUAUCUAUCACUGCAGUGGUUAUAUGGCACCAGAAUAUGCACUGCAUGGAUAUUUAUCUGUGAAGACGGACGUUUUUAGCUUCGGUGUUUUGGUUUUGGAGAUGGUAAGUGGAAGGAAGAAUCUUGAUGGGCGGCUAGGAGCUGAAAAGGCGGACCUCUUAAACUAUGUAAGCAACGUUCCCAUGUUUAAGCAGUCAAAUGCUGAAUUGUUAGUCCACAUAGGAUUCAUGUGCUGAUAAUAGAAGUUUAAGAAUCUGAUCACUUGGUUCUUUUCCAGGCUUGGACACUUUAUCAAGCUGAGAAUGCAUUGGAAUUAGUUGAUGCAGGCCUUAACAAGUACAAUGCUGUUGAAGCAGCAAUGUGCAUCCAGUUGGGUUUGCUAUGUUGUCAAGCUAGUGUUGCAGAGAGGUUGGAUAUGAAUUCAGUUCACCUCACAUUGUCUAGUGACUCGUUUAGCCUACCCAGACCGGGAAAACCUGGGAUUCAAGGCCGUGUAGGACGGUUUUCUCAAACUGGUUCCACAGCUUUUACUGAUAAAACCAACACCAACGCCAACACCAACACCAACACUACCACCACACAUACUGGUGCCACCAAGGUUUCCUCAGCUAAUAGUUUUCUCGAGGAAUUUUCCAGGAAUUCAAUCUCCUAUUCUUCUCUGGACGAAGGCAGAUGAAAUAUGCGUGAGCUUUUUAUCAUUUUAUUUUUCCAGAAUAGACAGGAUAGCUUUUCUCCCUUCUUCCUCCUUUUUCCUCUCCCUCGCACCGCCUUUCGCGAUUUGUUUCCUUUUCGAGUUAUUUUGUAGAAUGUUAACAUUCAUUCUUUCUCAGUAUAUCCUCCCCCCCCCUCCCCUCCCCCUCCCCCAAAGUUCGUUGUUUGUAGUACUAGAAGAAGAUGUACAAUUAAUAUUUGAUGUUGUCUAGGAAAGAUGGCUUGUCCUCGGUUAAUUAUUUUAACUGAUUAUUAUAAAUUCUGAUUUUGGGUAAUAAAUUUUUUGUAAUGUUCUUGUUUACUUUUAUAUUUAGAUUAUAGUUAAAAAAAAUUAAAAUUCAUAAUCAACCGAUCAGUAGCUUUUGGUGAUUGUAAUUAUUCUCCCUAAUCACUUCUCAGAUUUUCCAAAAUUUAAAAGCAAACAAGAACAAGGCUAUGCUGAUCUGAUAUAUUACCUAGCUUUUGUAUGCUAAAUUAAAUUGUUCACCAAUAGUUACUUCUCAUCCAUGCAAAGGAAGAGUAACUAUGAAGUUCAAUAUUCCAGUUGUUCAACGUGUUUUCCUGAUCUCCUUCUAAUCAGAAGACUGCAACUGAUGCUAAGAAAAAGACUUUUUAAUGUUCGAAGUCACAACUUUCUACAGAUUACAAAUUUUUUUUUUUUUUUUUACACUUUCUAUUUUCAGCUGAAGUCUAUAUCAGCUCUUUGAUCUGAUAUUCUGAAAAUCAAUUUCCUCACUUUUGGAAGAUAAAUUAAAGUAAACAAUAAUAGUUUUCAUACAAUUUUUUAUUUACUUUUUAUUUUCAACUGAAGUCCAUGCCAGCUCUUUGGUUUGAUAUUCUGAAAAUCAACUUCCUCAAUUUUGGAAGACAAAAUAAAGUAUCCAGAUUUUAUUAUUAUUACGAUUAAAAUGGCAAGAUUUGGUCAAAUAACCCUUCAACAAAUGCUAGAAAUUGGCCGAAAACAGGACAAUUGAUGUAAUUUUCCUAGUUGGGCGGUGCAGCGGUCAGGAACACCGUUCCCGCUGCCCAUUUCGCGUCAGUACAAAAAAUAAUACGGCGUGUAUCUCUAGUUAGCUAGUUAGGAAUCUUUUCAAAGAAGAGAAAAUUGCAAUUUGGUAUCAUAUGUUUGGAGCAUCCACGAUUUUAGUCCUUAAAAUUUGGACAAAAGCAAAUGUAGUCCUAAAUGUGUCAGUUUGCAAGCACAUAUGGUUUCAGCAAAUUGUUACCAGAAUUUGAUCAUCUCAGUAGCAAGUGUCGGCUGCUAAAUUUUGAAACAAAAUUAGAAAAAAAGGAAAAGUACUGGUAGCCAUAAUCUAAAAUUAAAGGGCUCUAAUUAGUCACAUGCUGAAUAAUUAAUAUUUAUUCUUUAACCAUAUGACUACUCUACAUACUAGUAAUUAGUACUCUUUAAUUACAAAUUAUGAUCACUAAAAUUUUUCUUUUUGUUUUCUUUUUUAAAAUUCAAUUGCCGACACUUGCUACUCAUGUGGCCGAAUUCCAGUAACUGUUUGACAAAAUCAUAGGAAUUAAAACAUUUAAAACUAGUUUUGCUUUUGUCCAAACUUUAAGAACUAAAACUGCCAAUGUUCCAAACAUUUGAUACCAAAACUGCAAUUUUCUCUUUAAAAAAUGUAUUUCACUUUUUCAGCUCAACUCCCAAAAACACCCACUUCAAUAGAUCGUUCUUCAGUUUCCAAAUCUUCAAAAUCAAACAAAGGAAGCACAACUGACCAGUAUUUAGUUUGUAGGAGAAGCCCAGCUGGGCUUCUUCUCAAUUUGAAGAAUAUAGUUAUAUGCUUGGGUGCCGAUUGCUACGUACUAGAUUAAUACGAGCGCAGUAAAAGGAUUUUGUACUGAUAUUCAAUGGCCAAUUGGGAGUUGAAGCAUUGCUGCAACCAUGAGCAAGUGGUCUUCCUCACCUUUCUUGGUGUCUGUAGUGUUGUCAUCCUUGCUGUACUCAUCUCUCUCUCCCUCUCUGUUUCUCUACCUCACACACACACGAAAACGCAGGGUUGAUUCUUAAAUAUGCUGUGAAUGGAAUAAAGUUUAUUAAUUUGUUAAAAUGCACUUCAUUUUUGUGGUCCAUUUGAUGGGUUUCUUCUGAAAAAAAUGUAAAAAGGUUUAUACUUUAACCGUUUUUGUGCAUCUUUUGGCUAAAAAUUGUAGUCCAUUAACUGGUGUUUCAUGGCCUUCCUAAGAAUUAUUAUUACUUUAUCUGUCCUUGUUUAUCUAGUCAUUACAAUCAAUUAUCUAGUCCUUGUUUAUCAGUUUGUGAAUACUUUAUCUGGACUGCAGCUUUGGAGGACUGUAUUGAUGAUGCCGUUCAAACUUAUAACUGUCUUUAUUCACGAAGCUAGCCAUGCCAUUGCUUGCAAACUUACUUGUGGCCAUGUAAGAACUGAUUCUCUCUCUGUCAUAUUUUGAGUUUCGACUUGAAAGGAUACCCAAAAAUCUUGACCAUAGCGUGUAGAUUACUGAUUUGGCAACCUGGCAUUUGAGUACUAAGUGAAAGAUGGAUCCCAAAGUUCAUGGCAACUUGUUGCAGUAGUUACUUCGACCUUUUUGGCAACGCUGUGGUACAAUGUUACCAUGUUCAUCAUAUGAGGUUCCUGUGCUGGUCUAUAUAUGAUUUACCUGUAUGAGAAUAGUUGUGUGUGUUGCUAUUCAGGUGGAAGGGAUACAGGUUCAUGCUGAUGAAGGUGGCGCUACGCAUACACGUGGUGGAGUAUACUGGUUUAUCCUGCCUGCUGGAUGUAAUUCCUCUCAUAUUCUUGAUAACAUCUUCUAACUCGAAAAUUUAAGAUAUAGUCGUUGAUUAUGUAACAAUAUAAUGGAAUCAAAAUACGUUCUUUGGCUUCUACAGAUCUUGGUUCGUCAUUUUGGGGAAUGGUUUUGAUACUUGCUUCUACAAAUCUUCUUACAGCUAGAAUUGCUGCUGGAUGUUUAGCUGUAGCUUUAGUCAUUGUACUUUUUAUUGCAAAGAAUGUAAGAUUAAUGAUUUCAAUAAGUUUCUCUGUUAUGCAUAUGAUGCUGCAGCGGCUUUUGGACAUUGCAUGUUGCUCUUAGUUUCUAAGCCUAGAUCUGCAAAAUCUGCAUGGUGGGACUUUGCACCUGAAUGAGCUAAACUGGAGAAUGAAAAGCAUGUCUUAAUGGUAAUGAGAGAACAUUGUCUGAAUUGAUUUUAGGAAGAUAGGAAUGUUGUUUAUUUGCAUGUACAGUAAGCAGGAAGCUUGUUCAUUAAUGAAAUUUGUGAUCAUUCGUCUCGUUUGCUUAUGAUUGCCCUUUAGAGUCAUCCAACAUAUGUAAUCCACUAAUUAUGGCUAUUUUAUUGGUUAACAGUGGACACUUCGCGGGCUUUGUAUUGGUAAAACCUUUCAGAUCUGGCAGAUAUUCCAUCAUCUGGAACUUAAAAAAGUACUGAUCUUACUGAUAUCUUCGAUUCAAAUUAACAGGAUUUAUAGUUUUCAUUGCUAUUGUCUGGGUUCUGCAAGAAACAACAAGGAUUCGCAUUCUUCGGUACAUCAUCCUAUUCAUUGGUAUGUGUGUUUUCCUUGCAUUUCCUGCUUAAGAUAACUCAUGUAACUGCCCUAUCCUCCCCUGACCGUAGACACGCACAGAACUCAGAGAGAGACUUCUCCAUACUGUGGCGAUAUGACAUUUGAUUACUUUGUUUGGCAAAAUGCAGGUGUCAUGAACAGCUUGUUUUCCAUUUAUGGUAUGAUUUACACAUAUAGAAAACUCAUAACACGUGCACCAAAUGCUGGAUAAUUAUAGGUUCUCAUAUUGGAUUUUUGCAGACAUAUAUGGUGAUCUGAUAUCUCGUAGAGUCCACAUUAGUGAUGCUGAGAAGUUUGCUGAGGUGUGCCCAUGUCCUUGCAAUGGCGUUGGUUGGGGUGUCAUCUGGUGAGCAUAGUUGUUAGCACCCUGUAGGAACAUCAAUCAGAAGAUCUUUCUCCCUCACUAGUUUUAAAGUUUUUAGAUUGAUGUUACAUUGCUGACUUCAAUCAUUCAAAAAUUUCAUUUUCAGGGGAUUUAUUUCUUUGCUUUUUCUUUGUGCGGCUGCAUAUCUUGGUAUGGUGAUCCUGUCCUGAGGUAUGGCUAAAGCUCUAUAGAAGUUCUGAACACUUCACCAAAACUGCUUGCUACACAACAUAGACAUAAAACAAGUAAACAGGUGCAUAAUGCACACAUUGCAUUUACUGAUCAUAGAAUGCAGGAGAAAGUUUUAGAUAUCUUUUGUGCUUAUUCAUGUGCCAUGUUUCUAAUACUAUUUUGCUGGCUGGAUCUAUGCACACAUAUAUAGGCAGAGCUUAUUCCCUGCCAACAUUUGUAUUCACCAACUCUCCCAAAAGGUGCUAAUCCCCUUAGUAAAUUCCACUAACGUGAAAACACACUUUCUCCAAGGACAAGAGAAUGGGAGAAAAGCAGGGAUAGAAAGUUAGGGACCCUGCCAUUCAUAGGCAGAACUGUCAUGUUUCUGGGUUUUAUCUCCAUUUUGACAUGAGAUUUUCUCCUGCAGCCUUGUCAAACCAACCCUUUAUAGACGCAAGUGACAACUGUGAGACAAAGGAGCAACACGGGUGCACUUCCAUGAAACUGUACUAGUACAGGGUCAAUGCAGAUACAAGAUUCCAGAAUCAAGUUUAUACUCUUCUGGACCUCAUGAAGAAGCUCAAUAUCUGAUCUUUGAGGAACAUUCAUUGGAUACCGUAGCCGUGUUACAAAGUUAAUAUGCCAACAUUCUAGGGAACCACGAGUUGGUUGUUUGCCAAAUUGCUGUGCCUUGUAGCUUUCAUGAUGGAUUAUACUAAUUGUUUGACAUCAUAUGCCACGGGCUAGUUAUUAUCUCGUGUUUAUACAGAUGCAUAUUUAGAUGCAACUACAACAUAUUAUUAAGUCUCUCGUGCUCUUUAUCUUCCGAACUUAGCGUUUUGUCUCCAUACUAACGUAUUUGCUAAUUUGAAUAUUGGAAAAAUCAUGCCAUUUCGAUAAAAACUAAUGCAAGGCGAAGAAAUACAAGGGAUCAAAUGUAUCAAAGGAGAAGAAUUUUCUUUUUCUAACUUUGGGUGACAAGAAGAUCGCGAACUAAGACUCAGAACAGAACAAGGAACUUGAAAGUGACACCACUAGAAAACCUAGGGCAUUAAAUCUAGAUUGAGACUCUAUCAAAGACUUGGACAUCGGAUAUCAGAAUUUGCAGGCAUCUUGCAUGGAUAAUUUAAUAAAUUGACAAAUAAAGAUCCGAGAGGGCAUAAUAAUCUCAGCAGACAUUUUUGGCUUGAGAGCAGAACGAUACAGAUUGAGAACCAACAUUUCAUACUUUUCCACGAACAUCUUCCAUACAACACAAGCACUGUACCAUCCAAGUAUAUAAUGUUCAGCAGUGAGAGGUUUGCCUGACGAUUCCAUUGCAAAGAAUUGAAAAACUUCUUCAACCAUUCAGAAUCCCAGAACAACCGCUAUAUAUUGAAAAGAAAGAAAACUCGUUGGCAAGCGUCACAAGUUCAGCAUAUUCUAAAACAUAAAUUUGAGCAUCAAAAUUUCAAAAGAGUUGCACCAAGUAGGAUCUUAAAGAUCUACGCAAAAUAAUCUGGUACUAAAUCUAAGCUUCCGCCAUUGGGAACUCAAACACGACAUCUUUGCCAGAAAGCUUUCUGUAAACAGCAGCAAAGGUCUCUAGCUUGUAUUCUGUGUUGUUUCUUUCCUUGGGGUCCAAGAAAACCUGUCAAGAAAAGCAACAAAUAAGGGCUAAUCUUCUAAAUUUUGAUUAUUAAACAAACAUUAUACUGUACACCAUUACUGUGAACCAUACUCAUGCUCCACAAGAAGGAAAAGUGUCAAAAGAAGAAAAGACUUCAUAAAUAAAAAUCAGAAAGCCUCCAAAGUAGUGUCUUUAUGUCAUACUUUUUAGAGUAAAACGAAAGAUGCAUAUACACUUCAAGUCAAAGAAAAAUUAUGACAGUGACUACUUUUGACUGUCGUCAAUUGAGCAUCUAAUCCCACUACACCAAUUAACUUGAUCACUAAACAACCAAAAAACUGUACAGAGGUAUGCUAAUCAUUACCAAACACAUACCUUCAUUAUCUUAGAUCCAUCAAUGCGAUACCUAACACGCUUCCCAACAAUCUCAGCAGGGACAACAACAUCCUCUAGCAUGGCAUCAUGCACAGCAGUUAGAGUCCUGCUGCGGGGGCGCUGAACAGCAGAACCUUUCUUUGGGGCCUCAGAAUCCUACGGGUUGCAAUCAAAAUCACAUCCUAGAAGUCAUAGUUCACAGUUAGGACGCAUUACAGAAAGAGCUUCAAGUUAUGCACACACAAAUCAAAUGUUAUGGUUCAAUAAGCAACCCAGAAUGUUGUUCUUAUACAGUACAAACUACAAAGAGAGGGAGUUAUGAUAAGGACAGCCACUUCAGAAGCACUCCAAAUUUUACAAAUAUAGUAUAAUUAGAAAUAAAUGCUCGAACUCAUUAAUUAAUGCCCUCCACAACAAAACUUUUAUUAGUCAUAAAGCCUGAGCCAAAAUGUAAGCUCAGAAAGAUGUUUAAUCAGUUCAAUUCCCUGACCUAGGAAGGUCUCAUAAUGAGCUGGAAUUAACACUUAUCAUCAUUGCCACAUCAUAUGAUCUAGUGGAGAAGAGAAUUGUUCCCACAAAGGUAUCAUACGUAUGUUGAGCAGUGAACAUAUAUGCACAAGACAAUGUUCAAGGAAAUAUGUGACUCACUCUGAAUGACCUAAAAAUUUCAAGUAGAAAAAGAAAGGCAAAAUAAUACAGGUACCUUCCCACUGAACUUCUUCUCCAGCUCCCUGACAAGCCUAACGUGAAUCUUUCGGAAAGCUUUUCUCAGUCUGUAAGGCACAUGGAUUACAACAGCUUUCCUAUUUCCUGAGACAUCAAUUUGGCUGCAGAAAGACGACAAGGAAUUAAACAUCAGAACCAUUCAAAGGCCAAAUACCUUCAAGUGGCUGCAAAUAUUAAGCUAUUCUUACAUAGCUGAAUUGAUGUACAAAUCCUUCAAGUCACUUUUGAGCUCUUGGUUGGUGUUCUCCAAAUCAAACAAGGCCUGCAUUAGAAAGUUGUCAAAACCAGUAUGCCCAAAUGCACAACUAACAAAUUUGGCUUAGCAAAAAGCAAGAGAACCUGUGCCACAGACUCUUCAAAUUCUGAAGGUUCAGCAUCCUUAUCCUUGUGGAUCUUUUUCCUCGAUGUAUACAUCUUCACAGACCUAUUUGAAAUGAUUGAUUGCGAGUCACAAGUAUAUUCAAAUGGAGAAAAGAAAACCAGUAUAAAAGAAGGAAGGUCCAUUCUUGUUCAGAGACUAUGUAGGAAAAUAGUCAAAUAUUGCCUAACAGAAGCAUUCAUGGAAGCACAAAAACGAGCAAGUGGGUUUACUUUUGCAUUUAGCUUUAGCUCAUCUACAACUAGUCAAGAUAACUGAAUAACUCCAGAUGAAGAUGUACAAAAAUCAUGACUUGCCUCUAAGUUUCAAAACAUAGGAUCUACUUAAAGAAUCACACUUGUCAGCCAAUAACUUAUGAACGGCCUUUUCUAAUAUAAUGAAAAACUAAGAGCACAAGCAAAAGUAAAAUGAAGUGCUCCAAAACAUCUUGGUAGCAGAAGAGACGCUGAAAUGCUCGUGUUUUGUGCAAAAAGAAAACAAGCCCAAGGAACUCUACCUAAUUCUUAUAUCGUGCAAAAUAAGGCUUAAAAAUUUAAAUCAGCAUUCUGAGGCAACAAAAAAGAACUACUAAGUGUCACAUCCCACAUCAACAUCCGAACUUAAUCAGAUUAACAUUUUGCAACGAGUUCCAUUAAACGCCGUAAGCACAAUUUCCCACACUUCCCCAGACAAACAAGCAACAAAAUAAAUGUAUUCAGUACCAGAUAUAAGAGCCGAAAUCAAACAUUACCCAGCCAUCCAGAAAUGUUUCAUCAAUUAACCCCAUGCAAUAAUAAAAGGUCCUAUUUUUCCACGUAAACAUAUAGAAUUAUCAUAGUUUCUCACCUAGUUUAACACUUUUCUCAACAAGCAAAAAUCAAAAGAAGCUCAACUUUUCUUCACGAAACAAACAUCAUUUACUUCUAAAUCAUUGGAUGUAACAAAAACAGAGUAGAGGGUCUCUUUUAUCUCAUCAUAAAACGUUAAUUUCCAUGCUUUCUCUUCUGCCAUCUUCUUCCCACCAGAGGAAAACCCAAAAAAUGGGGGCGUUGAUUCGAGAAAAAUAUGGUUUUGACCAAUCAAUAAAUUGAGGAUGAGAAGUUUGUAGUACCUUCUGGGGAAGAGAAGAGAGAGAGCAGAUCUGCUAAUAAGCCGGAGGGAACGGCAAAGCCCAGCUCUUCUUUGUCUUCAGAAGUGAAACUCAAAGAGAAGACUAGGGUUUAGAGGGAUGAUAUAUAUUCAUCUCUGGUGGAGAAUCAACGGUGGGAUCGCGUGGGCUUUCGUGAGUAAGAAUGCAAGCAACUCAUGUGCAAUAUUUUGAGGAUGAGAAUGACGGAUGGUCCGAUUAUAUUUCUCCAAACAGCCCAAUGAAGUUUGAAUAGGUCCUAAUGCAAUAAAUUGUGAGGCCCAGAAUGCGUUCAAGGUUUCCAAAAGUGGUUCCACAAUUUUGGAGAGGCCCAAUUGCACAGGUUUUUUUUUUUUUUUAAAUAAUGGAUUUGGUGUUUUUUGGAAUUGAUCUCUAUUGGUUGUUUGUCUUUUUUCCCACUCUUCUUGAUGCAUAAGUAUAGUGGCCCUUAAAAUUUUCGUAUUCAUGGUUGUCCAUUGCCAAAUUGCGUCCCUAAAAUGGUUAACCUCCCAAUGAUAUGGUAAAUUCGUUGAAGAUGAGUUAGUUAAAAAUGGUUAAUUGAGUUAUUGUUGUUUAACCAUUAUAUUAUAGUUCCCUAUUGGGUCUCUUGAAAGGAUUAUGAAACAAACAUUAUGCAAAUGUCGGAAAAAGAGUAAUUCAAAUGGCGGUGGCCAAAUGACGAGAAAAUUGUUAACAAGCAACAAGUGAGUAAUCACGAGUUGGUUCAGUGAUCACCGAGAGAAACUUAAAUUCCUCCGAGGUGUUGGUUAGUGUUGAUUAGAGUUUCAAAAAAAAAAAAAGAAAAAGAAAAGAGUAGCAAGUGAAGCAAUUGAGGAAGCCCAUGUGUAUCUGGUUUUGUUCAAAUCACUCGAGACAUCGCACGGAGGCUGUUUUGUUAACGAAAUUUGCAAGUCCAAACCACUUAAUAACCCAUCUCACCCACGAACAAAUCCAGUUAAUAAACUAGAACACUCCAAAUCUAGCAAGGAGAGAGAAUGAAAACAUAUGGAAAAGCCCAAGAGAGUGUUGUUUUUUUUUUGGCAGGGGAGAGCAAAAAAGAGGUGGUUGUGGUGUGAAGGCCUCCGUAUAAUAAAAUUUGAAUAUGUGAUGGACCAAUUUUGUGCAUUUAUGAAGCCUGACAGAAGAAUUUCUUUUUGGAGCCUACCUUGAACUAAAGUUACUAAACAACCAAAAGAAAAGCCUAGCAACAAAUUGUGUCGUGUUAACGUAUAAAAACAUUAAAGAGGUACUCUAAAUCAGUUGGGAUUGUCGAUAUCACUGUUGUGUUAAAUCGAGUGUCAAUUUCACUUAUUAUUUAAGAAUAAAAGAAAAUUUGAGUUAAAUCAAAUCAAUUUAAAUUAUUAAAAGAUUAAAGAGCACUUGAUAAUUUAAAUAAAUACGAUAAUUUGUAUAGAUAUAGAAGUCGCACUGAGUUAUCACUAGAAGGUGGCACCGAGAAACUCAUGCGACCACCGUAAAAUACUAAUUAUUCCAAUAACUCUUCUUGAUUGAUCAGGUCAAACGAAUUUCUUCUUGCGAUUAUGAUUUCAUGGCAAGUUUCACAAGGAAAACUUCCUUUUCCACCAAAGCCACGAGGAAACAAUAAGACCACUCAUGAAAAUCCAGAAACCGAUCUUGGAGUCCACAAGAUCAUCAUGAAGAUAAACAAACAAUGCUCAAGUUGGCCACUGAGAAGACCUUCGAGAACUGCAUGCAUAUUCUUAGACUGAGUCACACUUCAGUCUGUCGUCUACAUCCUGACGUUUCUUCAGACAGAACACAAGCUGUGUAGUAAAACAUAGUAACAAAAGAUUGAUAUUUUAUUUCGUCUAGCAAAAUCAAAAUCUUUUGAAUGAGCUUUGCUAUUAUUACCUCGUAGAAAUUAAUUCGGCACGACAAUUCCUACAAGUUGAAACUGCGAUGUCAGGAAAAAGCAGGUCCCAGUAUCCAAAAGUUCUUGCAGGGCACUAAAUGAGGCUGCCUGAAUCAGCAUUUUGACAACCACUGGGCCAAUGGCUCAGUGACCACCAAGGAGGGACUUAAGUCCUUUCUUGGGCUGUUGGUGAACCUCAUUAGCAGCAAAAAAAUUUAAGAGUUGUAUUAUAGCACUCAAUCUAGUUGGAUAUGUAUACCCACUAGUCCCUACAACAGUUUCCUUAGGCUCCCACUUCCUCUAGAUUAGGAUAGAGUAGAUUAUACAAAUGUAUCGUUGCUGACAAAACAAAAAAAAAAAAUCAGCAUUGUGACUAUAUUCGACACCAAGCCUAGUCGUGUUAAUCGACUCUCACCCUUUCAUAUACUCCUUUUUGUUUUUCUUUUCACAGUAUAUGAUACCUAUUUUAGCAUGAUAUAAUGGUAUUACGCAAAUCUUAACCUACAAUCAUUCUUGUUAGGCAUGUAGAUGUACAACUCUAAACUGCGCGCAAAAUCCUGCCUCAUUCAACUUUGGGUCAAUAAAGAUGAUUUAAAUAAUAACUCAUCACGAGUCUAAAAGACCUAUGUCAUCAAGAUGAAACCGAAUGCUGAAUGAAUUGCUGCUAAUAAUUUCUUACCUCAAUAGCUCUUGCAAUUAGACCGACAAAAGCUUUAUCCGGGUUGACAUUGGAUUAGGAUGCUCUUCAUUCAUCUCUCCGUUUAUUCAUAUCUAGAUAUUCAUAUGAUCUCUAUUGAUCUCUAGACCAAGAUUCUAAACAAUGAUAUUCUUCUGAAAAUAUUUUAGCAUUUGAUUUACAAAAAAAAAAAACAAUAUAUUUGAAUGGUGAAAAAUAGGUUAAAAUUGUAACAAAAUUCGUAACAAUUAAUCAAGUAGCAAACCCUAAUCAAUUUUAUAUGAAAUUUUAUGUACAAGUAAAAGAAUUAAUGAAAUAUAUUAUGAACGGUGUUAUUUUUAAAUUAAUUUUUGAGGCGUAACGGGGAGAAAUUUUGUCUAAUUUAAUUCUUUUAAAAAAAAAAGUCUAGUCCGUUGACAUUCCUAUUUUUCUGAACAUUUUGGUUGGUUAGUAUGACUUCCAAAUGGGGUUGUUGGGGUUGAUAAUUAAAUCGUUUUCCAAUUUUAUAUCUGCGUUCCAUUUAUGUUAUGACUUGUAAGGUCACGCACAUGGUAUCCAACGAUCCAUCCUGAGCGUUAUCAUCAUCUUUCCAAGUCAACUUUAGUUCAUUCGUUUAUUCUGAAAGUUUACGUGAAUAAAAAAAAAAAAUUUCAAACUUAUUUUGCGAGAUAACGUUGAAGGACAAAUAUUAGUGCAGCAGGUUCUGUAAGGUUUGAAUUCAAAGUAAUAUCUUGCAACAUAAAAAGUUCGAAAUAAUUUAAGUUACUUGAAGGCAUUAAUUAAUGCUCUAUGCCAAACGAUGGCUCAUAAUAAUAAAGUCAUGAUCUACUUUUACAUAACCGACCGACUUGUGGAGGAAUAUGCUAUUGCUAGCAUAAUGGUUGUGAUGUCGUUUCAAGAAUGUGAGCAUUGUGCAUGGCGGUUUGUUGCCGUUGGUUAGUGCUUUGGCGAUAACGUUUGAGCGGUUUUUUUUCCCUUUCAUUUAUGUGCUCUUUUUUAAGAUUUAUUAUUUAAUGCCUCUACCUAUACAAGAAUUCUACGCUUUUUGAUUGAGUUCAAAAUCAGUGGUUUUGAAAUGAGAAAUCUCAAAAUCAUAAUGUAUCCUAAUUCGACUAUUUCUAAGUGGAAACAUCCGAAUAUUUGACUCAGACUUACUGAUUUCAAUUUUUUGAUUAAGUUCGAAAUCAGUGAUUUUGAAAUGAAAAAUCUCAAAAUCGUAAUGUAUCCUAAUUCGACUAUUUCUAAGUCGAAACAUCUGAAUGUUUGACUAAAUUCUGACUUAUUGAUUUCAAAUUUUAAAAUUCGCUGAGCAAAGAAAAAACCCUUAAAUUCCUAAAGAAAAUAUUGGAAUACGGUUGCCCAAAAAGGGUACAAUUGAAAUAUAAAAUAAGCUAUCAAAGGAAUAGAUCAUUAAUGAAAUUUCAGAAGUUGAUUACGGAGUCCAAAGAUUAUCAAGUCAAGAUAAAAGGCAGUAACGUGCAAGCUUUUCAUCAAGAAGACCUUCAACAACCGCAUGCAUGUUCUGAUGUUUCUUCAGAACAGAGCACAAAUUGCAAUGUGCUAAAACAUGCAAUAAGACGCUCAGAAACGCUAGAUUUUUGUCUAGCAAUAUCAAUCCAUUGAAUGAGCUUUCAAAUCAUUACCACACAGAGAUUACUUUGGUACGACAAUUCCUAAAGUUAAAAUUGCGACCUAGGGAAAAUAGCAAUGUAGACUACCCUUUUUUCCUCUCUUUCUGGUCCAAAAGUACUUGCAGGUUGCCGAGUCAGGCUGCCUAAUUUAGUUUUUUGACUAGCCUCAUCGCGUUAAAUGACUCUUACUCCCUGAUCAUAUGCACUUUUGAAUUUCCUUUUAGUCCAAUAUAACAGUAAUAGAUGCAAUGAGCGUGACCUAAUAACCUAAAGACCCCUGCACAUUGAGUAAUACCUAUUUUAGCAUAUGAUAUAAUGGUACAAUUACAAUUUAAACCUAAACCUACCAAAAAAAAAAAAAAAAAACCUACUUCUUUCUUUCCACUUCGGUUCAGUAAUAUUUUUAUUUUUUUAAAAAAUGAGUCAUAAAAGACCUAUUCAUCGAGGAUGAAGCCAAAUCCAAAAUGAAAAUGUCCCUCGUUUGUGAUUUCUUAUCUCAACAUCCCGUCUAGUAGACCAACAAGGCUUUCUAGCUAGCCAUCUUGGUUGGCAACUUCACGCACGCUUAUUUGUCUCAGCUUUUCACUUGUUUAGUACGAUUUCCAAAUGGUGAUUGGGUUGACAUCGAUUAUUUUCCACUCAUUUCUGAUGUAUCUCCCCCCCCCCCCCCCUUAGGUAUGUGUUUAUGACUAGGAAAGGUCAAAGAUAGUAUUCAGCCGUCCCCACACAAAUGCUGUCCUCUUUCAAUGUCACCUCUUUAGUUUUUCCAAUGCCCAUACAGGAAAAAGUUGUGAAAAUUCAGACGGGACAAUAUGGUAGUUGGCUUUAAUAGUUUUAAAGUCGUAGUCUUUGCUUGCAAGAAAAAAACUUUGAAUUUGUUUCAGUUUCUUAAAUUGUACGUAUUGAAUACGAAUUAAUCCUUUUUACACUCAUAAGGUAUACAAAAGGAGUCUAACUGCAUGCAAGAUGCACAAAAUUUGGAAUUCAAAUUUAAAUAUGGCGUGCAUGCAUCUCUUCUAGGCGCAUUAAUAUGUAUGAAAGAUCAAUCAUUUGAAUAUUUACUUGACAUUCUAAUUUCCUCAUAAUAUCUAGUAAAAACGUUUCUUUUAUUUGAUAAAACCUUCGAAAACUUACAGACAUAAAGUCUGCUCAACCAAAAGGAAAUUCAACUCCUUUUUUGAAGUCAUGAUUUCCUCCCACUUAAAAUUGCAUGUGGACCAUAUGGAAUUAUAUGAAGGUUCCCAGGAGCAGCAGGAGCGCUGUAAUAGAAGAAAGUCAAUCUCUCCAUUCAUGCAUCUUAACUCGAAUCCACCGACUUCUGUGAAGAAAUCUUUUGUGUUGUGAAAACUGUGAUGGCUUUUCGUUGCUUUUGGGGUUCAGAAGAUUGUGAGCACUGAAAAGUAACAACUGCAGAAGAAGACGGAUCAUGAGAGUUCAGUCUUAUCACGGAUUUGGGAUUGCGACAAUAGAAUGAAGAAGGUUAUUCGAAACCCAUGAGGGAGCCGCUUCGGCAAUUCCAUUUUUAUUGGAUUACACACAAUUUGUCCGUGCAGCUUAGUGGCCGAGAAGAUGAAACGUCGGCAUUCUUAUUUGCUAGCAUUAAUUUUGAUAGUUUGAAGGAUAAUAUCAGAAACCUCCCUCCUGAGGUUCUUCUUAAUAUCACUUAACUCUUCCAAAGUUUUAAAAAUAUCACUAGUAUCAAUUCAUUUUAUAUGUUCAAAUUUGAUUUUUUAUGAGCCUGAUUCUUUUUCCGCCAACCUCUUCUCCAUCGACCCAUGGCCAAACUUUUAGAUUGUGCUAAAUCAUUAUAAAAAUCAGCUUAAAAUAAAUACAAAAAUCAUACGCCACUCUAUUACAAUUACAAAAUGAAAAAGGCGAACAAAACUCAAUUUACUAUAAUUUACAAAUAAAAGAUAGCAUAGUUAUCCAAAAAAAAAAAAAGAGUCAGAAAGAGUGUUGAAGAAAGGGAAAAAGAGAAUCAAGAAAGUGACUUUUGUUUCUUUUUCUUUAAUUUUUUAAACUCCAUCUCUUUGAUAUGUGAAUAAUGUAUCAAAUGAGAGUUGAUAUAGUCAUUUUACAAUUAUUAGGAGGACGUAAGUGGUUAAUUUAAAACCGAUAAGUGAUAUUAGGAGAAACCUAUGGAGGUUUUUUGAUAUUAUCCCUAGUUUGAAAUCACCUAAGAAGAAAAUGGUAAAUUGUUGUUUGAUCUUUACACCAUCGCCGGGGGACAUUUCACAAUUCUCAAAACUUUGGAAUCUUGAAGAUGUUUUGUUUAACGUGAUAUUAGCCUAAAGAAAUUUUGUGCGCUGUGAAAUUAGACAGUAGAAUGUAACAAGCAUGAUCAACGUUUUUACCGUUUAUUGUUUUCACCUACGUGAUGAUGUUGCUGGUAGAGUAAUCGUUAGCGUUCCCGACAUUAAAAUUGUUUUUAGCGAAAAAUAUAAAGAGAAGGGAGCAAAUUAGCAAAAGGGGGUUGUCAAACUCACUCACAAUGGGAAGUUUAUAAGUAAUUAAUGUAUUGUAGGUACGUGUUUUCCAAUCUUUCACUCCACGAGUCCACUAUAGACUAAGUCGAUUUUUAAUUUGUGACCCAUGGUCAUGGAGAAAUGUCACCAAAUUCAAAUCAAAUCUAAGCUUUGGUGGGUCAUCAUCCUAAUCCAGUGACAGCUACCUCAUUCCAUAUUUGAGAAUUUUCUCUCUAAUUCUGGGAACCCGAUUCUCCAUGGAUUUGUCAAUUUUUCUCCAGUGCUGGCAGCCACCUAUUCUUUUCAACAUCUACCAGUCCAACUUGACCAUUAUCAGUUAUCACGAUCAAGAUCAGCUUUUAAUAGCUUGAAAACAAGAAAGACACUGAAAACGUGAUUUGUGAAUGCAAAUAAAAAAAUCGAAAUGAAGUUGUUUGUGAAAAAUCACUUGACCUUUUUGGUUAGAUUAGAUAAGAUGGAUGGGAUCAACGAUUGCUUUAGCCUUAAGGGUGCUUCUCAGCUUUCUGCUUGCCAAUAAGCAUUCUCCACUAAUGCAUGACGAUUGAUAAUACUAAUAAUCUAUGGAUUACCUAAAUAUAUUGGUCCAACUUACUUUUCGGUAGCAAAGAAUAGCAAUUUUAUUAAUUAGAUUGUUGAAAAUCGUCCAGCACAAUUCAUUUGACAAAUUUUGGAAAAAAAAAUUUCACAGGGGUCAACAAUGUCCUCUGAUUAACUGUUAAAACUUAAAAGCCAACCGCAAGAUGCAAUAGUUCAUCAACUCCAAAUGGUUGCAAAAGCUACUCAGCAAAUGAAACAUGUAAGCAAUUAGUUUUUUCUAUAGACAGAAAGAACACACACACCCAAUUAGAUUAGAAUGCUCAGAAAGUCAUCGCCAAAUUGAGUCAGAGACUAAUCUAAGGGGGACCCACAAACCAACACCUUCCAACCAAUUGGUGACAGGAGGGUGCGGUUAAUGACCUUAAACCCAGAUUCAUUAAAGAACCCAUAAUCUUUCGAUGUGGGCCCUCCCGAGCACAUCCUCGUCAAAUAAAUGGUUUGUUUUUUCCAUGGACAGAAAGAACACGCACACCCAAUUAGUUAAGACGAACUAAACUAGCUUUCGUAUACUUUGACAGAAAAUUAACUUACCAAACGAAAAGAAUGUGGUUAUUAAGCAAUUAGUUAAGACGAACUUUCGUAUACUUUGACAGAAUAUUAACUUACCAAACGAAAAGUCUGUAGUUAUUAAGUACACACGUGGUGCAAUGAGUGCCGGUAAUACAUAGCCUCCAGUGAAGGCCUUUUUUUUUUUUUUUUUUUUGUCGCCUAGCAGCGAAGAAUUAUACGGCUGUAGAAACUUGCACCAUUUCAAUCAUCAAUAUCUUGGGAAAAUUUGAAAAAAGAAAACAAGGCGAUUAAAAAUUCAUAAGUAGGAUAUAACUAUUAAAAAUUUUUAAAAUGCAUAAUUCAGUAUACAUACGUGCACAUAUAUGGUUUUGAAUAUGCAUAUUCAUAUAUAUAUAUAUAUAUAUAUAUAUAUGCGCACGCGUGCACGUAUGUUCAUCAAAAUGCAUAUUUUUAUUUAUUAAGCUGAGUAACUGUAUAGCAGUGUUAUUGAACAAGGUACACAUUAUUAUGAGGCUGAUCCAGUCAUUUAAUGGUAAAUUUAUUACCUAUUUAAAUGUGCGAAUAAUAGCCCAUUCCCAUUCACACAUUAUCUAUCAAAAGACAAGUUACGCUCUUCUUAUGACUAUUUCAUUUUCCUAUUCCCAAUUUUCAAAAAUUUCCCGUUGUGUUUCAAUUACAGUUCAAGACGCGUCACUCUGAAUCUCUCAUACGAAUUACUGAGUCUAUUAUGUCUGAUAUGAUAUAAUCAUCAGUCAUCACUCGGUUUUCUUGGUUAGCACGUCUUUGAUUCUUUACAGAAUUAUUCGCCGCAAAUGAAGUAUAUAUUCAAACGAAUAUUAGACUAAGAUUGAUUGAUGGUUCUUCAUGUUGUCACAUUAACGCUCCAUAGCUUCAAAUUUCAAGCAUCAUUAUUAUUAAGUUGGUAUGUUCUUCACCAGCAACAGCAAGCUUAUCUGUUAUUGGUGUUUUAAGAUGACAUCUCACUGGAAGUCAAAAUAUAACUAUCAAGCAGUAAAGAAAUUGUGUGUUUUUUUUUUGUUCAAAACAAAAAGUCAAUGGUUGGAAAGGAUCAGCUCAGUGUGUUAUUUGAACACUUCAAACGAGAUUCGGGUUGAACUGGAUCGAUUUUCUAAUUUAUCUAAUUUUGACAUGGUUCAGCACUACUUUUCCACGCUCCACAUUCAAGUGGAGAGGUGAAAAAAGAACGGCAAGGUUAGGAGAGACAACGAAAAAGAGCACCGGGGAGUUGAAACUUUUAAGUAAAAUUAUACAAACAUUAAUACAUAAUGGCACUCAGUUAAGAGGCCAACGGUCUUCCAUUCUUAAUUACUACUAUUUGAUUGAGCGCAUUUUCUUUCGUGGGAUUAAUUACUUGAGGUAUGACAGGUUUUUUAGUUCAUUUUAUUCCUUUACUUCAAUUUUGGAUAUUUUAAUUAUUCUCUAAAGUAUGAAAUCCGUCCUGUUUUAAUUCUUGAACUUUGAGCAUCGUUUACUUAUCAUUCUGUUAGUCUUGACAAUUUUAUGAGAUUGGUUUCAUACUUUAAGGAAUAAAAUAUUCAAGUGAAGUUUACGAACUAAACUGUGAUAGAUUCCAUAUGUAACCUACAAGUACAAAGACCAAAGUGAGAGACUGCAUCUUUAUUAUUAGUUUAAGCAGCCAAAGUAGAAUUUGCCCAAAUUUCUGACCUAAGUUGUUGACAUAGUAGUGUGUUUUGAUCUGCACGCUUUGAUCACAUAAAACAAGUUUUAGCCCAAAAGAUAGACCGUCAAUAAUUGCAAUUCGAAAAAUUUAAACCCGUAAAGACAAAUAAUUUAUGUUAGUCCACCAUGAAGGAGUGGUUUGCAGAAGUGCUUGUGUUGGACCAUUGGUUGGAUAAUUCAAUUCCAGGGCUUAACAUGUUAUUUCAUGGCCAUUUGGCUAGGUGAAUUGUUAUAUAUAAGAUAAGAUGAACUAUAUAUAUAUGAUAUAUAUAUGAGCCAUUGAACACGAUCCUCACUUAACCCAUGUUUAAAAAUUCAAUUCAUUACUUAAAUUUAAUGAAUUCAGACCUUAACAUAUUCAUACGCGUUUAAUAACAAAAAAUUGAACAUCAUUAAGUGACGCUGAAUUUUCUAGAUAAAAUUUGCUCCUAAAAUUAAGUGAUAAAUUAUUUACUUAUCACUAAAUAUAAUAUAAACUUAAAUAUAUUAGAUUUAAUACUUAAUAAUUUAAUAAUUUAAUGAAUUCAGACUUCAAGAUUUCAGAUUUCAGACUUCAAUUUUAUCAAAGGCACCUUGACUUUGGAGGCAGACACAAUUCAAACAUACCUAUUGCUUUUGUUCUAGCAGAAAAUAGAAUGUAUAUUAUUCCAACCGAAUCCUCUAAACUUCACAUGCAUCAUGUAAUGAUGAUUUAUUUGCAUCAAAGUUUGGGAUUAACGUGAUGUCACAAUUAAUCAUUAGUUAGACCACGAUGUUGACUAUCCCCAUUAACGAAAUUCGUGAGGUAACAUGUGCAAUGUUCGCCGCGCCACAGGCCAAACCAAGGAAAAAAAAAAAAAAACACUCACAUACUUAAUUCCAAUCUUUUCAAACUCGAACGUGUUCACAAACCGAAUUCUUAAAGAUAUGUAACUUCGGACUUUUCUUCGUUCUUCUUAUUAUCACACCAAAUUUCUCCGUCGUGGUUAUCGUUCUGGAAAGCCUUUCAUUUUUCAAAGAAUGCGGAGUCUGCGGGAAAAAAAAAAGUCUCUUAUGUAGUGGAGGUGGUGAUGAUGAUUACGGGAAAUCAGAACCUUGUUUCCUAGGAUUGGUCCCAGGAACCUAAAUAAUGAAGUUGGGAAGCAUUAUCUUACGUACUAACGUAUAAUUGAGACUUUAACAACAGCUAUAAGUUAACAACGUAUCCGUCCAGUUGAUUAGCUGAGAGCUCUUAGAAUUCUCUCUAUUGUCAGUUUAGAAUUCGAAUUUUAGUUUUUUAAGUUUACAUUGGAAAUCUAUGUUUAAUAGUUGAGGUUAGGAAUCACUGAAAUUGGUCUAGUAAUUCGGAAAAAACUCUUCAGGAUUUGAAUUCUAGUUUUUAGGUUCAGAAUUCGAAACCUAAACUUAAUAGUUGAGAUUAGGAAGGGUGAGAGGUAAACAAACAGAAAAAAAAAAACGUAUCACUUGUCGUGGCCUGUUAGGACCCAAAGAUUGUGAUCAAAACAUUGCUACUUGACAGUAUACCAAAAUUUGAUUGUUGGCUAAAAGACAACGAGUAAAAAUUUUCUAAAAUAAAACCGAGAGACAAUUCAGAUAAUUUAUUUAGAUGAGUUGGAGUAGUUCAAUAUCAACAGGUUUUAAUUGUUGAAUUUUGCUAAAUGAGACGUUCUCUUUUUAUAUUUAAAAAAAAAAAAAAAAAAAAAGCUGGUUAUAACUGGCACAUGUUUGCAGAAAAAAAUAUGCUUUAUUGAUUCUUACCAAGUCAAUUGAAAUUGUUACAAUAAAAUGUGCUUUAGUUCCCAAAAUCCCGCAAACUAGUAAUUUCCCUGCUCGUGGAUGAAAAUCUUUGAUUGAAACUUGUAAAUAUGAAUAGUAGCCUGGAGAGGGAUAAAACUUAAAUAAGACAAUAACCACAAUAAUCAAAUGAAGCACAAAUAAAGCAGCCUAUCUCUCCCUCUCUCUCUCCAAAAUUAGCUCAAUUUGCCUAUAUAUCAUUGUUCAUAAUUCUUUUCUUUUUUUUUUGAUUAAAUCUUAUAUACACUGACAAUGUAUACACUAUUAUCAUUGGAUUUAUGACACGUGUGCCAAAGUUAAAUUUUAAAUUUAAAUUUUAUAUAGUUAUCGUUCAUCCAAUGCUGACGGUGUAUACACUGUCAGUGUAAGAAAAAUUAACCUUUUUUUUUAUACUUCCAAUCUUGAAUAUAACAAUUAUUUUAGAAAAAAAAAAGCUUACAUUGAAAGAACAGGUCUACAAUUCCUAUACAAAUUAUUUCUCCCAAUCUUAUUUUAUACACAUAAUGCAAAACAGACAACCCACAUGUGUUACGGGAUUUUUGGACUGUGUGCUUAAUGUCCAAAGCUCGAAAGGAAUCUCCAAAUGAUCACUGAAGUCUUUCUGUCUAAAUCUGUAUUCUACAUUUAAUCGUCCUCAUCUUGUAUGUUGCGUAAAGAAAAAUAUCACUCUGCCUAAAAAAUAUCUAAUCAUCCCUAUAAACGACAAAUUUGCUUUCCUGGGAUUAUUUCACGAUCAAAUCUGAGUGCAUCUUUCUUGCGAUUGCUUCAAUUGCAGAGAUCAUCCAUAUUCCACAAGCAAUAUCCCAGAUCAUCGUCACUCAGCCAAUUGUUUUGUGCACAGUAGUUAUCACCAGCUGGCCCUGUAGAGCCGCCCAUCGCUGUAACAGGUGCUGCUGAGCUCAAGUUUUCCAUAUCUUGAUAACUAGUGCUGUCAACAUUGUAACAUUCAUUUUGAGAAUGACCAUAGGAAUUGUUGGGAGCCAUGUCAUAAAAGGGAUUUUCUAUGUAUUCGGAAAAUUGAGGGACCGGAGAGAUAUUCGUGGAUUCUGAUGAAGACAUGCUUGAUGGGCUGCUGCUAAUCAUGUUUCUCUGAUGACUAUCCGGGAAACUGUAUGGUACCUGUUGCGGUUGUUUUGCUGCCAUUGAAUUGCUAACUGCUGCCUGAAUUUCAGCUAAAUUGUCAUGUUCUGAUGAGUCCCAAUAUGCAAUAUUUCCUUGUACCUUUUGAAGCAACCGAGGAAUCCAGACACGGCGAACUAGUUCUUGAAACUCACUGCUGUUGGAGUCUAUCUUCAGAUGGCGGGCCUGCUUUUGUACUCUUGUUCUCCAGUAGUUCUUGAUUUCAUUAUCUGUUCUUCCCGGAAGAUGUUGUGCAAUCUUUGACCACCUUCAUUAUCAUUUAUGAGAAACAAAUUAGCUUCAUCGGCGUCCAAAUUCAGUAUUAGGAAGCAAAUUGAAUUUGAAUCGUGCCCUUUUAAUUUUCUUCACAUCCGAGUACAACUUCAACUUCAGGAUCCAAAAUCAUAUGGGACUGGACAAGUACGAAUGCAGAAGGUGAAACAUGCAAUGGUAGGGAUGAGGAUGCAAAUUCGGGCCCAAAUCCGCGCAAAUUUCAUCUAAACAGACUUAAAAGUGUGCAUUUGAGCGCAAAAAGCCAAUUACCAAAUGAAUACCUGUUGCCCCACUUGGAAUGAAGCUCAAGAAUCAAGAGCUGUUCCUCUGGACUAAGAUUUCCUCGUUUAACAUCCGGUUUAAGAUAGUUGAGCCAUCUCAAUCUACAACUCUUGCCAGUUCUAUUCAAUCCUAUGUGUACACAACACGAAAUUUCAGCAAAACUGUACAGUUGAAACUUUGGAUGAAAAGAAACAUUGAUUUUGUGCUCAGCUUUCGUGGCAACGAACAUAUGUGCUUACCUGAACGUUUCGCUAGCAAGUUCCAUCGGCCUUCACCAUGAGCAGCAAUGUAAUGAACAAGAAGAGAAUCUUCUUCAACAGUCCAGGGACCUCUCCUGAGCUCACCACCUGCGGCAUCAUCAUCACUACAACUGCUUGUAGUUGUACUCUUAGACAGGGAACACAUGGCUGGCUUCUAUUUUGAGUAGGGUACCGAGAAUUUUGAGGAAUUUCAAGACAAACUGAUAAUUGGGCUUACGAGUCUAAGCUUUGAAGGCGAAGCACUGACGCAACAGCAGCAAAUCCAUGAUUUAUAAGGUACGAGGUCUUAGUACUCUAACCCACUGUUCACAUGUUACUUUUCAAAGGAAGUAGCCGCGAAAGCAGACUUUAUAAUGCACAGCUUCUUUUCUUUUCCCUAUUCUGUUUUUUUUUGGUCAAUGUAGCAUAGGAUUUCUAUUGGAAUUUUUACUCUCCUUUAGAAUUUCAACCAGUCAAAACAUAAGAAAUCACUGGAAUAUUGUACCUAUAACAUCGCCCACAAGCAGAAUUCCAGGUUAAUUUUUCUUUUAUUCUUCUACAUCGAGAAAAUUAAGGACUGAAAUAGAGGUGGCCAUGGUUUAGGUUUAAACCAAAAUCGGACCGAAAUUAGCUCGAAGGUUUGUUGAAUUAGGUUUUGGAAACCGAAACCGAAACCGAAAUCAUAACCAUGACUAAAGGUUCAAGUUUAGAUUCACUAAAAUUUUGAACCAGAACCGGCGGUUUAGAAUCUGUUCAAAUCGUCUAAAAAAAAUAUUUACUACUUAAACCUGUUUGUCUUGUUUAGAGUCCAAUAUCAAUAGUUAGCACCUAAUACCAGUAAUUAAAGUCCUAAUCUAAUAAUCUACUGUCCCAUUCUUUUAGUAAAUCUAUAAUCAAUGAUUAAUCUAAAUCUAAAACCAAUCUAAUCUAAUCAAUAAUGCGAUAUUUUUCAAAAAAUUUACACAUUUUUUCUUUUUCAUCGCACAUGAUAAUGCAAUAAACACACACACACAUAUAUAUAUAUAUAUAUAUAUAGGAGUUCAAAUAUCGCAACCGUAACCGUCCCUCUAUGGGCUAAUUCAAGUUCUACCUUUCUAAAGAAUCGAAACCCUUGGUUUUUAAAUUGGAACCAACGGUUUUGGAAUCGUGACCAUGUCUAGAUUGAAAUAUGAAAAUAGUUGUGCUUUUAGUAGAGAUCCACCAUAUGCCAAUAUAGAGUAGUACAAUUCCUUUUCUUUUUUUUUUUUUGCUUUUUAGUAUAAUUGAAAAGGUCUCGAACUCGAGAUUUUUCACUUACACUUCCUUCUUCCCAUACCACCUAACCCUUUCCUCCCCCUAAUAUAAUAUGUGUCUGUGUAUGUUUUUUUUUUUUUAAAUAAUGUGUUUUGAAUAUAAUUUUCAAACAUUUUUUUUAUUUUAAUUCUAGCAAAACUUUAUAUUUUACAAUAUGAAGAUACCUAAUAUUUUCCCCUAUGUAGUGAAGUUGAGAACUAAAGCUUUACAUGCACUUUUAAUGGAAUACAAUAAUCUUUUAGAGGCAAUUAAAAUCCCAGCAUGCCACCUUAAAGAAAAUCUCAAUAUGCCAUCCCCGUAAGUAACACAGAGUAUCAAUAUCAAGGAACAAAAGUAGGGUCGAUUAAGGUGGCCGGAUCAGGACUUUUACCUUGUAAAGUAAAUGAUCAAAAUAGCUUUUGGUCUUCUUCAAUAUGGUAAAGUCGAGCUCAAACCAUUUUCUUGAAAAGAAAAUAGGAGGAAUAGGGUGAUUUUGCGAAAUUGUUAAAUCAGCUUAGAUACCACGAGGCUUGGGGUUCCUUUUUAAUUACAUCAUAGGUCUACUAAAAAAUAAUUCUCUAGUCCUAAAGUUCCUACAUGGAAAAAAAGAUAAUACCCACCGUUAUCAAUGAAGAGCUAGAUCAUCAAAGAAAAGGCAGUUUUGACAAAGAAAUUGAAGGCAACACAGCAUUCUUGACAAUGACAAUUACAAAACCUUGAAUCGAUCAUUAGAAGGAAUUAGUUUUUAAAAACUUCGCGGUUUGUCAUUUCUAGUUUCUUCCAAUUAUAAAAAACGUACUUGACUAACCAAGAUGAAACCCUGAAUCAAAACCAAAACGUGGGUUAAUUUAUGUCCGUCUAACUGAUAGGGGCGGCAACCAUAUUUCUAGGCAUCUAGCUUUUGCUUGGAAUCUUAAAACACAGUUCCCUUUUCCAAUUGCAUGGCUGUCAUCUGAUUUUCUGUCAAUUUUGCUUAAGAGUUGUAGUUUUCUUUUUCAAGCAGAAGUGGUACGUUUUUUAAGUAUUUGGUACUUGACUUCUGGUUUCUCCAGAAUACAUCCAUUUUGGAAACACGCGAGGAGUAGGACAAUUGUAAGAGGCUGCUAAUGCUUAAUGCAGCUAAAUUUGACUUUUAUAAUCUACAUCUUGCCUCCAAUGCAUGUUUCGGGUUGAUGACUCCUUGAAUAUCAGGAAUCCCUUGGAUGCGAUGCUCAUGAAGGUUCUUGCAUUCUCUUAUUCUCUGCUGAUAUGCUCUUGCCAUAAUAAUAAUAAUAUGCAGCCUUCUUUUAAUGGAAGCCAAUUGUUUUAGUGACGGUAUUAUUUCUGCCGUAAAUGCAAUUACUACUAGUAUUUCACGUUGAGAGCCCGAGUACAGGUCACAUACUAUUCGCAGAAGGGCUGCAAUUCGUCAAGAUUCAGGGCAAAUAGAAUAUAAACAUCUGACGACAAUCCUAAAGGAAUAUAUAUAAAGAAUGAGCUGAUUCUAUGCUUCUAGAUGCCAUUCAAUGCUUCAUACAAAGCUACUAUAUCCAGCGCAGUACAACUUUGGAGUCUCCUGAUUCUAGUCAAGGUUAAGUGUAUAUAGCUUGGACGGCGUUAACUUACUAACUUAAAAACCAAAAAAAAAAAAAAAAAAAAAAACAAUUAGGAACAUGCUAGUGCAAAGCAAUCAAAUUCUCACGUUUUUUUCUAGAAAUUUUCAAUAAGAAAAAAAAAAAAAGAAUUCCUCAUGUUUCCUCGAUCUUACUUGAGAGUCAGCGAUUGGAAUUAUUCGUUUGGACUGAUGGAAGCGGGUCGUGGUUCUCUUCAUUGCAUUUCUAUUUUUAAUUUCGUACCACUUUUUACUUAUAAUUUAUUUUUGGUAAGACAACAUGCUCCCCCCCUUCACAACUCAGGAAGAAGAAUAAUUGGACUUUCGUAGCAGUUAGCACAACAUUCUUUUUUUGUUUUUUGUUUUUGCUUUUUUUAAUUGAGGAGGAGAACUUAUCAAUUAUCAUCAUCAUAGUGGUACUUGUGACUUCCACACCUAGCCAAAAAAAUUAUUUUUUAACUGUAAAUCAAAUUUAACAACUAGUUUGGCAGUCAAUAUUUGAUGAGAAAAGAAAAAAAAAGUGAGAGAAAUGGAACAUUUCAUCAUUUAGCCAGAUUUUUCAAGAUUAAAAAAAAAAAAAGGGCUUGAUUUGGACGAGUUGAUUUUAACAUUAUUAUAAUUUUAAAAGCUUUUUCCGCCCAUUUAUGGACUGAUUUGGACACAAAAUUGGAGAAAAUUUUUUCAAAUACUAAUAAUGCCUUCCUUAGAUGGCCACUAAACAAAAUUUCAAUAGUGUAUGAAACGUUUCCAAAUGUUGUCUUGUGAUUUUGGUUUGGUGUCGAAGUGCAACUCUGAUCUUCCAGAAGUUUGGACUCUUUUUUUCCUUCUUUAAUUGAUUUUCUACGUCAUUUGUAUCCCUUCUUUUUUUAUUCGCAUUUCUAAGUUAUUUUUCUCUCACCUUGUACGGUACAACUAAAUAUCUUUUUUUUUUUUUUGAUAAGGGUUAAAAUCGUAAUCUUAGCCGCUGGAAACAUUUACUUCAUACAUAGUAGAGAGACUCCGCCAAUCAUUUCAAACAAUCAUGAAAUAUGACUAGGAAUGUUGAAGAUUUGAUUAAUUAGUAGCUAGGAAGAAAGGAUGGCAUGGCAUGGAGUCUCAAGUCAGAAGUUGUACAAAGACCACAAGAAGACCACGCAAUCCAUGGAUGAAGAUUAGCAAUUUCUUUCUUUCUUUCUUUCUUUUCUUCUAACACCAAUGGGAUGAAGAUAAUGAAGUUUAAGGAUGAGAAUCAAGAUAAUCAAUCAUGCGCGAUCAAUGGCGCAAUCGUGAUUUGUAUUACUUGAGAACUAAAUGAAAUCAAUGACAAAAUACUGCACUGUUUCCUUAUAGUGACUGUGUCAUCACAAGAAAAAUAAGUUGUAUACGGCAAGAAUUUGUUAAUUCUGAGAUUAUCUUUGAUGCAGAUGGCCAAAUUCUGACAUCACAAGAAUGUGUCAUGAUAAUGACAAUAAUUGAACAAAAAAAAUUCCAUCCACUGCAAACACCUCAUUAAUGCAUUACUCGAAGGAAAGGGAACCCUACUGAUUAAGCUCCUGAGUCCUUUUGACGGAGAAAUUGACAUUGAUGUAAACCAUUAAUAAUGUUUUCCAAGAUAUUCAUCAAAUUUCCAUUUCUUUAUCCAACCCAUCCCUCAGAUGUCUCUCUCUUUAGGAUGCUACUGCAGAUGAGUACCUAUUGGAUUUACACUUGCUUCGUAAAUAGACUUGGGAUUAUUCUCUUUCAAAUUAGCCUUCCCAGUGAGACUCCAUCUUGAUCAGCUUAUUGGACGGGGUAUAUGACUAAAGUUGUAUGGGACGAGGUAUAAACUGGCAAUGCAGCAAGGGUUGUCUUUAGCAGCAAAUCUUGAUCAGCCAAAAUAGCAAAAUGUUUUCUUGCACCCUCUGGUUCUGUGCAUCCUCUCCUUAUCAAACAGUAAGCAUCACUCUGCAUCUACACUAAAGUUGAAUCUCUUUCUGCUAAAAAUUCAAGUUCAGAGUUAAGACAUCUACUUUUAUGCACCAUUGAACUUACUCUAAAGGGCUUUACUUGAUGUCUUGCUGGAAACUUAUUGUUCAACACAUUUAAAUCUGCAUUGCUGUCAAGACUUGUUUAAAUUCGUAAUUUGUCCUUCAUAUUAUGAUGCAGUUCUAGUCCCUACUGGACAAGACAUUUGUUACUAGCAUAGCUGAUGAUUCUUAUCUCGAAAUUUGCAUUGAUCUUUUUCAACUUCAAAAUGCCAACUACGGAAUGAAGUAAUGAUCCAUGCAUGGAACAUUAUAUGCUGUUUCUCAAUCUUUUUAAGAUAUCAGCGUGAAUGCAUAAGUUUCUUAAUUGAACAGACUAAAGUACGCAAGUGAGGUUCUUCUUUUCUCAUCUGUCAUCUACAUCUGCCAUUUAUGUUCUAAUUCAUGUGGAUUGAUUCAACAAGGUUGCAAAUUAAAACAUACAGGGAACUGCCUAGGAAAAAUAAGCAAGUGAACAUCUAUACGAAAUAUUUGAGAGCUUGAACAAGAGAAGCGAGGAACUGAUAUACCUGGCAUUAAAUGAAACUGCUAUACCAUACAUGAUGGAGAGAACUCAUACCGCCAAGGGCAAAACAGCUCAAUGGAGAACGGAGAUACCUUGUCAAGGCUCUAAGCGUGUUACACAUUUUAUUAUCACAAAAUAGUUGUCAUCAGCGGAAAAUGUGUACAGAACAUGGAUAUGCUUAUACUUACAAACUCAAAUUAUUAAGAAAAAGCCAGAACAACAAAGUCAUAGCAAUUUUGGCACCCAUGCCUGCUCCUGCAUUACUUAGCCAGUAACGAAUCAUCGAGCUGGGACCUUUAUCCAACCAUUAGCAAAAGCAAUGGCCAAGAUUACAAAGGGUGUCGACAUACCAAAUAUGAUAAUGUAAGGUAGAGGCGUCUUCAUGGGAUUCUCCCCUUCCCUU
rnacentral:lncRNA from 1 species